CGUUUGCAGAGCAAACGUCAACUUAGUGAUUUCGAGCAAGAGUACCUGGAGUUUGCGAAAGGAAAAGAAAUGGGAAAUUUGAGGGUUGGGUUUCGUGAGGGUGAGCGGAGGAGUGUGGUGCGGUGACGGAUUUGGGGUUUCACCGGUGGUUUUGCAUGGCAUUGAUGAUGUUGAAACCGGAAUGGGUUGAAGGUGAAUGGGUCGCGAUGAAGACGGAUUGAGCGAUUUAGGUUAGGGUGAUGUUGAAGGUGGUGGCGGCGCACGGUGAGGGUUUUGGGAGUGUGAGAGAUGUGUGGAAGAAGGUUUUUGAGUGAUGAGUGAGAUGGAGUGAGCUGUUAUGAUGAGAGUGAGGUAAUGAGAGACUUGUGUGUGAGAGAAUGAAGGACAGAGCUGUAGCGAUGAGAAUGAGAGCGGGUGGAGGUUCGUUAUGAGGAAUGUGAGUGGAGAAAAUGAGUGGCCAGAGAGUGACGCGUGUAAGAGGAUAAGAAGAAAGAUUUUUUCAAUUUUGUUUUCUUUUUUCAGAGAGAUAAUGGGAAGAGAGAUUUUUGAGGGAGUGUGAGAUAUUUGUGAGAUAACAGCUGGCAAACCAAAAGAGAAUCCAAGGCUAAAACAUUUAUUCAUUUAUUUUAACAAUCUCAUAAAAACAUUAAUAAUAAAAAAAACUAAUUGACAUUUGAUUAAAAUAAAUUCUACCUAUUUUAAUUAACUAACUAAUAUUAAAAAAAAUCUAACUAAUAUAUAUAAAAAAAAUUAACUAAUAUUUUAGAAAAUCUAAUUAAUAUUUAAUUGAAUAAACUAAAAUUUAAAAAUCAACUAAUAUUUAAUUAAAUCAAUAAUAUAAAAAAAACUAACCAAAAUUUAAUUAAAUAGCUAAUACUUAAAACUAACUAAAAUUUGAAUAUUUGACCAAUUAAAAAAUAGAAAUCGAGUACAAAAAAAGAACUGGUCACACUAAAAUUGUCAAGACAAAACAUACUUAUUAAAAAUACAGUAUUUCCUCAAAUUUUGACGAUUCAACCGAUUUUUCUGUAUUCUCAAAUAAAGUCAUUCUGACUGACAUUUCAGGUGUUAUUCAUGAUGAAAUGCAUGUCACGCUAUGCAUAUGAUGUAAACUGAAAAAUGAAAUCGAAAUUAUGAAAAUUUAACAUGCCCGGACAAAAUUGGGGUAUGACACUAUGCAGAUGAUGCCAAACAAUAAAAAAUUUAAAUAUAUGAAAGUUUUUAAAAUAUCCGGAUAAAAUUGAGAUAUGACACCAUGAGAUAACAAAACACCUCAAAACCAAUUGUCCCUUGAUGAGAAAAAAGGUUCGACAAGGUCUGGUAAUACUUCUAAUAAUUCCUUCUCAAUACCAACUUGCAGGAUUUUCUUACAUAGCCUUAGUAUUCAACAAAGUUUUGUUGGUGAUUUUAGUAUCAUCAAUGUAUUUUAGUAGUAAUGUGAUUUACUAUAGGCCGAUGCAAUUAUGCGUUAAAGCUUGGAAACAAGUUAGGGGUAGUGCGGAGUGCACGCUCGUCGAGCCAACGUAUAAUUGAAUGCGAAUAAUUGAAACGGGGUUCCAAGGGGUGAAGCCCCUGGCAGGGUGCGGGGCAGCGCCUCGUUCGAAAUUUUCUUUUGAACAGUUGAACCCUUUCCCAACCGACGUAAUCGUUUCUGAACAGUUGCGUCUUUUCGAUUUCUGUUAUUGAUCUCCUAUAUAAGGAGUCAUUUGGCCUCAGUUUAAAAGUGAUAACAAAACCAAACUUUCUCUCUACAUUCCUGAACAUUUCUCUUUGCCAGAAACAAAUUGUUCUUCAAGAAUUAUCCCCACAAAGAUUUCGUGAACCCAGGCAAGAAUUGGGUCAAAAUACUUUGUUCGGAAAGUGUACGAACACGAUUCUUCGAAGUUAUCCAGGAUUAUCAUACCCGAUUCUCUAACAAACGAACAAAGUACUUUCUGAUAAUCAUGGCUGGAGGAAGCACCGUCAAGGAGAUGACUAUAAACUUCGGAAAAUUUGACAAGUUUCAAGGACAAGACUUCAGGCGUUGGCAAAAGAAGAUGCAUUUCAUGUUGACAACGUUGAAGGUGGUGCACGUCCUGUUUACACCGAUUCCAGAACUUCUGGAGGAAGACACGGUUGAAAAUCUGAGACGCAGAUCAAAAUGUUGACAACUUGGAAGUCACUUGCGCAUAGAAGAAUCUCUAAGAGCGCAGGAGGAUGACAAAGGAAAAGGCAAAGAAAUUGCUGGACCCUCGGUUAAUAUGGUCGAAGAGGGUGGUAAGAACGGUAACAACACUACCACAAAACAAAGCACGAAGCGUGCUUUUCAAAACGCAUACAGGCAGAUUUCGGUGCUCCACAACAGAACACGCGAAACUUAGAAUGCUGCGUAAUGUGCAAAAGGGCCAACGUUCAGAAGGUAUUGCCGUCUCGGGCAUAAAAGCAGAUAACACGAUGCAGUGUGGUUCAGGAAAGCGGUUAAGGAAAAUCGAAAACCAAUGGUGAAUCAACUGUUCGGUCUUGAAAUAGUUUUACCGAGCCAGUGUACAUAUCGCAACUUCGUCCAGUUUUCACCUUACAGUGUUUCGUUGAGGGCGAUUCUAAUUGGGUGCCAAGGUGGUGCUGUAACUCGGCAGCGUCGGUGCGUGUGGAAUGGAAAGCAUAGCUCGUGACUAAGGCGCACAGCGCAAGAACGAUAGAUCUCAAUCAAGGUAUGUUUGCAACGGAAUACGGUCUGGUGCAAGUCGGGUCUAGUGGGAUUGAUCGGCCAUGUCCGGAGAAACAUGAUGGUAUCAUAUAUGUCCAAUUGCUCUUACUACUGGGAUGAUGAUCAACUUACUGGCGCUCGGAAUAUUUGAANUAUAUAUAUAUAUAUAUAUAUAUAUAUAUAUGUGUGUGUGUUGGCUUUAUAAGGUUUUGAACUCAAAUAAAAUUUGCAAUUUCUUCUUUUAUUUUCAUCAUGUUAAGCUUAGUAUUCUAACAAUAUAAGAGUUAAAAUCAUGAAGGAGACAAUAUCCAAGUGAUUUCUGAACGUUUCUAGAUGUUUCAAUUUGAUGUAGGUGUGCAGGGCGGAUAUGUGAUGGUUACGAAAUGGAUCUUUUGCAUAAUUUUAGCGUGUUUAGGAAUAACAUUGUUAGUAUUGCAAAAUAUCCUAAGAUAUGGAAACAUGGUUACCUACUGUGAGAAACAUGCCACUUUUUAUAUUAGCAUAUUAAAAUAUCUUAAUAUUAAUUUAAUAUUAAUUGUAUUAAGCAAUUAUUUUCUGUAGAGGAUUUAGUGAUUUGAGACGAAUUUGGUAAGAGAUUUUGGAUUCAAUUAUAAAUAUUUAUUAUGUGACAGAUUUAGUGACCAAAUUAUGGUCUUUAUAUUUUUAUUUAAUAUUGAUAUAAAAGGAUCCAAAUGUUAGGAGGCAUACCACUUCAGCAUCUUUGUUAUAUUGUCACAGUCAUUUAUGCAUCAAGUCAUAAAUAAUUUGCCAUGUGACAUGUAAUAUAAAUUUUUGUUAAUUGAAGGGUCUAAAAAUGUGGAUGGAAAACAUUAGAAGAACAAAUGUUUGAAGGAAAUAUUUUUAUAAUUGAAUAUUGUAAUAUUUAGAGGGGCCAUUAACUUAUUAAACCCCUAAAAACUACUUCGAUACCACUAUUGUAACUACCCAUUUAUCAUUCGGUGUUGAACAUCUUGGAAUGAAUAAUCAAUGGGAAAUAUGUUAAUACUAUGAGCCAACACAUUUGGUUUCUUUAAAUGUGUCUCUACUUGUACUUUCCAGAACUUUUGAAUUAGUUUAACCCCAUCUUUAUUCACAAUGACAAUCGUAUCUUGAUGAAGUUUUUGAUUCGCUACCAACUAUAGUCUUGCAAUUUCACCUCAUAUUCCUAACAACUACAUUCACUAUAUGUUCUAACCUCUAAGGCCUCUGACUUCUCUAAAACAUACAUAUUUGUUAUAGAUCCUCAUAUAAUAUGUGAUGACUUAUCUUCGAUUUUUCAAUGUUUUGUGAAAGGUAACUAUGACAGGAUCUUGAUGGUCAAGGAGAUCCUAUGUAGUUUAAAGCUCGGAAAUAGUAACUGCAAAACCUUGGUCGAUCAGAACAACCCUCAUUGUGUUGUGAGGCAUAUUGAAAUUUUGCAACACCUACUACAAGAAUAUGAGUUUGUAGUACCUAACCUAAAAUGUUUUUUUUACUAUCAUUAUAUUCUUGAGUUUUCUCUCUUAAACGGGUAUAAGUCUCAAGCAUUUGAGAUAAGGUGGUUUAGAAAUCAUUGUCAUGUACAAAUAAAUGACAUUUUUUCUUGAUAGAAUAAAAAGUAAACCUUUGUUUUCUCAUGUUUCAUUUAAAUCACUCUUUAACCUUUGGACUGACUUCUAGUGCUAAGGAUCAAGGCACAAUCUCCCAAGUGCUCACGCCUCAAGAACCUUAUUCUCUAUUCCAAACAACUUCUCUAUUGUUGGAUGUCUCUAUUAUAUGGGGAAAUCCUUACAUCAACCAAAGACAAUGCCAACCAGUUGGAAUUUCUCUUUAGAUUGUACUUAUCUAGCGUAGUACUUCUAGUUCUUUAGAGCCUGCUUGGUUAGAUGGUUCUAUAACUAAACAACUUCUCAUAAAGAUGCCUGAGAUGCAAAAAGAAAUUUGAUCUCACCUUACAUGAUCUGGAUAAGAUGCAUACAUUGCACGAAACUCAAAUUAUACUCAAGAUGAUGUAUUGUGAAAUAAACUGAAGAUAAAGUGAUUUCCCUUCAACAAAAUAAAUUUGUAAAGGAUGGGAUGCUUUUUCUUGAAGGAAUAAAUGUCUAGAAUUGAUGAGGAGAUGAGUCGGAUGGAACUUGAGACUUUGAUGCUAGCCGAGAGACUAAAGGCGACCAACAUUUAAAAGGUAAAUAUAUAUAGUCAAUCCACAAAACUGCAUAAUGAAUUGAAAUUGUUGGUUGAUAAGUGUUCCUGCCUAUACUAUGACCAUGCUAAGAAUCCAAAAACAUAUGGAGCCCAACAAAAGCAACAUACCUUUAUGUUGGAAUAUGCCACCAUAGAGAUAGACUUGGAGGGAUGUCGGUCUUACUUCUUAGCAUCCCGCAAUCUCCACCAAGAAAAGACUAAUGGCAGAGACAGAGAAUCAUUAUUGAUAAGGAUUUUGAAGAAACGAAGAGCAGAGUCAAAGGGAAAGUGAAUUCAAAAGACCACUAAAAGUUCAUUGUCAAUAAGAGAAGAUUCAAAUAAGAGAUAAGAACGACUUGUUGCUAAGGGAUUCUCUCAACAAUAAAUCAUUUUCUAAAUGCUAAUCUUCAAGAGGAAGUUUACACAAUAUAUUCAUGAAUUGUUUCACGUAAUCAAGAGGAAUUAUGUAAGUUGGAAAAAUGCCUUAUAUUGUUUGAAAAAAGCUCCAUCAUCUUGGUUUGAGAAUUUUACUACUAUGAUUGUAUCACAAGACUUCUUCUCUAGUGAUCAUGAUUUUUCUUUGUUUAUCGAGACCACUUCUCUUGGUCAUAUUGUAAUCUAUUUAUAUGUUGAUAAUAUGAUUAUUAUAGAUGAUGGUGCUAAUGGUAUUGAUGAUUUAAAAUUACAAUUAGUUAAGCAGUUUGAGAUGAAGGACUUUGGAAAUUUUUUCUACUUCUUAGGGAUUAAAGUUAUCUAUUAUCCCAGAGGCUAUCUUUUUUUCUCAAUCCAAGUACAUUUCCAACGCUCUUGGAUAAGCAUGUCUUUGUGGUACUAAACGAGCAGAUAUUCCUCUUGAGUUGCAUGAAGUAUAAUCCUCCAGAGGGUGCAAUCUAAGAGGGGUGAAUUAGGUUUUCUGGAUUUUUAUUAAUUUAAGUAAAUAUUCUUCUCCUUUUUAUUUUUCGAGAAUUAAUUUAUUUGACUUGAAUGAUAAAUGUAGAAAAAAUGCAAGAAAGUAAAAGUUACAAAGAUAUAUACUAAUUCCUCUUUCCAAACAAGGCUAGUUCAAUCCCUUCACACUCUAUGAAGGAUCUUCACUAUGUUAUAUCUUAAUACAAACCUCGCACCAAUACUUCUCUCACAAUCUUAUAACACACUCAAGAAAGCCCGCCACUUUCUUUUUACAAACAAUCUUGAGAAAGCACGUCACUCUCUCUUAUUACACAAAUAACUUAUCACCACAACUUUGAUGAUUAAGUCACAAGAAACUCUUAGAAUAAUUUUAAGAAAUAUUGUCUUGUUUUGAAUCCAAAACUUUAACCUUGGAUCUUAUCUUUCAAUAUGCUACAAUUCGAACUAUGACAAUUCAAGUGCUUAGAAAUAAUGUAUGAAAACUUUGGAUGAUGUGAAAAUAAUGCACAAAGUUUUAAUGAAUGAGUACUUGACAAUAUGCUUGAAUUGAUAUGAGAAUUUUGAAUGUUGGAAAGAGGUAAAUAUGAAUUUCGAAAUGUGCAUCUUAUAUACUUCAUGAAAUAUUGUAAUGAAAAAUUGCAUAUUCUUUUAGAAAUCAUCAUGGAGCAUUUCAAUUAGUUUUGAGUCUUGAAACAAUGUGCAAUGCAACUAUUCAUAUUUAUGAAACCAUGGAACAAUGCAAUGAUUAUGGAACAUUUUCAUUUUGAAAAAUGCAUGAUUUCAGGUUAGUAUUCGGAUACCAUAAUGUGAUAUUCAAAUACCACAUCAGAAAUACGUUUAAAUUUCAAAUUUUAAAACCUCGUAUUUAGAUACCAUAUAUGGUAUUCGAAUACCACCCUUUAAAAGACGGUAAAUUUGAGUUUGUUCAUCUGGUAUUCGAAUACCAUAUAUGGUAUUCAAAUAUCGCCCUUUUAAAAUAAAAAUAAAAAUUACAUUUUGUUCAUAGGGUAUUCGGAUACCAAAUAUGGUAUUCCAAUACCACUUUUACAAUAUGCUUAAAAAAUGAAUUUUUAAAGAUUGUAUGAUGCAUACAUAUGAAUAGUAAUGCAAAAAAAGUGUAGAUGAAGUGAAACAUGAAUUUUAUGAACAAUGAAAUGUCUUAUAACACAAAUUGCAACGAGUACCUUUGAACAUGUUUUCGUUCACUUAUUUCUUGAUUAUCUUCAAUUGAUACACAUCAUAUAGCUUGGUUUAAAAUCUUCUUUGAGAUCUUUUGUCUUCAUCAAAACUACUUCUUGAAUAAGAUGCAUUUAUAAUUUCCUUUUUUUUUAUGAUGACAAAAUAGUUUGAGGAUAGUGUUGUGAUAUGAUUUGAAAAUCUUGUCCUUAAUAUGUGACUCUCCUUAAUGUAUUAUUCGUCUUUUAUUAUAGAGAUUUCAAUCAUAAACUUUAUUGAAAUGUCUGCAAAAAAGUGUUAAUCCAAAAAAAAAUAACAACACAUACAUGUAAACUUUCUCUCCCUUUUUUACAUUAACAAAAAGAGACAUGAAAAGCAUAUAUAUCAUAAGCAAAUCAUAGAAUCAUUGAAACAAACAUUCAACACACAUGAUUAAGUAACAAACAUAAAAAAAACAUAAAAACAUAAGAUAUCAGUAAUAUUACAAUAACGAAACAUAAUGUUUAAAACAGGAAGAAAAGAUAAUCAUAGAAAAUUAAGAAAAUAACUAUAUGUUUUCUAUGAUUGUUGGAUGUUUGUUACUUAAACAUGUGUGUUUAAGAAAACAACUAAUCUUAGUUUUCAUAUAUGCUAUUAAAUUAUUGAAUCAAAAUACCAAACAAAGGCAAAAAAAAACAUAAUUUUGGCAUUUGAAUAACAUAUAUGGUAUUCAGAUACCGCCUAUUUAAAAUUGAAUAAUUCAUACUUUUUGAAGACUUUGGCCUAGGAAAACAUCAUACACACGUGGGAAAACACUUUAAAAUAUGGAUUAAGGAUAAUAUUGAUUUAGAAAGACAAGAUAACAUGGAAUAAAUAACUAAAACUUUAAUUAAUUCAUUAAUCAAAUAACAUAUGAUGGGCAUUUAUCAAUUUGAGGAAUACAUAGCAUGUAGCUUGAUAUUUUUUGAAGAAUCAUGAGAAACGAUCAUUAUGUAAUAAGUAGUUAUGAAUUGUGUGAUAUUUUAUAUAUCAAUUCCAUCCAAAAUGCCAAGUUCUCUCCUUAUCUUGUAAAAUGGCUCCUUGGCUAGCAGAUUCGUGAUGAUAUAUGCUAGUUGAUCAUGUGUGUCUACAAAUGUAACUUCAACAUCUUCGUUAAGGACAUGAUUUCAUAGGAAAUGAUGUCAGAUGUAUAUGUGUUUAGUUCGAGAACGCGUGAUCGGAUUCUUUGUCAAGUAGAUAGCACUUGUAUUGUCACACCUAAGGGAAAUGCAUUCUAGAUUCAAGUUGUAAUCGGAAAGUUGUUACUUAUAUCUGUUUGGAAAGUUUAAGGAAAUGUUAUCUACACUUCAUGUGAGUAUUUCGUUCUAUGAAAUUUUAGAAAUAAUGCCUAAGUUUUCUAAAUUUAUGAAGGGAUUACUAAAGGGGACGAAAGUGAAAGUGGUUAAGGAACAUGUGAGCAUGACAUAGAAAGAGGAGAUGAUAGCACCUCAGGCAGUGCCACCAAAGAUGAAGGAUCCAGGAAAGUUCACCAUUGCUUAUACCAUUAGUGGGACGAAGAUCUCACAUGCAUUAUGUGAUUUAGGAUCGAGCAUCAAUGUCAUGCCAUUAAGAAAAUUAAGAAUUGAAGAUAUGAGAGAUCAUACCGAGCAAUAUGACUCUCACUUUAGCCGAUUCACAUGUUACUCAUCUGCUUGAUAUUGUACAAGACAUGUUAGUUCAUGUCAAUGGUUUGACUUUUCCUGCAUAUUUUAUGAUGAUUAACACGAAAGGAGAUUCAGGAGGGUUGGUUAUUCUCGGACGCCCAUUCUUGGCAACCGGGAAGACAAAAAUAGAUGUGGAAACAGAUGAACUUGCUUUGAAGUUCAACAAGGAAAAGAUGGUGUUUAAUGUGUAUGAAUGGACACCAUAUACGGAGGAUUUAGGGACAUGCUUCCAAUUAGAAUAAAAAUGUAGUAAAGUUCACAAAGGAAUGAUAAUAAUAGCUUUGACCGGCAUGAGGGUAUCUCUUGCGCCUGACGUGUUUUAAGCAUUGGACGUCAAGCUAAUGACGGAAAGUAAGCACUGAAUGGGAGGAAACCCAUCGGAUAUAACCAGUUUUUUUUUUGUUUUGCAAAACUUACAUUAUAUUAUUUGAGAUCUUCCAAGAUAGGAAUUAGCUACUCGAGCAUGCCCAUUCCAUGACUAUUUAUGAUGUCUUUAAUGAACAAGUUUGUAGCUGUGUUUUUUUUCAGAUACCUCAACUAGUAAGGUUUAAGCCAAAUUAAUUCCAUUAUACACUUUUCUUUCUUUUUGAGUGUAUCCGUGCAUUAUUAUUUUAUCUGGUUUGAUCUAUUUCAUCUGGUUUGACUGACACACGCGGAGGCAUUUUUUGUUUGUAACUUUGAGCCUUUUUAAACCACCAUGUAGUAAUAGGUACAUCCAUUACUAACCACUUUGAGCUUAGUAUUUCUUUCGGUGACGUAGCCUAAAAUAAAUUCUUAGCCAUAUAACUUGAAAUAUAUUUUCUUUCCACCCUCUCUUUGGAGUUAGGUAGAAGUAUAAUUUCUAAAGUGUAUGAAAAAGAUUAAGUUUGGGGUUGCUCAUGGAAGUGGCAAAAUUUUAAAUUUGCUCAUUUGCCAAAUUUUCAAAAAUCAUGAGGAAAUAAGAAAUGGGAAAAGACAUUUCUUCAAAAUAAAAAAGAGAAAAGAAAAAUAAUGUAAGUAUAAGAAGGACCAAUGAUCUCUAGUACCGUUAAAAAGGAAUAAAGAAGUAUGGUGAUAGAAGGAGAACUAGGCACAUAACUCCAAAGGUUUAAACCUAAUUUCCUAAAAAUAUCCUACCCCAACAGAAACCCAAUUACAACUUAAAAAUAACUCUAAUGUGUGUGUUGUAAUUUCUAUGAUGAACUAUAUUAGAACAUGAUCAAGCUAACCAUAAUUAGUUUUGCAUGUUGAUUGAGAGAUAACCUUAUGCAUUGAGUGAGUCAAAGUGAGCUGAGAGACAGUUUGAGUACUCGUCAAUGUUUGAGGAUGUUUUCUGAAUUUUCCAGAUAGAAGUUGGAAGCUAGAAUGAUGGUCAUGCAAAAGAAAAUUUUAAUUGGGUCAUGUUCGAUUGUUAUUGUGGGACUUGUUUUCUGUUGAAAUAUCCAGUUGUCUGCGAGUUACUUAAGGACAAGCAACAAUUCAAGUUUGGGGUUAUGAUGACAUUCCGUCAUUGCACGAAUUUAGUCAAAGAAUCAGACCAAAACAAGUGAAAGAUGAGCUAAAAUGAAGAAGAAUAAGGAAACAAUAGCUAAGUGUGAAGAAAUUGGACUUGGUAAAAAUUUAGGUGAAAAAUGGAGCAAAAGAGUGCAACUUUGGGGAAAAUCACGCACACCAUCGUGUACGUGCGAUUGUGGCAUAAAGGUAGCAUCGCACGCGCGAUACAAUUUUUCACAUGCGUGAUGACUCCUUUUUCUGGGCAUUUUCUAACGUGUCUGGUCCAUUUUGAGCUCUUUUAAAGGUUAAAUUAUGCCCUUUGGUAAGGGUUACGAAUUUUGGAGAGCAAAGCACGAUUUUUGCAACAUCAAAGAUGAUUUUUAGGGCAUUGGAAGUCGUUGGAGGCUAUUACUUCAAGGGAAUUCACAUGUUAUUUUCAACUAUCAUUUUUGGUAUUGUAAUCUAAAUUAUGAGUCUCUAAGCUCCUCUAGGUUAGGUUGUGUUAUGAUGAACUUAUUUCAAUAUUGUUGGGUAAUAUGUUGAUUUGACUUUAUAUGAACCUUUUGAUCUAUAAUCCUACUCAAUUGCUUAUUGUUCUUAAUAAUUUUUAUGUGAGAUACUCUUUUAAAUUAAUUAUGGGCAUAUAGGGAAUACUAAUCAUUAGUCUAUGUGUUGGACAUAGGGCAAUUGUUGUACUUACGUUGGUUGAAUAGAAAUAGGAGACCCCAAGUAAUGGUAUAUGGAAUUAACAUUUUGUGCAUCGUCUAAUCCUACUUACGAUGGUGGAUAAGGGAUAGGAAACUCCUAAUAAUGAGUAGUAAGUUAUUUCUCGAGGGAUCGGCUAUAGUGGCUUUGUUAAUUUGUCGUGGGGUUAUAGUGAUAAUAUUAUUCAUAUAAGUCAUCAAACAUCAACAAUAGAGAAAUAUGAGAUUCUAAGCACAACCUUACCGCUUGCGACAUUUUUUUAAACACUUAAUUACUUUUCACAUUGUAAACUCGAACCCCCUUCCUUUUACUAUUUUUUAUACAUUGCACACAUCUUGUCUUAUUAAAAAGCAGUCAUUGUGGAUUCAAUAUUUUUUUACUGCUAUACUAUCGAUACACUUUCCAAGAAGUCAUCAGUGGCCAGCUGCAACUAUCAGUGCAAACCAUCAACCAGAGUGAAGGAGGCAAGUUUCAGAAGCAUGACGGACGAUCCGUCAGCAUGAUGACGUAUGUCAUGACCGUGAUUGAUAACCCAUCAGCAUGAUUACGACCAUCAUGAUACCUAGUUUUAGAAAUUACAUAUUUUUCUCAACGAAGUGCUCCAUGAUUCAAGCCAUUCUUUGCACGAUUUUUGCAUGAUUUUAUGCACUUUCAGGGUCCGAAUUAGCUAUAAGUACCCCCUGUAAUAAAGAGAAAACACAUCCAAGCUUACUUUAAGCCAUAAAUUUACUCUUGUAAAACAUAAAUACUUUACAUUGAAGUGUUAAUGUAAUUUUUAUUUCCUGCAUUAUUUUAGUUUAAUUGAUGUUGUAUUUUUCAUUCCGCUACCGUUGCUAUUAUUUUUUUGCAAUUUAUUUCAAGUCUAAGCAUUGUACUGGAUCAAAAGUAUCCCUUCGAAGCAAUUAUCUAUUCAAGUUUUAUAAAUUCAUGUUAUUUCUAGGUUCUUUUUAUAUCCAUAAUUUUAUUAUGUAUUCUUUAUUGUUAUGCCUUUUAAUUAUUGAUUUCAUCAUGCCUGAGUAAAUUUAGUGAUUCCGGAACAUGAGGACUGUCAUACUGUAGCGGUAAAUUCAUGAUCAUCAAGCUAUGGAUAAGCUAGAGAUCAAAUAACAAGAGUCGCCACCGCGCUUUUAUUGUUUCCAAAGGAAAAGGUAAAAAGUAUGAACAAAACCCAAUAGUAAGAAGUUUUCAAAUCAAAACUAAUAAAAUGUCAGAGAUUACAGGUAAGGGGGUUGGUUACACAAAGGGAAGGUGUUAGCACCCAAAGUGUCCUAGGUACUCCUAGGAGCCCCUUUUUGUGUGCAUAUGUAUUUGGUAACAAAUGAUGUUUAAUAAACAAAUAGAAUGAGGGGGUGGGGAUGAGAAAAGAAUUCAUUAAUUAAUAUUUUUGUGUUUGACAAACCUUCGGUAAUUGUGCCUAGUACAAACAUAAAAAUGAGGGAUCAAAACCUCGUAGUUCGUGAUACAAAUUUCAAAGUGGAUGCAUUGCUUUUAACAAAAAUUAAGUUUGAAAGGCACAAAGGCCUAAAAAUGGUUUGAAUGAGUUAAGUUCUUUUUUGGCUUUUUGAAAGUUUAAGUCAAGUAUAGUUAAGUUUAUUUACAAAUUUGAUUUAAGAAAAGAAGUUUGAAAAUGCAAUGGCAUAAGGCCAAAGUUUCUAUCUUUUUGCAAAGUGGUCAAAGUUUGGAACAAAAUAAGUUCAAUCAAAGAAGAUUUUAAAAAGGAGGGAGAGAUUUUGAAAUUAAAUAAAUGGGGAGAAGAUGAAUGGACUAAUCCUAUGCACAAAAUUAAAAGUUAAGAGUUGAAAAGAUCUGACCAAAUGGGUAGCAAUCCAAUAGACAAGAAUGUCAAUAGAAAACCCAGAAUUCCCUUGGACAUUUAGAAUCAAGCAACACACAAAUGCAUAAUUAUAUUAUCUUGAAGAGAAAAGGCAUCAAAUAAAGAUAGACACAUUCAAGCUUUAGCCAUUCCAUGAUCUUCUUCAAGAUUAGCCCAUGUAACAGAUGGAUUCCACAAGUCACAGGUUCAAAAUAACAACUUCACAAUGAUCAUGUUGCAGAUGAACUCAGAGGGAUCUUGAGUGAUGUAUCAGAUGAAGUUUCAAAUGACAAGCACUUGGUUUCUCAAUAAGUUGACAUUGGCCAAGUCCUUUAGCAUAGGAGUGUUGCCUAAGUUCUAAGUCCAUUUGCUCAAGAUCAAGCCAACAGUCCACACAAAAGUUUUUUAGGGUUUUUUGUUGUUAUUAUGUACAUUAAUGGUCAAAGACCACACAAACAAGCAAAGUAUACACAAACAAGAUAUAUCACACAAUAUGGUCCAAAUGGAAAAAGGGAAAAUUGCAUUAACAUAAACAAUUAGAAUGAUAUGAACAAUGGCAAAUGAGUAAAGGCUAAAAUUAAAUGACAUUAAAGUAAAUGACUUCAAAUUAAAAGUUAAUUGUUAAUGAGUUAGAAGUUAGUAUUGUUUUGCUUUUGCUUUUCAUUUUAAGACAUUCUUUGGAGAACACUCAACCCACUUAUCACAAGCAUGGAUCCUUGAGCCAAGACAUCUUCCAAAGGAAGGAAAAAAGGUCAAGUUUCCACACAAUACCAUGAAAGAGGGGAGACUUACAAUCUCACUAACUAGAAUGCUAUGCCUUUUGUGUCAAAAUUUUAGCGCUAUGUUAAGCAAUCGUAAUUGGACUUAUGUAGAAGUCACAACUAUUUGAGGUCGGGCAAUAGAAUUUUGGUGUUAAUGCAUGUUAGAGACAUAGUAUAAUGGACUAUGCUCAUGAAACAUACCACACACAAAAAGAAUAUGCAAAAGAGGUGGCCUAAUCUCAUCCAUACUUAUGUUGAUUUUUCAAUCAACUAGCCUUAGGACUUUGAGAUAUCAUAGGCCAAAUGAGAUGAAUGCAUAAAGAAGGGGAAUGAGAUGAAGAGGGAGGGGAAUGGAUCAAAACUCAAAUUGGUCAAAGGAGGACUUUUACCAAAUUAAUAUCAUCCAUUCAUUUUGGGAGAUGGAAUGUACAUUCCAUCAAUCCCCUAAAUCCAAUGAUAUUAACUUGACAAAGUCAAAUCAACCUUGACCAAGGCCCAACAACAAGAGUCAAACACAAACAAGUCAUCACAAUUGGUCAACAAAAUUAUUUGGCAUUUAUUCAAAUUAAAAAUACUAAAAUAAUACAUUUAAAUUAAAUAUGGUUUGUCAAAUUCCUAAAACCUCAUCAAAACACCAAAGAAAUGGCCAUGAGAUUUAUCAUAGGUCAAUCAAGGUAAAAGGACCUUGGAGAAAAAAAUUCAGAAUUUUUAAAGACUUAAAAGUAUUUUUAAACAAUUAAAAACAAAUGCAAAAUCAAUUAAAUCAUGAAAAAUAUUAAUAAUGAUCCAAAAAAUAAUUUAAUUCGGAAUAUGAAAGAGGAAAUUAUUUGAAAAUUUUUGGUGAAACUCUCAUAUUUUUUGGAUCAAUAUUAAUAUUAAUAUGAAUUAAUGAAAAUAAAAGAAAUAAAAGAAAAUCAGAAAAUAACAAAAAAAACGUGGACCACUUGAUCUCCCUCAUUAAUUGAGGUGGCAGAUCAAGUGGUCCUCAGCGCGUUUUCCACCGUAGACUUAAGUCAAUGCGCCACAGGAAUGGUAAUCAGAACCAACGCGUGAGAUUAAAACAAUUUGAACCAGAUCAAUGGCUCUGAACACUUCCAGUGCAUCGCGGCGCCCAAAGGCCGGUCAUCUUCUCCGGUGACCCUAGCCGGACUGGUUCACUCAUCACCAUCAAGAAAAUGAAAAAGGAGGAUAUGAUCUGAAAGAAAAAAUGGUGUAGAGCACGAAUUUGACCUCAAUUUUAACUAACUCCACAUAUAUAGAGAGAUAUGAGGAGUUGAAUUUUGAGGUGUGUUAACUGAGUUGCUUCGAUUUGACCUCUAAGCAACUCAAUCUUCUUGCCUACAUUGGUAGGACUUCAGACAACCAAAGAUCCAAGAGAACUGAGUGGAAUUGAGAGAGAACCGAAGAGAUGAAAUUUUCUGGAAAAUACCUUCAAUGCAGGGCUGGAUUCAAUUGUUCUUGCUUUGGCUCGUGCUUGAUCUUGCUCAGUAUGCUUGCAGAAGUAGAUUAGGAUGCACAAAAGGUCUUGGAUCCCUGGAGUUUUGAAUCUCAAAACAGUGAGAUUCCAACUCAAUUUCCAAAGGAAAUUCUCAGGAUUAUCCUCUCAAAUGGAAGGGUUUGGUGUUUGGGAUCAAAGCUAGCGCGAAUGGGUCCUUAGUUCUGAGCAUAAUAAGCUCUAUUUAUAGCUGAAUCACAUGAAAUUUGCACCUUUCAAAUGAGCUUCUAAAAUUGGCAAUGAGUGGUGCAUGUGUGCAUGGGCGUGUGCAGGCCCAUGAGAUCAUUCCAUUUGGUCCAUAAUUGAGUGUGAACAAGUCUGAAAUCAAAUUGGAGUGCUAGGCAAUUGUACAUGGAAGCUUGAAGUUUGAUUUUUUCCAAAUGAUGAUGCAAUGUAGAAGACAUGCACAGCUCAUUUAAACCUUGUCCAAAAUGGAUGAAAUUAGACUUUUUGGAAAGGUUAGAUCAAGAGGAACAACUCUCAUGUUCAACAAUUUUCCAUUUGAAGCUUGUCUCAUGAUGAAUUUUGAGGUGGAAGUUUGGAAAUUUCAACAUAUCAAAAAAAAUUCUAAGUGUCAAGCCAUAUAUCUCAAUAUUCCACCUUGCUUAACAUUUUAUGUGAAAUUCAAAUGAGAAAAGUGUCUUCAUCAAAGUUGUAUCUCUUUCAAAGACCUUCAAAAUGGUCACCAAUUUCAUGUCAUUUGGAUUUGGGAUGAUAGAGUUAUGCAUUUUUGAAGUUUGGAAAAAUCACUUGUUCAAUGGUAUAAGUCAAAAGUGACCUAUCAUGUAACCUCAUAUCACAUGCUCGUAAAAGUUUAAUUAGCUCCCACUCAAAACAUAAAAUUUGAAGUAGACAUCUUGAAUUUGAUUAUGAAACUUGUAAAUAUUUCAUCUCAUAAAUAUUGAGAAAGUUAUGGCCUUGGGAAGUUGACUUUCAAAUUAGGGUUUAGACAAAAUGAUCUAUAAUGUUUCAACAUAGAAAAUGAUUUUCCAAGCAAAACUAGCUCUAUGUCUCAACAUGAAACUUGUUUGGAAUGUCAUUUAGAGUAACGUUUCUCUUUGAAUAAUUUUCAUAUGGUGAAAAUUGUAGGAGAUAGGGUCUAGGGAGACCCAGUUUUGAUCAGAUGAAUUCAUCUGGCCAACCACCAUCAACCAACUUGCUAACCUUCAAUUAUUUGUACUUCCUUGGCUCACGGUAGAUCAUAUAUGCAUAAGAUGAUGAAUUUUUAAGUGUACCUUGAGAAAUUUGAUCAAUUGGUAAGAUAGCUUGUUGGAGAAGUUACUCAAGAUACCCAGUCAAACUAGGGUUUCCAAGACAAAUCACCCUCAAACUCUUGAAGAAUGCUUGACCAAUAUAACAUGUAGGAAUCAAUGGAACUCAUAUAUGAUGCUCAUAACCAUUAUUAGAUCAAUUUAUGGUUGUGCUCUUUGUCAUGAGGGUCCUAAACCAUAGAUAUGAACUUGAUAGAUCAAUGGUGAUCAUGCCCUACCUACAAAAAAGUUAGGCAAAUGCAAAGACAUAUUUUUGUAUUUUGGUUAGUAAAAUGAUAAUAUACAAGUAUGAUACAAUCACAUAGUGCUUGGUGAUCUCUCCCAAAACAAACCUAAUAAAAGAGGGGUAAGGAGAAUGUCAAGGUAUGAUCCCAAUGUUAAUGCUUAUGAUGAAAUUGCAUGAGGGAUCUUAGGGUCAAAAUUGGGGUCUUACACACACUGACAAUACUCGAAUAAAUUGCAUGUUUAAUAAUUUGUAAUGAAAAUUAUUUUUUACUUCAAAAAAAUUAUGUUUUUAAAUUAAAGAUUGUUUGCUACGAAAGUAGAAUCACAAAUAUACCAUUUAUGCACCUACGAGGGCGGUAUUUGACAUAGAAAUUCGACCAAUAAAUUAUGAUGGUCGUGAAAAAGCAAGAAUAGAAUCAGAAUCUAUUUAGAGAAUUUAGCAUUUUUAGAUUUUUUGUAUCGAAUUUUUUGCUUGUAAAACUCAUUGUUCUACUACAAAAAUAGUGACACUGAAAUUCUAUUUACAAUUCAAAAGAGCGAAAACAAUAUUAGGCUUAGAAAAUUCUUAUUUUUAAUUAGUAGAUAUGCAAAAUAGAUUUUUAAUUAAUUAUGAAAUUACUACUUUUCAACUCGUAAUAUGUAUCUCGCGAAAGCAAACGAAUACGAGUCUAAACCCCAGUAACGGACACACGAAAGUGGUCGAUACCUCUAACUAGUUUUUCUGCAAAAAAAUAGCAAAAUUGUUUUUUCGUUACAAUGUAAUGCUGCAAUUUAUGAGGGUAACACGGGUAGAUGGAAAUCAUGUUACGGUCUCUUGUUAUUAGAAUUAAUUUUAAAACCUUUAUUUUCCAAUCACGCGAACAAGCACAAUAACACCGCCUUAGAUAAACAACGUAGUAGUAGAGAACGAUAUUUGUCAUUUGGUUUAUGUGAGAUUUGAUAUCUUUUAUAUUAAAACGAUAAAGUCGUGCACUUGUAGGCAUGUCAAGUAUUAUAAAUAUAUAAGACUAAUUAUUAAAUUACUAAAGCAAUAUGCACACACACACUUAAAAUUAGUUUUAAACUUAUCUCUUUUAUUAAACACCAUAAAACCUAUAAAGGAACCCUCAAUAUGCAUGUGGGAUUGACCAAGAGUGUUCCUAAUCAUUUAUGAAGCACUUGUAUACUACCUAAUCAUUUCAAAAUACUUAUAAUCAAUUACAACACAUAAUCGUUGUAGGGUUUUCUUUUUGGGAUUAUUGUUGUCGUAUAUUUGAAACUUCCAAUUGAUUAAACCUAUGUCAUAAUCAUAUAGACCAUUAAAAGGCCAAUGAAUCUUUUUAGUUUUUGAGCCAAAAUUUUCUCCUAUAAAUAGAGGGUUUCUCCUCAUUUCAAAAUACACAAGAAAAUGUAUUUCUAUAUUUCUCACUUUCUACUCUCUCCAUUUUAUUUCUUUCUUUUUUCAUGAAAUUGCCUUAGUGCUUUGAGUGUGAAAAAUAUUAGUGAGACUUUUGUUGUUUUGGUGUUGUGGGAAUUUUGUAAGUUACUCAAAAUGGUUUGUCUCUUGUGUAAUAUCUUUGAAAUGAUUUUUUACUUAAUUCAUGAGAUAAACCAGUGAAAUGAAGCUGGCAAGAAACACAAGAAAUGGGAGUUUGAAUUUGGUUUCUAAAAACAAAAGCUUUUUCAAAACCAACUCAAUAAAACAAUAUCAUGAACAAGAAAAAUAAGAUAUUUAUUUUUAUACUUGUUCGUUGUUAACGAAGUUACCCUCAGUGCACCCUAUCGAGGUGAUUUCGCCUUCUCAAGAAGGACUUAAUCCACUAUAAUCAAAACUUGAUUACAUACACCACAAGGACAAAUCGUCCUUGUCUUCUUGAGUCUAUCUGACAAAAACCUAAUGACUCAAGGAAACCACUUAAACAGAUUAUAGAUUUACAAGUUGUGUUUACAAAGAAUGUUUCUAAAAAGAAGAUUAACACAAGUUAAUACAAUGAAUAUUUCUCACACAAUAAUAAGCAAAAACUCGUGUGUGUUUAUAAAGAAUAUACACAGAAACUAUUUACUAAGGAAAAAGCGUGUGUAUGUUUAGUAAGAGUGUUAUCAAAGCAUUAGCAAAGAGUUAGAAACUUCUUCCAAUCUUCAAGUCUCCUUUAUAUAGCCAUAUAAAAGAUCUUUUGGAGGUUAGAAUUGGAGUACUGAAAUGCAGCUGUCUAUUUCAUAAUGGUUUACAUACAAGCGAAAAAAUGGUACAAUAGUAAUGUCCUUAGCCCAUAAAAUCAGGGUAGUGGCGAAAAGGGAGAUCUUGUACUGUGCACUAUUUUCCUGAUGUAAAUCCUUUUGAUCUAAUCUUCUAAUAUUCAUAGGCUUCUGAUAAAAUGAUGUUGAAGCAUGCUUAUAAGGAUCAAGAUAUAAAUUGACAGAAUCUUCAGAACCUUGGUCUUUAGAUCCUUGACAUAACUCCUCAGAACCUAGUCUUCAGAGUCUUCAUAUCUUGUUCUUCAUAAUCUUCAGAGCUUGAUCGCAGAAUCUAGAAGGUUGACAAAUCUUCAUAGUCUCUAACAAUCAGAGUCACAGUUAAAAGCUUUAGCACAAAUAUUCAUCAGAACUGUUGUCUAAGAGCUUUCUAGAACUUGACAGCAUCUUGUAAAACACUUGUAUCUCCUCAGAGACAGAGUGUGUUGAUUCCAGAAUAUGAUAACGUCACGCAUCAUUUGUUCAGAGUCAUAACCUGUUAGAAAAAUCUACACACUAGAUAAAAACCAUUAGUGUACACAAUUUUUCUCUAAGAAAUAAUGCAUUAUUAUCAUCAAAACUAAAGGCCAGAUGUAGAACCAAAUCUUGUUCUAACAAUCUUACCCGUUUUGAUAAUGACAAAACCAUGUAUUAUGAUGAACAAUUUUUACAAAGUUUAAUCACAUAAAAAUAUCAGAGCGAGGUUUGUAAGCUCCCCUUGAAUUUUAUACAAUUAAAAAUUAUUUUUCAGCUUAGAAUGUCAUAGUUAGGUUUGCAAGCUCCCCAUGAAUUUAAGACUUAAAAUAAUCUCAACACGUAUAAAACUUUCAAUCAACAUGAAAGAAAUAACUUCCCAUAAGGCAAAAGCCUGGUUGUUUCUCUCUUUUAGAAAGUGAGAUGUUUGGUCAUCAUUUGAUUGCUAUCUUUCCAUGAUACAAAAGCCUUGUGAUAAUGGAUGAAAUAGCUUGCCAUAAUGCAUCAGCUUGGGUACAGAAGCAACUCCGUCAGAGUUCUUGCUUGAGUAUCAAAAAGUCUGGUUAUCAGCCUCGUCACAGAGCAUGAUUUGUCAGAGCUUUCAGAUGUCUGGUUACAUAUGCUUUCAGAUUCCUAAUUGUAUAACUUAUGUUUGAGUUAGAACUGGUUUCAUAGCCUAGUUUCAGAGCGAAAGAUCAACUUAGUUCACUUGAACAUAGUUCAGAACCUGAAUAAGCCUUAGAACCUGAAACACUUGGUUAGAAUAAUGAACUUUUACAAAGUUCUCAGAAAUAUUGCCAAGUUAGAAACAUGUUUCAGUUUCAUAAUGAAAUUAGAUAUAUCAAAAUUAUUCAUUCUUUUUCUCCCCCUUUGUCAUGAUUCAAAAAUAAAUAAAAGACAAAGUAAAAACAGACAUCAUUCAACAAACAUUUCAUUUCAUUCAUAGAAUAAGAGAAUACAAAGAACAUAAAUGAAAUAAACACAAAGUUUUUUUAAAACUAGGGUUUAGGAUGGGGUGACAGUCUUGAUAAGACUUCUCCAAGCAUCCCUGCUAGCAUAUUUGUCUUCUCAUCUUGACACUUGAGUUUCUUUUUUACUUCAUAAUUCUUAGUUGUCAGGCACUUAAAAGUCUUCAGAAUAAAUUCAUUAGAAACCAUAACCUUCUUAGAACUAGAGACACGUGUAACUUCUAGAGAAGGCUCAGCAGCAACCAAGGGAGCAUGAACCAGAGAAGGAGAAGGAGUCACAUCAGGACCAGGAAACAGAAGAGUUGGAGGGACCUUCUGCAGAAGAGGUUCAACUAUACCAGAGAGUCUGGCAUGGAAGUUCCUCGUUGCUUUCUUUAGGCAAGCAACCUCUAGCUCCUUAGAACUGACUUUAAUCCAGCCUCUGAAGUUAUUGGUCAGAGCACAUACCUUAUGUAGCGGGGUAUUCGUUACCUUAUGGUUUAUUGACUAAACCAAAAGUAAACAUACAAUUCGAGUCACCACCGCACUUUUAUUUGUCCAAAGGAAAGGCUAAAAAGCGAACAAAAGCCAAGUAAGAAAUUAUUGACUAAACCAAAAGUAAACAUACAAUUCGAGUCACCACCGCACUUUUAUUUGUCCAAAGGAAAGGCUAAAAAGCGAACAAAAGCCAAGUAAGAAGUUUUAUCAAAUCAAAAACUAAUAAAAUAGUCAGAGAUCUGGGUAAGGGGGUUGGUUAUGAAAUGGGAAGGUUUUACGCACCCAAAACAUCCUUAGUACUCUAAGGGAACCUCUUUUUGCAAAUGUGUGUUGUAGGUUGGUAUUUGUGAAAAUAUUUGUGCAAACAGAUUGGGGGGACGAGAAAAGAAUAAAUCAUAUUUACAAUUUUGUUGUUUGAAUGGAUGAACCCAUUGCAUACGUACCAUCACAAAGGUAGGAUCAAAACCUCGUAGUUCGGGGUAAAAAUCUCAAAGAUUUUUGAAUUGAUUUGAUCAAAAGCUUUAAGGUAUUUUGUUAUCAAAGGGAGAGAACUCAACCUAAACCAACAAUCCACCAUGUGAUGAGGGCUUCAUCAUACUAGUGAGGGGUUAACCCUAUAAUAAGUAUGGAAGACUUAUAUUCCAACCACUAAGGAUAAGGUGAGGUUUACAUCAACCACUAUGAUAACUCAAACCUAUGGCUAAUGUUUAUGAAAAGUUUUUAACAAAGGUGGCCAUUGGAACCACAAAAAUAACUUGAAGUGAGUUGUAUUUACAAGUUAAGUUUAUUUACAAAAUGAAGUCAAAGUUGAAUUAAGAUUUAUUCACAAUGAGUGUUAAUGAAAAGAUUUUGAAAAGUCAAAGGCAUAAGGCCUAGGUUUCUAAUUUGAAACAAAGUCAAAGUUUGCACAUAAAUGAGUUUGACUUGGGUUAGAGUGAGGAGAAGAAGAGAAGGGCUAGUCUUAAGGAAUACAAAGAUAAGAGAAGAGAUAAAACCCUUGGAGUUCCUUUUCUUGAAAUCAUAGAGAUGAUUCAAGAUACUCCUUUCCUUUGGACUUAGCAAUCACUCAAGCAAUCAAACAAAUAUUUAGAUUCAAGCUCCUAGGAUCUCCAAUUGACUUGUCUCUCUUAACUUGGCUACUCAUGACAAUGGUCCUUCUUACUAUCUCAAGAUGGAAUCCCUAUCACGCAAGAGCAAACAUCAAAAGGUUCACAACAUAAUAGGAGGAAUGGACAAAGAAUGAGUUUAGAUUAGGGGUCCUUUGAAGUCAACUUUAAGAUUUAGCAUUCUAAAGGCAUGAGGCCUAGUUGCUCUUUGAACUCCUUUAAGCAUAGGUAAGGUCCUAAUUUCAAGUCCUUCUCCUUUUUGCAUUGGGUACACACAAACAAAGACAAAACAACACACGCAACAAUAUAUUUAUAUACAAUAAUGAGCUCAAAUGAGCAAAAGGAAAAAUGACAUAAACAUAAAAUAUGUGCUCAGUGAGCAAAGGGAAAAGCAUAUGAAUAAAUGAGCAAGAAAGUAAAUUGCAUUAAGUAAAUUGCAAGAAAUUAAAUGCUCAAAUUAAAGUUAGUAAUUAGUGUGUAUGUUAGGUGUCAUAAGACAAUUUAGCGCUAUGUAAGCAAUCGUAAGUGGACUAUUGUAGUAGUCACACCUAUCUGAGCCGCGUCAAUAAAACUAUAGGCAAAUAAACACAAGUUAGAGAUCAUGACUAGUAAGCCAAGCUCCUACAACUUGCCAUGCCAAAAGAAAAGAGGAAAGGCCUUGUAUGGACUUUAGGUUUUUUGCUUGACCAAGAAGCAACCUAUCUUGGACACAAAGCAACUCACUUGAUCUUGGAUCAAGUUAAAUUUGAUUUGGAUCAAAGAAGGUUAAACAUCUCAUAUGUCAAGACCAACCAUGAGACAUUAACUCAUUGGCCAAAAAUAAAAAGAAAGUGAGAUGAAGAUGAAAUGAAAUGGAAAGGGAAAUAAAGUGUCAAAUACAAUUGGUCAAAAGUGAAUCAAAUCAUCAUCAACCAAUGCUAAAUAGAAGAGAAAUGAAGAUUAGAAGUCAACAAGUCAAACAUAUUUUUUUGGUAUUUUUGGAAUUAAAAUACAUGCAAAUUUAAAAUGGACAAAAUAUGGUCAAACCUCAAAUUCAAUUCAAAUCAACUUCAACAAGUCCAAUUAAAUUCUCAUAGGUCUAACAUGGUCAAACAAGGUUUGACAAAAAAUUUCAACAAUUUUUGAAAUCAGAACAUAUUUUAAAUCAAUUUAAAACAAUAAAAUAACACAAUAUGAAUUAAAAUCUCAAAUCAAUUAAGAAUUGAUGAGACUAUUUUUUAUUGACUUAUUGAUCCAUAUGUGUUAAGAAAAUAUUUUUGGAUUUUUCAGAUAUCAAAAAGUAUUUAAAAUGAAUUAAAAACUAUUAAAAACUAAAUAAUUCACAAAAAAUAUUAAAUGAAGUCACAAAAAUAAUUAAAAAUCAGAAUAUGAAACUAGAUUUUUCAAGAAAUUUUUUGGCAUUGAUCUCAUAUUUUUGUGACGUCAAAUAAAAUAUUUAUGAAUUUUUGAAAAUAAAAGGAAAUAAAUGAAAUUAAAACAGAAAUAAGAAAAUAGCAAAAAUCCAGCGUCACAUGAUCCUUUCAUUAAUUGUCGUGGCAUUAUCACACGGCUCAGAGGUGCUGGUGCACGAAGGACCUUGGUCAAGCGCGCCACAAAAGGAUUUAAAACAAGUCAACAUAACACACGGCCAUGAUUAAAACGUUUGAGAGAGAUCCAAGGGAUCAUAAGCUCCCACGUGGGGAUGGUGGUGGAAACCACCCUCUUCUCCGGCCAGCUAACUGGUUCCGGCCACCACGCGCAGGUUUUUAAAACUUAAUAAAAAUAAACAAACAAGGUAUCAAAAUGAAGCUGGGGUCUACAUGUAGUGGGGACAUUGGAACCUAGAAGCUCAAUGUUUCUAUUUAGAGAGAAACAAGAGGUUGAAGAUCAUGGUGUUUGAUCUGAAAUGUCAUGAUUCAUGAAAUUAAGACCACCACUGGCCUUCCUCUUGCUCGAGGACUUCAGAAAACAGGUCAAACUCAAGCAAUUCACAUUGUAUAGCAAGAUCCAGAUCAAAAUAGUUUAGUGAUAUACCUUUGAAAUGGAGCUUUUAACAGCACGAUCUCUACAAGCUUUUGAUCCAAAUUUAAUCUGGAGAUGUGAUGAUGAUGCAAGGCUAAGGAAUUAAGACUUGAAGAUCAACUAAUGAUGUUGAAAUUCAAGCUUGAAAUUGAAAAUGAAAAACUGAAAUUCCUUUGAGUGAGGUUGGGUUUCCAAUUCUGCAGAGUUUCAGAUCUCCUUCAGGUUGAAAUUUGAAUGAGCUAGCACUUCUAUUUAUAACUGGAGAUGAUGCAAUGGGGUGCUUUGCUCGUGUGCAUGGAACUUGGACUCUUCCUGCAUGGGCCUGUACAGGCGCGUGCAAAGCCCAAAAAUGGAUGAAAAUGCAAACUGAACUCAAAUGCAAAUGGUUUGGACGUGUAAUUGGAGCUGCAUUGGCUUGUGCAUGAAGUUAUGAUGUGAAUUGCAUAAAUGAACCUAAUCAUUGAGCUCUUCGAAACACAAACAUGAAAAUCCAAAAAUGGUCAUGUGAGUAAUGGUUGGAAAGCUAUUGACAUAAGUAACAAAAGUCAUGUUGGGAAAAAACUCAUUUGGAGUUUGGAAAUUUAUGAAAACUGGCUGUGAAGAUUUGGGUACAAAACAUGUCUUUGAAAAAUUUGCCAAAAACAAGCAACUUCAAACCCUUCUGUUUCGAUGAUGCAAGCCUCAAAUGGAAAAACCUUAAAUAUAAAAGUUGUAGAUAUUUUCAAGAUAAUAAAUUUGGACUUAAAUUUUGCAUCAUUUGGAUUUUUACUGAGAAAGUUAUGGGCACUUGAAGUUGGAUAUUUUUCAAAUUCAAUGGUUUUGGUCCAAAGUCACCUAUAAUGUUUUGUAUUAUCACAUGUGUUUCUUUUAGGAUUAUGAAAUUUUGUCCAACAUGACAAUUGAAUUGGAUAUCUUAAUAUUUCCAAUGCAAUUGGUCUCACCUCAAAAUCAUAAAAAAUAAGGAAGUUAGUUCCUUGGGAAGUUGACCCAAAAUUAGGGUUUCAGUCAAAAUGACCUAUAAUGUUUUGAAAUGAAUGAUGACCUUCCAAGUUUCAAAUGGAUUUUUUAUGAACAUUAAAGUUGUUCAUAUGGUUUUUAAGAACAUGUUUUCUCUUGGGGUAAUAUUCAUUUGACAAACACAUCAAAAGUUAGGUCUCAGUGAUCUUCAGUUUAGUCAGAUGAUUUGACUAGUCAACUUCUCAAGGCCAAACCUCAAAUCUUGAUGAAUGUAUGAUUGAGGAUACUCACAUAGGCUCAUAUAUGCAUAAAAUAAUGAAUGCAAGAACAUACCUUUAUUGAAUUUGAUCAUAGGUUGAGGUUGCUUCAUGAGCAAGGCACAAUCAAUGCACAGUUGAACUAGGGUUUCCUUGGGAAACAAUCCUCAAGCCCUUUGGUUUAUCUUGAUCAAAUUGGAAAAGUGAGAUACUUGGGAGACAUAUAUGAUGAUUAGGAACUUUGUGGACCAUUUUCAUGCUUGUUCUCAUCCUCAUCUAGCCAUUUCAUUGAGCAUUGGAGCACAUGAUCACUUGAGCUUCAAAACAAAAAGAGUUAGUGACAUAUUUUUGUGCUUUUGGUUAGUAAACAGAUAAGAAAAACAAUAAUAUACAAUUAAAGCAUUCUUGGUGGUCUCAAACCACUCUCAUAAGUUCCAACCCCCCUAGGGUAAAGGAGCCACACAUGUUAUGAUCCUUGAGGCAAUGCAUUAAGCAAAUGAUAUGAUGCCAUAAGGGAUCUUAGGAUCAAAAUUAGGGUCUUACAGAUGCCCCUAUUUAAGGUCAUUCUAGCCGGAGAUAUGAAGGUUAAAAUCUUCGUUUCUACGAGAUAGAAUGGGCUUAAAUAAUAACAAAGAGACGAAUUUUGGUCCCUAAGAGACCUCAUGAUGCAAAUGUAUGCAUGCAAAAUAAAAUCUUCAUGGUGAAUAAUUGCCAUGAAGGAAAAGAAAUCAGGAGAAACUGAAAAAUCCAUAGGAGUAAUACACUCACUAGGGAGACAGAGACUCUGGGGAAAAAGUGUAAAAAUACGUGAGCAGGUCACGUCUUGAAAACUUGCUGGGAGACGCGAAGGGAUUCCAUGAAAAUAAAUCGAUGGAAAGACUCGAGCUGACGCAAAGAUGCAUGUAUUGGGGAAUAUGCCAAUACAGCGAAACUAUCCACAAAGGAUACUUCGGAUGAAAAUCCGGACUCAGACGGGUAUGUCCACAAAGGACUCAGCUGAGGAAGAAACAACGAGAUAUUACCGGUUACUGGAUAAUAAACUCAAAGGGAGACAUGUCAUUAAAACACUGGUAUAAGUGUGAGAUAUAAACAUGCUCAGGGAGAAAGAAAUAUCUAAGACCGGUAUAAGGGUGAGAGAUAUCAAUCAUCCAAAAUACCUGAGGAGGACCCAAAAGGCACAUCUCAAACUCAGGAAACUCUGACUCCACGGGGGACAAAAAGUCAUAAUAGGGAGCAGAAGGAAGGAACACCAGGGACACCGGUUAUUGGGCAUAUAAUAGGUGACCAACCAGACGUGAAUUGGGAACAUAUCCAAGACACUCAUCAUCCGAAAGGAGGGCUGAAAAAGAAAACUCGAUUUACAGGAUGGGCAUUCGAUCUCAGAAGGAAAUACGAAUCUUACUCAACUGGGGAAGAAAAAGACUUCAACUGAAGAGCGCAUGAGAUAUAUUAUCUAUUACCGUCAGAAUGUAGAUAACAUACUCACAUGGAAGAUUAUCCACAACCGGUUACUGGGUUAAUAAAGGAUAAAUCGACCGAAAAAGAAAGGACAUCGGGAUAUCGGCUACUGGGUAUAAAAUGAUGACCAAUCAAAAGAAGAAACAGUCAUUACCAAACAAGGGUAAAUGAAAGAUGACUCGCAAAGGGGAUAAAUUGCUUGAUGAGAGCAAUUAUGCAAGAGAUAUAUCACCGGUUACUAGGUGGUAUACUCAAAACGAAGGAAUAUCAAUACCGAAUAUUGGAUAAAGAUAACCAACAAAUAGAGGAUUACAUCUACCGGUUACUGGGUAGAAAACCACAAAAAAAGGACUUACAACUACCGGUUAUUGGGUAGAAGGCCACAAAGAUCCACUGGGGAAGGGAUGAACAAUUACUGGUUACUGAGCAAUUGGACAACUAAACCACAGGGAACUGCAGGGGAAAUAACAAGAAAGGAGUCAAUCUAGGAACAAACUAGAAAGACACAAUCAAACAAGACUCAACCCGAUGAGGAUAUAACCCAGGGGAGUAAUUCCAUCUCGGUACACAACUGGGGAGGAAAUCGAAAUAAAAAUCAUCCACGAGGACAUAACUCAGUGGGGAAUAAAGAAAGAAAGAUAGGCACUUUCUGCCUAUGGGGCUGACUCUAUUUGGAGAGAUCAGACACGAGCAUCUGCUUAGGGAAGAACAUUUCACCAAUAGCAGGAGAUAACAAGCAAAGAUAUAUGGCAAAGAAUGCAACAUGAGUAUCUGAAUGCUAUAAUUGUGCAUGUAUAUUCGUGGUUUAUGUAUGAUUAAUGCUGACAAACAGACAUAUCUAACAUAAACAUGUUCCAGAGCCAUGAACGGACAUCUGGUAUAACAUCUCAAAAAGAGAAAGACAAGGCCCACAGAAAAAUCAGCUUUGGUGGGGAAGCAUCAAAUACCUGGAGACAUAGACCAUCGCUGGGGAUAGGCAAAGUCUCAGAUGGGGAACAUGCAGAGAUAUCAAUAAGAUCUGUCAUAAAAGAACUCUACUGGGGAACUUAUCAAGGGAUGUUGUGAGAUUCUGUGGGGAACAACCACCAAACAGAUACACAUUAAUCAAACAUUCUCUUCUAACUGCUAAAGAGACAUCUCUGCUAAUAGAAGAAGGAACAAAUUACUCUGGUGGGGAAGGAAAUAACACAUCUUCCUCAAAAUCCCUCAAUGCUGGAAGAGAUCUUCAGGGGAUACAAGCUGUCAUGAUCGGAUUGGGCAACCCUGCAGUGGAUGGACUGUAGGCGACCAUACUAGGGAUAGCCUGCUAUAAGCAACCUUACUGGGGAUGAGCUGUAGACAAACCUGUUGGGGAGAAACCACAAGUACCUCCGCAGGAACUGUCUUAACUGAGGGAAUCGAAAGUGAAUCCUUCAUCAACAUGUGCCAUGUUGGGGAUGAAAAGGGAUUCAGGCCCUUCGUCGAUUGCUCCAGGCAACUUCCUGCUGAGGAGACAAAUAUCUGGAAAGAUAGCUCCGCAGGGAACACAUGCUUACUCCGCUGAGAAUUUCUACUCAUAUCGGGGAAAGACAAACUUCCUCGUGAAUAGAUAGCUAUAGCGGGGUAUCCGUUACCUUUAGAUUUAUUGACUAAAUCAAAAGUAAAUCAUACAAUUCGAGUUGCCACCGCACUUCUAUUUAUCCAAAGGAAAGGUUAGAAAGCGAACAAAAACCGAGAAGUUUUAUCAAAUCAAAAACUAUUUAUCCAAAGGAAAGGUUAGAAAGCGAACAAAAACCGAGAAGUUUUAUCAAAUCAAAAACUAAUAAAAAUGUUAGAGAUCUGGGUAAGGGGGUUGGUUAUGCAAUGGGAAGGUUUUAAGCACCAAAAACAUCCUUAGUACUCUAAGGGAGCCCUUUCUGCAAAUGUUGUAUGGUAGGUUGGUAUUUGCGAAAAUAUUUGUGCAAACAUGAUUGGGGAGAUGAGAAAAGAAUAUACAAAUUAUUUAACAAUUUUGUUGUUUGAAUGGAUGAACCCAUUGCCUACGUACCAUCACAAAGGUAGGAUCAAAACCUCGUAGUUCGGGGUAAGAAUCUCAAAAAAUAAGUUGGUGAAUUGAUUUGGACAAAAACCUUAAGGUCUUUUGUUAUCAAAGGGAGAAAACUCAACCUAAACCAACAAUCCACCAUGUGAAGAGAGCUUCAAUAUAAUAGUGAGGGAUCCACCCUAUAAUAAGUAUGGAAGACUUAUAUUCCAAUCACUAAGGAUAAGGUGAGGUUUACAUCAACCACUAUGAUAACUCAAACCUAUGGCUAAUGUUUAUGAAAAUAUUUUAACAAAGGUGGUCAUUGGAACCACAAAAGCAAACUUGAGUGAGUUGUAUUUACAAAUUAGAACUAUUCACAAAAUGAAAUCAAAGUUGACUUAAGAUUCAAUUCAAAAUAAGUAUUAAUGAAAAGAGAUUGAAAAAUCAAAGGCAUAUGGCCUAGGUUUCUAGUUUUGAAAACAAUGUCAAUGUUUGCACAAAAAUGAGUUUGGCGUGGGUGAGAGUGGAGAGAAGAAGAGAAGGGCUAGUCCUAAAAAUGCAAAGAUAAGAGAAGAGAAUAAAACCCUUUGAGUUCCUUUCUUAAGAUCAUAAAGAUGAUCCAAGAUGCUCAUUUCCUUUGGACUUAGCAAGCAAUAAGCAAUUAACUCAAGCAAUCAAGCAAAUAUUCAAUCAAGCUCCUAUGAUCUCCAUUUGGCUUGUCUUUCUCUUAACUUGGAUGUUCAUGACAAUGGUCCUUCUAACUAUCUCAAGUUUGGAAUCCCUAUCACACAAGAACAAACAAUCAAAAAGUUCACAAUGCAAUAAGAGGAGUCUUUCUCUUAACUUGGAUGUUCAUGACAAUGGUCCUUCUAACUAUCUCAAGUUUGGAAUCCCUAUCACACAAGAACAAACAAUCAAAAAGUUCACAAUGCAAUAAGAGGAAUGGACAAAGAGAGAAUUUAGAUUAAGGGUCCUUUCAAGUCAACUUCAAGAUUUAAGCAUUCUAAAGGCAUGAGGCCUAGUUGCUCUUCAACAAGUUUAGCAUUCUAAAGGCAUGUGGCCUAGUUGCUCUUGAACUCCAUUAAGCAUAGGUAAGGUCCUAAUUCUAAGUCCUUUCUACUUUUUGCAUUGGGUUCACACAAACAAAGACAAAACAAGCACAAGGCAAUAGUAUAUUUACACAAUAAUGUGCUCAAGUGAGCAAAAGGAAAAUGGCAUAAACAUAAACAUGAUCUCAAGUGAGCAAAGGGAAAAGGCAAUAUGAAUAAAUGAGCAAGAAAUUAAAUUGCAUUAAAGUAAAUUGCAAGAGUUAAAUGCUUGAAUUAAAAGUUAGUAAUUAGUAGUUAGUGUUGGUCUGCCAUAAGGCAAUUUAGCGCUAUGUUAAGCAAUCGUAAGUGGACUAAUGUAGUAGUCACACCUAUCUGAGGUCGAUCAAUAAAACUAUAGGCAAAUAAACACAAGUUAUAGAUCAUGACUAGUAAGCCAAGCUCCUACAACUUGCCAUGCCAAAAGAAAAGAAGAAUGACCUUGUAUGGAUUUUAGAUUUUUUGCUUGACGAAGAAGCAACCUAUCUUGGACACAAAGCAAUUCACUUGAUCUUUGAUCAAGUUGAAUUUGAUUUGGAUCAAAGAAGGCUAAGCCUCUCAUAUGUCAAGGCUAACCACAAAUCAUUAACUCAUUGGUCAAAAGAAAAUAAUGAAGAAAGGAGAUGAAGAUAGAAUGUACAAAAUGAAAAUUCAAAUGACAUAACCAAAACACAAUGAUCAAAUGUGAAUGGAAUCAACAUCAAUCAAUGGUAAACAGAAGUGAAAUGAAGAUUAGAAGUCAAGAAAUGUCAAACAUAUUUUUGGUAUUUUUUGGAAUUAAAAUAAUGCAUAAAAUAAAAUGAACAAAUUAAGGUCAAACUUCAAAUCCAAUUCAAAUCAACUUGGAUAAGUCCAAUUGGAUCAUCAUAAGUCUAACAUGGUCAAACUAGGUUUGACAAAUUUUCUCAACAUUUUAUAAGGUCAAACUUCAAAUCCAAUUCAAAUCAACUUGGAUAAGUCCAAUUGGAUCAUCAUAAGUCUAACAUGGUCAAACUAGGUUUGACAAAUUUUCUCAACAUUUUUUGAAAACAGAAACUAUUUUUUAACAAUUAAAAAUGAAAAAAAAUAACACAAAUGGACUAAAAUCUCAAAUAAAUCUCAAAUCAAUUAAGAAAUUAAUGAGAAUAUUUUUCAUAGACUUAUCAUCAUCCACAUGUAUUAAGAAAAUAUUUUUGGCAUUUUUGAAUAUCUAAAAGUAUUUAAAAUGAAUUAAAAAUAAUCAAAAACAAAAAUAAUUCACAAAAAAUAUUAAAUGGAAUCACAACAAUAAUUAAAAAUCAGAUUAUGAAACUAGAAUUUAAGAGAAUUUUUUUGCAAUUGGUCCCAUAUUUUUGUGAUUCCAAAUAAAGAAGUUAUGAAUUUUUGAAAAUAAAUGGAUUAAAAGAAAAUAAAACAGAAAUUAAAAAAUAUGAAAAAACCACAGCGCUCAGAUCCACUUUCAUUAAUUAACGUGGUUGAUCCUAAGGCCAUGAGGCGCGCGCGCAUGGAGUUCACAAGUCAACAGCAUCACAUGUUGUAUUUAAAAAAGUAAACAUAAUGCAAGGCCAAGAUUAGAUCUGGAGAGUAGGAUCCAAAGGCCAGGAGAGUUCCACGUGGGGACGGUGGUGGAAACCACCGUCUUCUCCGGCGAGCAAGCUAAAUCCUGCCACCAGUUGCAGGUUUUGCAACCUCAACUAAAUCACACGAUCCUUAUACCAAAUUAAAGCUGGGGUGAUGUACAUCACCCCUGUAACCUUAGAUUUCACUCAAGAUCCCUAUGGAAGGAGAAAUCUGAGGUUGAAAAUCUAGGUGUUCAAUCUGAAGUUCAACAAUUCACAAAAUUAAAGCCACCAUUGGCUUGCCUCUCACACGAAGACUUCAGAAAACCAAAUCAACACAAACAAUGCACAAUAUAUAGUGAGAUUCGAAGCAAAACAGUUGAGCUGCAAACCUUUGAAGUGCAGCUUUGAUGAACACGAUCCACUCCAAUUCUUGAUUGCAGCUUGAUCUUGAGCUAUGGUAUGAGUGCAAGGCUUAGGAAUUAGUAUUGAAAAUCAACUGAUGUUGUUUAAAAUCAAACUUGAAAAAGAGAAAUGAAAAUUAAAAUUCCUUUGGUGAGAGGUUAGGAUUCAAUUCCAGCAGGGUUUCAGGCGCCUUCAGGUUGAUCAUUCAAUGAAGCAAUGUGUUUAUUUAUAGAUGAAAUGCAAAGGAGAGUCUGACAAACUCGUGUGCAUGAGAAUUGGGUCCUCCAUGCAUGGGCCUGUACAGGCGUGUGUGAGGCCCAAAAGCUAAUGCAAAUGAAUGCUGAAAUGAUUUGGAGAAGGUUUGGACGUGUAGUUUGCAUUACAUUUGCUUGUGUAUGAAGUUUCAUCAUGAAGUGCAUAAAUGGUCACAAAACUUCCCCUCUUCGAAAGUCCCAUUUGGAAAAUUCAAACGUAGGCAUGUGAGUAAUGGUUGGAAAGGUCUUGACAUAAGGAACAAGAGCUAUGUUGAACAAAAAUUCAUUUGGAGUUUGUAAAUUUAUGAAAACUGGCCAUGAAGUUCAAGGUACAAAACAUGUAUUUGAAACAUUUGCCAAAAAGGACCAACUUUAAGCCCUUCUGUUUCAAUGAUGCAAACCUCAAAUGGAAAAAAUUCCAACAUACAAGUUGUAGAUCUUUUCAAGUCAAUCAAUUUGGACUUAAAUUUUGCAUCAUUUGGAGUUUUUAUGAGAAAGUUAUGAGCACUUGAAGUUGGACUUUUUCAAGAUUUAAUGGCUUUGGUCCAAAGUGGCCUAUAAUGUUUUGUAUUAUCACAUGUGUUUCUUUUAGGAUUAUGAAAUUUUGUACAACAUAACAAUUGAAGUAGACAUCUUAAGAUUUCCAAUUCACUUGUUCUCACCCCAAAAUCAUAAAAAAUGAGUGAGUUAGGUCCUUGGGAAGUUGACCCAAAAUUAGGGUUUCAGUCAAAAUGACCUAUAAUGUUUUGAAAUGAAUGAUGACCUUCCAAGUUUCAAAUGGAUUUUUUAUGACCUUCUUAAGAACAUUUUUUUCUCUUGGGGUAAUCUUCAUUUGACAAACACAUCAAAAGUUAGGUCUCAGUGGAUUUCAAAAUAGUUAGAUGAUUUGACUGAUCAACUUCUCAAAGCCAAACUUCAAAUCUUGAUGAAUGAAUGAUUGAGGACACUCACAUAGGCUCAUAUAUGCAUAAAAUGAUGAAUGAAAGAACUUCAAUUGAUUGAAUUUGAUCAUAGGUUGAGGUUGCUUCAUGAGCAAGGCACAAUCAAUGCACAGUUGAAUUAGGGUUUCCUUGGGAAACAAUCCUCAAGCCCUUUGGUUUAUCUUGAUCAAAUUGACAAAUAAUGAGCAAGGCACAAUCAAUGCACAGUUGAAUUAGGGUUUCCUUGGGAAACAAUCCUCAAGCCCUUUGGUUUAUCUUGAUCAAAUUGACAAAUUGAGAUACUUGGGAGACAUAUAUGAUGAUUGAGAUAUUUGGGAACCAUUAUCAUGCUUGCUUUCAUCUUCAUCUGGUCACCUCAAUGGCCAUGGGAGCCUCCUAGGAGCUUUGGAUCUCAUGAUUUCUUAAGCUUCAAAACAAAAGAGGUUAGUGACAUAUUUUUGUGCUUUUAGUUAGUAAACAAAAUAAGAAAAGUAAUAAUAUACAAUUCAAGCAUGCUUGGUGGGCUCAAACUAACUCACACAACUCCCACCCAAGGGCAAAGGAGCCAAGAUGCUAUGAUCCUUGAGGCAAAUGCAAUGAGCAAUGAUAUGAUGCCAUGAGGGAUCUUAGGGUCAAAAUUAGGGUCUUACAAUUGCAUAUCAACUUUUAUCAAUUUAUAAGGGAUUUUAGGUCAGUCCACACAAGGGAUGACAACCAUAUAAUUGAUAAAACACAAAUGCUAGUGCCUGAUAUAGAGGUAUACACAUCUCUAAAAGAUCGAUGCCAAAACUCCAGACUCUCUGGGAAGUUGAUGAUGUAUCACUCUUCUUUGCGCUUGCUGGGGAGGCAAAUGAAAGCUGAUGAAGAGGAUACAGACAUUCCAGAAUACGAACAAAUGUCUUACCUUCUGGAAAUCUUACUAUCCUUGGGAGAGCACUGAAGACAUUCCAGCUAUCCUUUCAGUUUUUGUGAAUGUUCACUUUGUUUGAAACAGUUUAUAAAAACUUUAUUUGUUUAAAACAAUGAUAUUUAUCAAUUAAAACAUGCAAACAUUCGUUAAACAGAAACAAAUAAGAGUGCAAAGAAUUGGAUAAAGGCUCAAAUUUAUUUGAUAGAAUGGUAGUCCGCAAAUGGCGAGACUCCAUGGAUCUUUACAAAUUUGAAAUUGGUGAUAGUAUAUUGGAAAAAGGGCUAAAUGAACAUAAUGACCUUAUUCUCCACCAACUCUGAAUCCAAGUAUUUUAAGCUUCAGUUGAUGAUGACUGAGCGAGAAUCUUUGACAGAUGACAGCUUGUAGAACAAAGUCUUGUCAGGAUGCAAUUACUUGCCCAAUCCCUAAUUUGCCAGAUUGCCCCAAGGGUGAGGAAUCAAUCAGCGGGAUAUAUAUAUAUAUAUAUAUAUAUAUAUAUAUAUAUAUAUAUAUAUAUAUUAAUAUAUAUAUAUAUAUAUAUAUAUAUAUAUUCAUAUAUACAUUUUUUUCAUGCCUCUAACUUUUGCCUGGACCGCCCUUUCGGGUUUCAAUCCACCGAGACGCUCAUUUUUGCCUAAGUCACCCUUUCGGGUUUUCACUUAGUGAGCUAUUCUAUUUUAUUUAGGCGAAGUAUUUCUUGACUGCAUCUGAAUUCACAGGACGAAUGGAAUCCUCCCAUCCAUAGUUGUAAGCAUUAAAGCACCGCCUGAAAAGGCUCUCUUAACAACAUAUGGACCUUCAUAGUUUGGAGUCCACUUGCCCCUGGAAUCGGGCGCAAAAGAUAAGACUUUCUUGAGCACGAGGUCACCUUCUCGAAACACACGAGGCUCGACCUUCUUAUCAAAGGCUUUCUUCAUCCAUUGCUGAUACAAUUGACCAUGGCACAUGGUAGUUAAUCUUUUCUCUUCAAUCAAAUUCAGUUGGUCAUAACGACUCUGAACCCAUUCAACCUCAGUCAACUUGGAUUCCAUCAAGACUCUCUUGAUGGGAUCUCAACCUCCACGGGGAGAACAACCUCCAUGCCGUACACAAGAGAGAAAGGGGUUGCCCCUGUUGAAGUACAGACAGAUGUACGAUAACCAUACAAAGCAAAUGGCAGCAUCUCAUGCCAAUCUUUGUACGUAACAACCAUCUUCUGAAUAAUCUUCUUGAUAUUCUUGUUAGCAGCUUCAACAGCCCCAUUCAUCUUGGGUAUAUAGGGAGAAAAGUUAUGAUGCACAAUCUUGAACUCACUACACAGCUCUUUCAUCAUCUUGUUGUUCAAGUUAGAUCCAUUAUCAGUAAUGAUCUUAUCUGGAACACCAUAUCGGCAUAUGAGUUGGUUCUUGAUAAACUUCACAACCCCUUGCCUGGUCACAUUUGCAUAUGAUGCCGCUUCAACCCACUUGUUGAAGUAAUCAAUAGCUACGAGAAUAAAACAGUGAUCGUUUGACGCCUUUGGCUCUAUCAUGCCAAUCAUGUCAAUUCCCCACAUGGAGAAAGGCCAUGGUGAGGAAAUAACAUUCAAAAGUGUCAGGGGAAUAUGAAUCUUAUCCGCAUAAAUCUGACACUUUUGGCAUUUCUUCACAUAUUUGCAGCAGUCGGACUCCAUUGUCAGCCAAUAGUAGCCUGCUCUCAGCAUCUUCUUUGCCAUAGCAUGUCCAUUGGAAUGAGUACCAAAGGAACCUUCAUGGACUUCAGUCAUCAACAAGUCUUCUUCGUGUUUAUCCACUCAUCUGAGCAGAACCAUGUCAAAAUUCCUCUUGUAAAGCACAUCACCAUUGAGGUAGAAACUGCCUGAUAAUCUUCUCAAAGUCUUCUUAUCUUUAACAGAUUCCCCAGGCGGGUAAAUCUAACUUUGAAGAAAGCAUUUGAUAUCAUAAUACCAUGGCUUAUCAUCUUUCACUUAUUCAACUACAAAUACGUGAGUUGGUCUAUCCAAGCGCAUCACAUUGAUAUUGGGGACUUCAUUCCAAUACUUCACCAUAAUCAUUGAAGCAAGUGUAGCAAGAGCAUCCGCCAUCCGAUUCUCAUCUCGAGGAAUAUGAUAGAAGUCAACCUUAGUAAAGAAAGUUGAAAUCCUCCUCGCAUAAUCUCUAUAUGGGAUGAGGCCAGGCUGAUUCGUCUCCCAUUCACCCUUAAUCUGAUUAACAACAAGGGCCGAAUCACCAUAAACAUAAAGUCAACCUUAGUAAAGAAAGUUGAAAUCCUCCUCGCAUAAUCUCUAUAUGGGAUGAGGCCAGGCUGAUUCGUCUCCCAUUCACCCUUAAUCUGAUUAACAACAAGGGCCGAAUCACCAUAAACAUUAAGAUGUUUGAUCCUAGGAUCAAUACACUCUUCCAAACCCAUAAUACAUGCCUCAUACUCCGCCAUAUUAUUCGUGCAUUUGAAAGUUAGCCUUGUUGUAAAAGGAAAAUGUGUGCCCUGAGGAGUAAUGAUCACUGCCCCAAUACCAUUUCCAUACUGAUUGACAGCACCAUCGAACACCAUGCCCCAUCGGGAACCAGGCUCUGGCCCUUCAUCGAGCGUAGGCUCAUCACAAUAUUUCAUCUUCAAAUACAGAAUCUCCUCAUCAGGGAAUUCGUACUGAACAGACUGAUAAUCUUCAUUUGGUUGAUGUGCCAAGUGGUCAGCCAAUAUACUACCUUUAAUAGUUUUUUGAGCUCGAUACUCAAUAUCAUACUCAGAUAACAACAUCUGCCAACGGGAAAUCCUCCCAGUUAAAGCAGGCUUCUCAAAGAUAUACUUGAUUGGAUCCAUUUUAGAUAUCAACCAAGUUGUAUGAUUCAACAUAUACUGGCGUAAGCGCUUAGCGGCCCAAGCCAAAGCACAACAUGUCUUCUCGAGCAUUGAGUACAGAGACUCAAAAUCAGUUAACUUCUUGCUCAAGUAAUAUAUUGCAUAUUCUUUCUUCCCUGAUUCAUCUUGCUGACCCAAUACACAACCCAUGGAGUCAUCAAGCAUAGUCAAGUACAUAAUCAAGGGUCUCCCUUCCACAGGCGGAGACAAAAUCGGAGGCUCAGACAAAUACUCUUUGAUACUAUCAAAGGCCUUCUGGAAAUCCUCGGUCCAAUCAUGACGCUGAUCUUUCCGAAGGAGCUUGAAUAUAGGCGCACAUGUGGCAGUCAUGUGGGAUAUAAAUCUCGAAAUUUAAUUCAAGCGGCCAAAAAAACCUCGGACUUGCUUCUCUGUUUUGGGUGCAGGCAUCUCUUGUAUUGCUUUGACCUUGACAGGAUCAACUUCAAUACCUCUUUCACUGAAAAUAUAGCCCAAUAACUUGCCGGAACGGACUCCAAAUGUACACUUGUUCGGAUUCAGGCGUAGUUUGUACUUCCUCAAACGCUGGAAAAGCUUCAACAAGUGUUCUACAUGUUCAACUUCCGUUUUCGACUUUGCAAUCAUAUCAUCAACAUACACCUCGAUUUCCUUGUGCAUCAUAUCAUGAAACAAGGUAGUCAUAACGCGUUGAUACGUGGCUCCGGCGUUCUUCAAACCGAAGGGCAUCACUCGAUAACAGAAUGUUCCCCAAGGUGUGAUGAAUGUUGUCUUCUCUAUAUCCUCGGGUGCCAUUUUAAUCUGGUUAUAACCGGAAAAUCCGUCCAUAAAUGAGAAGACAUUGAAUUUAGUUGUAUUGUCUACCAACAUAUCAAUAUGUGGUAGAGGAAAAUCAUAUUUCGGACUAGCUUUAUUCAAGUCUCGAUAGUCCGCACACAUUCGAACUUUUCCAUCUUUCUUAGGCACAGGCACAAUAUUGGCCACCCAUUGAGGAUAUGUAGAAGUCACCAGAAACCCCGCAUCAAUUUGCUUCUGAACUUAUUCUUUAAUCUUCACUGCCAUAUCAGGAUGAGUUCUUCUGAGCUUCUGCUUCAUAGGCACGCACUCAGGUUUUAAUGGCAAGAAAUGUUGCACGAUAUCAGUAUCUAGACUAGGCAUGUCUUCAUACGACCAGGCAAAGAUGUCGACAUAUUCUCGUAGCAACUCAAUCAACCCCUUCUUCACAGAUUCUUCAGGAGUUCCCCAAUCUUCACUUCUCGAACACAAUCCUCAGACCCCAACUUGACUGUUUCCAGAUUCUCAAGGUGCGGCUGAAUGAUCUUCUCUUCGUGCUCAAGCAGACGGGUAAUCUCAUCAUGAAUCUCUUCAACCUCAUCUUCUUCUGCCUCAAAUACAGGGAACUCAAAGUUGGGAGAUGGUGUUGGAUCAUUAUGUUCAAUGGGAUUGAUCAACCUGCAUAAUGAUUUUAGAUAUAAAAGAGAUUUCAGAAUUCAAUCAAGGCAAAUCACUAUGCAGAUGAAAAGAUUGAUUUUAUUCUCUUUUUAGGAUUUUAUUGUGAUCACCAAUUUCAUACAAAAAGAAAAAAGGAAAAAUAAUUUGGAAAACAAACGUUUAACAUGUGAUUAUUGAAUGAAUAUCAUUGUUAUUAAUCAAAUAUGCCAACAAUGUCAUCACUUCUCCUUUUGGCAUGGGAGAAGGGUUUUCAAACAAAAUGAACAUAUUGCGUGGACUUAUGGAUAACUGUUGGAACAUCAACAGCGACCCAAUUAUUGCAGAUUCCGCCUGGUAUGACAAAGUUGCCAAGGUCUUCCUCUCCAUCAUCUUCAACAAUGGCAACAGCUUCCUGAUCUUCAACUGUGUGGAUAAAACCACCACUCUGGAACAACCCACGCUCAUUGGAAACGCCAGAAGAAUACCCUAUGCCAGCUCGGGAUUUAUUAUCUUCCAAUCUGAUCAUUUGCCCUAAACCGGUAGUUGCACCAUGCUCAAUGGCCAACUUCGCAUUGUUGUAGGAGACAAAUGAAGAAAGUCCUUUCCUAGAAGGCUCAACAAUAGACAAGGCUUGGAACGGAGUCCCAACCUCAUCCUCAGCAUCAAUAUAGGAGAAGGAAGAUAAAUGACUGACCAAGAGAGCCUUCUCUCCCCCUAUCACCACCAACAUUUUGUUUUUAACAAAUUUCAAUUUUUGGUGUAGAGUGGAUGUCACGGCGCCUGCCUCGUGAAUCCAUGGUCUGUCAAGCAAACAGCUAUAAGACGGAUGAAUAUCCAUGACCUGGAAAGUGAUCGGGAGUUCUACUUCGCUGAUCACGGUUUUGCGCGAUCCAUCAAACGCCUUAACAACCACUUCACUUUGCCUUAUGGGAGGCCCCUGGUAAGAAAGUUUGGCCAGAGUGGAUUUUGGCAACACAUUAAGUGAUGAUCCUGUGUCCACCAAUGUAACACCUCAAAAUUUGCCCUCCUCUCUUGGGACUAGCUUAGCAUAUUGCAUUUCAUUUCUUUGGACAUUAGUCAUUGCACUUUGCAUAUCAUGUGGCUACAUCAAUCAAUUCAUCCUCUUAGGUCUUGAUCAGAAGAUAAAGAGGUUAAGAUUCAAGCUAAGGGCUUUCAUUGAACUGAUCACUGAUCAUCUGAGGGUUGGUGUUUCAAAUUAGGGUUUCAUGGUUCCUCAAGGGGGUUGAGCAUCAUCUUGGUUGAAAUGGUACAUCAUCAUCAUCAUGGUCUUGUCAUCAACCAAGAGAUUCAUUGUGCUUGAUUAGAUUCCUUGAGAUUAGGGUUUUGACCUCUGGUCAACCCUAAUCAUCUGUAUUGUGCCAAUCAGGGCUUGUGAAGGAAAUGAGGUCUUCAUUGAGAUGAGAUAUCAUUUAUUGGUUUCAUUGAGCUUAUGGAAGCUAGGGUUUCAUGUUUGAGCCAUUUCAUCAGGAGAUUGAAGCUCAAGUUCAUCUAUGCAUGGCCAGUUUAUCUAUCAGUCAACAAAAGUCAACCAAAGGUCAACUGAUGGAUUUGGAGGUGGGAGAGGGUUAGAGACACUUCAUUCAUGUCCAAACAAGUUUCAUUUGACAUUUCAAACAUCAAGAAUGAAGAAAAAAGAGGGUUAGAGACACUUCAUUCAUGUCCAAACAAGUUUCAUUUGACAUUUCAAACAUCAAGAAUGAAGAAAAUAAAGUCAGAUGGAAACUUUCCAAAAAUAGAAAGUGACUUGUAAUUCAAAACUGUCAAAAAUGGAAAGGUUUUCUCCUUAAAAUUAUAUGUCCAAAAAUGCUUCAAAUGAAAUUUUGUCCAACAUGAAAGUUGUAGAUCUUGCUCUCACCUUUCCAAAAAGUCCAAGGACCUGAAUUUCUCAUUUGUGGUUGGCAAGUUAUGGAUUGAUCAUUGUCAAGAAAAGUUGAAUUUCAGAAGUGCAUAACUUUUGAUUCACAAGGCCAAAUGGAGUGAGACUUUUUGGAGCAAAUUUCUCUUGAUGUCCUCUAUCCAAAACAAGCAUUACAUUUCAUGAAUUUUGAUCACACAAAAAGUGCAUUUUUCAAGUGAACUUAAUUUGAAUUUGGAGGGAAAAAGGUGAAUUUGAAAAAUAAGCAUGGCAUUCAUUCAAUUCCACUUGCAUUUGCUUCUAAACAUCAUUUCCAAGUAAUUCAAACCAGAAAUUGGCACUGUUACAUUGGUUUGUACAUGUGAGGGUGAAAUGCUAAAUUUAGCAUAAAACUUGGAUUUCACUUAAUCAUUUGCCUUAACACUAAUUGUGAUUAGCAACAUGCUUAACAUAACAUAUAUAAGCUAAAUCACAACUGUUUUCUGAUUAACCAUAACAGAAUUGUGAAUUCUAGAUCUAGAUCCAAAACUUUUUCAUUUUUCUCUCAACUUUCUUCAUCAAUUUUCUUCGUUCUUUUUGCCUUGCCUUCGAUCAAUUCAUCAUCUACAUGCAUAUUGGAAGUGGAUUGAAGCAAAAUCUUGGAGAAAUCUUGAAGAAUCGUGGACUGUUAAAGCAAGCUUCAACAAUGGCAAAUGAAGAUUUGAGCUAGAUCCUUCAUAAUCAACACACAAACCUUGUUCCAUUCAUCAAUACUAGCAUCAAAGAACAUCUGUUUUGCAUUGCCAUGGCCUAGAACGCACGAUUUCACCACUGCAAUUUCUGAAAGGUGAGUUUUCGACUUUAAUGAUUCUUGCAAUUGAUAUAUGCUUUAGAUAGAUCUUGUUUAGGAGGUAAUUCUGCAAGUUGAACCACUGAAUUUGGUUGAGAGACAAGGAAGUUAUGCAUGCAUUUGUAAGUGACAUGUGAAACUUUCUUUAUCGAUUCUUUGAGCAUGAGUAGAAUUAGAUGAAACUAUUGCUGGAUUCGUUGUUGUACGUUAGGAGAUAUUUCCAAUGAUGUAUGUGUUUGUGAUUUUCGUGACAAAAAGUUCUUGAGCUAGGUUUGAUGAAGAAACAUGCAUGAAUGUUUGAAAAAAAAUUCCAGAAACGCUUGUUGAUCCAUAUUUUCAUGUUUGCUAGGCUUGGUGUUAUCACUGUAGCGCGCGCUCAUUUUUAAAUCCAUACUCCCUUCGAUCCCGCUCCAGUGCAUUUCCAAUAUUGGCUUGGCAUUUUUAUUCAUAUGCUUCACAUACUUCACAUGCCUUCACUCAUGAUUUUUUUAUUUUUUUUCUUUACAUUAGAAAAAUCAUAGCUCUCCAACCAUUAAUCCAAUUGAGAUGAAAUUUUUUGUUCCAUGAUCCUUGUAACCUCUACUAUUUUUUGGUUAUUUUUAUUCAAAUUGUGCACGUGUGGUUUUUUGAAUGGCUAGGGUUUGUUCAUAUGUGUUCUUUCAUGCACCUUGCUUGAUGUGUUGAUCAUGAAAUGAUGAUGCUUAAUCCAAAAUUCUUGAAAUUUUGCAUGUAUAAACUAGAGACCUUAAGUGACAUUUUGGCUUUGAGUUUUUGAUUUUAUCAUUCCUGGUUUGUGAGAUAUGAGUUGUUGAAUCUAGGUGUGACAAUUUGUGUCACACCAUUUCUUGUCUAACUUCUUGAUUUUAUUUGACAUGCCAUAUGAACUUGAAAUGAGCUGAAUAUUUUCAUGUUGAUACUUCUGGAUGUUAGGUUCACUCGUGAACUUUUAUGGAUUUUUUGAAUGCAUUUCCAAUUUGAUUGAGAUUUUCUCUUCUGUUUGACCAAGUGUGGACUUUUUGUGAGUCAUGAUCUCAUAUGAUUUGUGAAAUUCUUGAUAUGUAUUGGAUGGACUUGAAAUUUUGUGGAUUGAUUCUAGACAUCUUGAACUUUACCAUGGCUUUGGUUUGGUGCAUUUAUCAUGUUCCUACUCUGUUUUGUGCUUGCUGGAAGUUGAUGCAUGAUUUUGUGCCUUGUAUGAGCUUGUUUGAGCAUGUUUUGACUUAGGGAAUUUAAUUGACUUGCUUCCAAUUGUCCAAAUGGCCUGAAAUUUGGUGUUAUGAUCCUUUAAUGAGUUUUGUUUAGCCAUGAUUUUUCCUGGGAUUUAUUGAAUUAUUUUUGAUUGAGUUUGGAUUGAUUCAUUCUGUUUGGUCCAAUGAGCUUUCAAAUUGCAUAUUUUGCACUAAAUGCUUCAGGAAAUGAAAUUGAUGAAUGAUAUGAAUGUGAGACCAAUUGGAUUUGUUUCUAAUUUGAUUGAACUUGAUUUGUGACAAUUUUCAUGUUCUGUUUUGAAUUAUUUUUCCCCCUUUGACCCUAGGCUUUGUCCUAGGGGUUUGCUUAUGUUUAAGUUGUGUUUUCAGGACAAAGAAGCAUAUGGCAUUGAGGGAAUUGAUUCACACUUGGCUUGAGUUUCUUAUUUGAUUGAUGUUGAUUAACAUUGAGUUUGUUUUGUAGGUGGCUUCUAAGUCAUUUGUGUUGAGCAUUGGCUUAUGCUUUGCUUGAUGCAUUGCUUGUGUACAGUUAACUGUUAACUUUUAGUUUGUCUGUUUGACUGUUUGAGCUAUGUACUGAUUAUGUUAGAUUGAUUUCAGGUACAUUAGUUGCUAUAGUUCAUUGUGAACUUGCUUGUGCUGUUGCUUGGUUGCUUAACCAAUUGAGGUAUAACAUCACUAACUUCAUGUAGUCUGGAAGACCUGGCCUGUUACUUGGUCAGGCACCUGUCUGAAGUCCUCCUUAAGAGGCAAUGCUUGUGCUUGUUUAUCUUUGUCCCCAAGCAGGAAAAGACCUUUGUUAAGGCAAUUGGAUAGUCUGGAAGACCUGGCCUGUUACUUGGUCAGGCACCUGUCUGAAGUCCUCCUUAAGAGGCAAUGCUUGUGCUUGUUUAUCUUUGUCCCCAAGCAGGAAAAGACCUUUGUUAAGGCAAUUGGCAGAAACAAGAGAUGUGCAAUCCAUCUCCUGCUACUCAGUCGAGUCAUCCCUUGGCUCACAUUACAUGUUGAUGCCUUGAGGAUAUUAACCCAAGAUCUGUUGAGUCAGAGUCAUAAGUGUAGAAGGGUUCCCACUUUCUGAACCCACACUUCCUUUGUCUGAAGCUCUUCCUGGCCAGGGAUAAGAGCUGUGAGGCACACCCCUCACUCCCAUUUCAUCUGCUUCACCCUAACUCUCAAUGUUAGGGUUAAGAGCUAACAUCACCCGAUACAGUUGGCUUGCUUUUGCAGCCUAACCCUUGUGUGAGCCCACUUUGCCUGUAUAUAGUGUGUGUUAUUUGUGAUUGUUUGCUUUGAUUGCUUUGCCUGUUUAGGAUUAGCUUGCUGCCUGUGCAAGUUAGGAUAGAAACCUUAACAUAGGGCUAUGAUGCAUGAUAACUAUUAGGCUCGAGUCCAGCUCCCUAGUAGUUUGUGUCUCCCUUUGUAUCUGGUUAGGUGAGAAUUUCUUUCCCGUUCAGGGGAACUACGUCGCCCUGAUCCUCAUACCAGAUGAGGUACGUAGGCAGGAGACCGUGCGAGGUCUCUCCGGGCACCCUUUUUAUUUUUUUUGUGUGUUUGCUUGACAGUUACUAGGCUCGAGUGCCUGACUCCUUAGUAACUUGUUUGUUUGUUGACCCUCUCGUGUGUCGGGAUAUGGAUGUAAGACCAGCGAUUGGCUGUCCGUAUCCUGAGUGUGUUUGUUUGGUUCGGAAUCUGAUGUAAGUCCAGCGAUUGGCGUUCGGUUUCCAUGUUUGCCGUUUUGUGUGAAGUCUGACGUAAGCCCAACGAUUGGCAGUCAGUUUCCUGUUUUUGUGCGUGUGUCUGUUUCGGCGUGCGUGAGCCGAACUACGGCAGCUCUGAUUCUCGUUCCAGACGAGAUACGUAGGCAUAGGAUGCGAUGUCCUAGCGAGCCCUUUCCUCUCUUCCCCCACCUGUGUUGUUUUCAGUGUGUGUGUGUGUGAUGUUUGUGAGCAGUUUUAGCAACCUUGUUCUAUCUUUUUGAGCGUGGAUCCCGUCGAGUACGACGGAUGCGUAGGGGUGCUAAUACCUUCCCUUCGCAUAACCGAGUCUCGAUCCCAUCUCUUUGGUCGCGAGACCAUUUCCUUUCCAGGUUUACUUCGAGCGUUUCCUUUCCCUCUUUUGGGAUAAAUAACGCACGGUGGCGGCUCUGUUUGUUUUGGUUUAGCCCGCCGGUUGUUUUUUGCGGAUGCGACAACCAACACAUUGGACAAGCCAUCAUCCUUACAGUUCAUGGAAAUGUGUAGAGCCAAAUUGUGGUUUUUUCCCUCCUCGGGAAGAUCAGCAUCACAGAAGCUCAAGUUGUUGCAAGCGGUUAUGUUUGCAACAAUACUAUCAAACUGUUCUAUUGUGACAUCGUGAUCCACGUAUGCCACGUCCAACACCCUCUGCAAAGCUUCGCGGUGUGGCUCAGAAUUCAUCAACAAAGAGAGCACAUAUAUCUUUGAUGGAGUUUGUAGCAGCUGAUCAACAACAUUAUAUUCACUCCUCUUGAUGAGCCUCAGCAUAUCAUCAUCGUCCUCUCUGAAAAUGUCAGACUGGCCAACCAAGACAGGAGUUUUCACGGAUUUAUCAACAACAGGGUCAACACCCUUCACAAAAGGAUUAUUAGAAGAAGAAGCCCCCACGGGACUGGCAGGAUUAACAACUGCUUUCUUCACAACGUCUUCAUGGGGUUUCGGUUGCACCGAGAAAACACGACCACUACAGGUCACACCACUGACGUCUGAGAUGCUCACAACAGAGGUUGAGGGCAACGACACCUCCUUCCCGUCUUCUAGCAUCACAGCGUUAUACUUGUAGGGAACAACCUUGUCUGAUGAAUACGGGACCGGAGCCGCUGGCUUGAUUACAAGAGCUGGAGAAACCUUCUUCUUGCUGCCAUCAUACUUGACAAUAACAGGCUCAGGAAUUCUGAAUAUGGGAGAGAUAACAUCAACUUCGUCCUCAUUAGGAUUCUGAAGUAUUUUGAUCAUUCCCUGAUCCAGCAUCUCUUGGAUGUCUUUUCUAACUUGUCGGCAUCCUCUCUCGUUGGUAGUGCACACCUGGCACCUAUCAUGGUCAUGCUCAUAGUGGAUAUGUUCACACAACAGCUUAUGCAUAUCGACCAAAGAUUGCCUUACAUCAUUAACAUACAUGACUUUAUAUUUGCUAGGACAACCCUGGACCAUAUUCACAACAACCUUCCCAUGCUCGGGCAAUGGGUUCUUUUUAAUAUUAGGACCUACGUCCUCGAAAAACAAUAUUACACUUCUCACAAGGUCUUGCACCUUGGUCUUCAACGGGUAGCAGUUCUCCACAUCAUGUCCGGGGGCACCGGAAUGAUAUACACAGUGUAGUUCAGGCUUAUACCACCACUGAGGGUUGGUUGGUACAGCAGGAGGGUCUCGUGGAGUAAUCAGCUUUCUGUCUAUCAGAGAAGGAUAGAGCUCAGUGUAUGUCAUUGGAAUCGGAUCAAAAGUGACCCUCUUCCUCUCAUAGCUGGUGUUGGUGUUAUUGUUGUUUCGAGGCUGGUAGGCCUGUUGUUGUGGACGAUGUUGUUGUUGUUGAUGAUGAUGAUGAAUUUCUCUAAAGGCAGGUGCUAUGUGAGCCACCUGGUGUUAGUUAACGGCAGGACGCACACUCUUCCUCUUCACAGAGGGCCUUCUUUUAAUGUGAGAGGACACAACAUGUGUGUCUCUCUCAUUCUUCUUAGCAAAGCCUCCAUACCUCUUUGCUGAAGAGUUGUCUUCUCUGGAUAGUCGUCCUUCACGGACCCCUUCUUCCAGUCUCAUUCCCAUAUUCACCAUUUCGGUGAAGUCCGAGGGAGCACUGGCAAUCAUCUUUUCAUAGCAGAAUGAGCUCAAAGUCUUCAAAAAGAUCUUUGUCAUCUCUUUCUCUUCAAGGGGUGGCACUAUCUGAGCUGCCAAUUCGCGCCAUCUCUAGGCGUACUCUUUGAAGGUCUCCUUGUCCUUCUGUGACAUUGCUCUCAGUUGGUCCCUAUCAGGAGCCAUAUCCAUAUUGUAUUUAUAUUUCUUGACGAAGGCCUCUCCAAGAUCGUUGAAGGAGCGGAUGUUCGCACUCUCCAGACCCAUGUACCACCAGAGAGCAGCACCAGAUAAACUAUCCUGGAAGUAGUGGAUGAGCAGUUGGUCGUUAUCUGUCUGAGUUGACAUCUUGCGAGCAUACGUCACAAGAUGGCUGAGCGGGCAUGUGUUUCCCUUAUAUUUCUCAAAAGUCAGGUACUUUGAAUUUAAUAGGGGUCUUCAUGUUGGGCACAAAGCACAACUCAGCAGCACUCUUACCAAAGAGGUUCUUACCCCUCAGAGUCUUCAGUUCCUUACGCAGCUCAAGGAAUUGGUCUUUCAUUUCGUCCAUCUUUUCAUAAACAUCCAGACCCUCAGAUGGCUCGGAAUGAUAGAUGGUGUCUUCAACUCGGGGCAAGGUGUGCACAACGAAAGGUGGCACAUAUAGGACCGGGUUAGAUGUCGGCAGAGAAGCGAGAGUUAGAGCAAAACCCUCGGGCACAAAGUUGGCGGCUGUCGCAUUACGCGAAAAACCGGCGGGAAACAAGAACAACAGAGCCGCCACCGUGCGUUAUUUAUCCCAAAAGAGGGAAAGGAAACGCUCGAAGUAAACCUAGGAAAGAACAUGGUCUCGCGACCAAAGAGGAUGGGUUCGGGAGUCGGUUAUGCGAAGGGAAGGUAUUAGCACCCCUACGCAUCCGUCGUACUCGACGGGAUCCACGCACAANNNNNNNNNNNNNNNNNNNNNNNNNNNNNNNNNNNNNNNNNNNNNNNNNNNNNNNNNNNNNNNNNNNNNNNNNNNNNNNNNNNNNNNNNNNNNNNNNNNNNNNNNNNNNNNNNNNNNNNNNNNNNNNNNNNNNNNNNNNNNNNNNNNNNNNNNNNNNNNNNNNNNNNNNNNNNNNNNNNNNNNNNNNNNNNNNNNNNNNNNNNNNNNNNNNNNNNNNNNNNNNNNNNNNNNNNNNNNNNNNNNNNNNNNNNNNNNNNNNNNNNNNNNNNNNNNNNNNNNNNNNNNNNNNNNNNNNNNNNNNNNNNNNNNNNNNNNNNNNNNNNNNNNNNNNNNNNNNNNNNNNNNNNNNNNNNNNNNNNNNNNNNNNNNNNNNNNNNNNNNNNNNNNNNNNNNNNNNNNNNNNNNNNNNNNNNNNNNNNNNNNNNNNNNNNNNNNNNNNNNNNNNNNNNNNNNNNNNNNNNNNNNNNNNNNNNNNNNNNNNNNNNNNNNNNNNNNNNNNNNNNNNNNNNNNNNNNNNNNNNNNNNNNNNNNNNNNNNNNNNNNNNNNNNNNNNNNNNNNNNNNNNNNNNNNNNNNNNNNNNNNNNNNNNNNNNNNNNNNNNNNNNNNNNNNNNNNNNNNNNNNNNNNNNNNNNNNNNNNNNNNNNNNNNNNNNNNNNNNNNNNNNNNNNNNNNNNNNNNNNNNNNNNNNNNNNNNNNNNNNNNNNNNNNNNNNNNNNNNNNNNNNNNNNNNNNNNNNNNNNNNNNNNNNNNNNNNNNNNNNNNNNNNNNNNNNNNNNNNNNNNNNNNNNNNNNNNNNNNNNNNNNNNNNNNNNNNNNNNNNNNNNNNNNNNNNNNNNNNNNNNNNNNNNNNNNNNNAUGACUUGACAGGAAGCAAAAGCCAACACCACACUAACUGCACAGGAAGCAAGAAGGGUCCGAUUGCAACUCAGGGCAAGAGAAAAGGGGAUAUCUCAAUCACAACAGGGGGAGAGAAAAGAAUUAGUGUUAGUUGUUUAGUCACACUCGACCAGACAUCGCAUCUCGUGCCUACGUAUCUCAUCUGACAUGAAAUCAGAGUGCCGUAGUUCGGCAAACAUACUGUUGGUUUGUGUUUUAAGUGAGGCACACGUUCACUGCCAAUCUACCCUGAUGCUCGACCUUUGAGACUUACUCAUCUGUUAGUAGAAAGGAGUUAACGUAUCUAAGAGGGGAUGAUGUUUUUGUGUUUUAAGAAGGCUCAAGCAAGAAAGAAGUCCUAUACGAAGGAAAACCGUGCACCUAUAAUGACAUGCAAACAGAACUACAGCGAUCCCAAACAAACCUAAGAGGGAUGAACAACACCAAAAGCACACACAACACUCAAUAAAUAAAACCACCAACAGGGGGCUCAACAGGGUUAGGUUUAUCGAGGGUCAUAUCAACCCUCCAACAACAAACCUCUGGAAUGGGUGAAUGUUGCUCUUAACCUUGCCAUGAGGGGCUAAGGUGAAGCAGAUGAAAGGGUGAGCUGAAGAUAAGACUCACAGCUCUUAUCCCUGGCCAGGAGAGCUUUAGACAAGAAUGUGUGGGUUCAGAAGGUGGGAAACCCUUCUACACAUUUGAAACUGAUCACUGUCAAUUACAAGAUCUUGGGUUUGUAUCUCAAGCAUCAACCAGUGUGUGAGCAAAGCAGAAGACACACAGUAAUACAGGGAUAGGUUGCUUAUCACCUUGUUCUGCCAUAUCCUCUUCACUUAGGGGUCUUUGACUAGUACAAGGACAAAUAAACAUACACAACAUUGCCUCUAAGGAGGACUCAGACAGUGCCUGGCCAAGACAGGCAGGUCUCCAGACUACAAUGAAGAUUAAGGAAUACCCUCAAUGCAAAAUUCCUUAUACAAGCAAAGCAAAGCAAAAGUUCAACAAGGAAACUAAGCAACUAAAACACCUGAAACUAGUCAAGCAGAUGUUAGUAGCAACUCAAAUCAAGCAAAAGGAGACAGACAUAACACUCAAUCAGAAGCAUGUGUAUGUGCAAGGCACAUGACUUAGGCAUGUGAGCCAAUCACCUACCAAAAAAAACCAAGGUUAAAACAAUAUAUUAUCCAACAAACUCAAUUCCAAAGAUAAUGGCCCUCAUUGGCAUUUUUGGUCCCUACAAACAACAAGCUCAAAAGUGAUUAACAGGACCACUUAGGGCAAGCCUAUGGUCAAAGAGAAUGAAAAAGUCAAAACAGAAAAGGGCAAGCAUUCAAAAAUCAGGUUUAAUCAAUCAAGAAACAAUUCCAAUUGGGUUCAAUGUUCAUAUCAUGCAUCGCCAAUCAAUUCAUUAGGCAAAGAAGUCAAAAACAUGGCAAGUGAGAGCUCAUAGAGGUCAACAGAAAAACUUGCAUCAAAAGUCAACUCAAACAUUUCCAAAAAUCCCCAAAUAAAUCAUUUGAUCAAUCCUAACACCUAGCAUGGUAAGCAUGUCAAAUUUCAUCACAUUUGGACAAGUGGAAGGCAGUUCAAUGAAAAUCAGGAAAGUCAUAAGCUAAUUGAACAUGCUUAAGGAAGUCAACCAAAACAUGCCAUCAACUUAGAAAAAAUCAUAAAUCAGAGAUGGUGUAUGAUAAAUGAUGGGACUAAAACCAUGGAAAAGAUGAGGAUGUUAUAAUCUCAUGCAAAAUUUCAUGUCCAUCAAUAAAGUAUGAGAAUUUCACAAAUGGAAUGGGCAACAGCAUCAUAAUAAGUCCACUUUUUGGUCAAACAGGGGAGAAAAUCUCAAAACAAUUAGGAAAAUGGCAUAAUUAAUUCCAAGAAAAAUCACAAGUGAACUAAACAUAUAAGAGUAGGUUCAUGCAAAAAUUGAGGUCAACUUUGAGUCAAGAAGGCAUGGAUACAAAAAUCAGCAAAUUGCACAUCCAGGUGUGACACAAGUUGUCACACCCUACUUCAAAAAUUCACAACUCUCAAACCACAUAAGAUAAAUUCAUGAUCUUUACAUCAAAAUAAACAUGGAUGAGUGUAGAUUAAGCACAAAAAAUUUCAGAUCCAAUGGACAAAGCAUCACAAUUUCACAAAAGAUUUGGCAAGAUGUACAAUAUUUGGUCACAUUCUACAAACCCUAAUGCCAUUUAAAAUUCAAUGAUCAUAAAAAUCUGGAAAGAUUAUGAUAAAAAAGUAGAGCUCAUGAUGAAGAUGAUGCAAAAAUUCCCACUAAAUUUGGAUUUGAAAUGGAUGAUUUAUGAAUUUUGCAAGAUUGACUAACAAAGUGAAAUAAAAAUGAAACAAAUAAAUGAAUUAAAUUGAAUUUUAAAGGACCGGAUGGCAUAUUUGUAAUUUUGGGAACCACUUAACAAUGCGCUGCCGUUUUGGCCACGAGAAUGAAAUAUUGCUAUUGGUUCAUGACUCUACAGUACCAUGCAACACGUACAAAUCCAAAAAUCUGGGAAAUGGAUGAAGAUUUCUAGGGUUUAUGCAUACAGUAUGAAGCUCAUCUCUCCCAAAUCGAGUUUUCAAGAAUUUUUCCAGAAAUCCAAAAUUGAAUACACACAAAUGCUCAGCAAACAACCAAUAACAUGAAUCCAGCAAUGAUUUUCAAUAAAACACAGCACACAUCAUGAAUCGAGCAAGAAUCAAAAACAACAUCAAACUUCAUUUCAAAAUAUCUCAACCAUACUCAACUAUUUCAUGCGAUUCAAAGAAUCAAAAAAUGCUCCGGAACAAAGGAUUCUUACAUCUAAGCAUGGCAUGCGAUUUGAGAAAUAGAGAGAUCGAUUUCUUACUGUUUUUGGAAGGAAAGUUGGGAUUCAGUUGCUAUUUUGAUGUUUGCUGGUAUGAAACAGGACGAAACCAAGCGCCUCCAAAUGAUGAUUGGUGAAGACUUUGAGCUCAGUGAAGCUUGGAAACAAACAAAUCGAAUUUCACCAUUGUUGGAGCUUGGAAAAUCAGUUCAUGUAAAUGCUGUUACAGUCAAGAUUCAAGGCCCCAAACAACUUCCAAAGUGAUGGCAAAGUGAAGAACAACUGAGCAGGGGUCGAGUUCUUUGAGGAUUUGAGCAGAAAUUUCCAAAAUGCAAGAUGAGAGUAUUUGAGAGAAAUGAUCUUUUUUCUGUCUUAGAUGGCUGCUAGCUAGGGUUGAAAUGACAGAAAAUAUGUUUAAAUACUUCUGUUUAGGCUUGGAUAAGUGAAUGCUAAUCAUGCUUAGUCUUAAUGAAACAAUUUGCCAAUUUUGCUAAACUUCAACCAUUUGCACAUGGGUGUAUGUUCUGCCCGAGUUUGGGCUUUGCACAAGUCUUAAAUGAGGUCCUAAACCAAUCCCAAUUGGCCAACUUGACAGAAAUUGCUUAAAUCAAAACUUCAAAUUUUCACUUCACUUGAAUUUAAACAUGCUAGGUUCAAAAGUGCCAUUUUGAUUGGCAAUGUUUUGGCACAUGAAAUUUAUAUUUUUGGAAAGAGGAGGUUAAAUGUGGUUUGUAGGAAAAAACCUCACCAAUUUUGGCCAAAGGGUUUGAGAGAUAUGGCCUUUUGAAGUUCAAGAUUUUGUGAAAAUGAAUUGAUCAUAUCUUGACAACCAUACAUGGGAAUUGAGAGUUCUUGGACUUUUUGGAAAUGGGAGAACAAGAUCUUCAACUUAAUGGCCUUUUGAAGUUCAAGAUUUUGUGAAAAUGAAUUGAUCAUAUCUUGACAACCAUACAUGGGAAUUGAGAGUUCUUGGACUUUUUGGAAAUGGGAGAACAAGAUCUUCAACUUUCAUGUUGGGCGAAAAUUCAUUUGAAGCUUGUAUCAUGAUGUAGGUUUGGGAUCAAGAAGUUUCCAUUUUUGGCAGUUAAAAUUACAGGUCCACUUUCUAUUUUUGGAGAUUUUCUUAUUGGCUUCAAAUUUUUCAAUGAUAUUGAUUUCCAUGAUAUAUGAGGCCUUUUGGGACAUGAAUAAGCUCUCUCAAACCAAAUCCAUCCAUCAAAACCAAAGAAUCAACCACAGUUGACCAAGUUUGACUUUUUAGGGUUUCUGACUGACUGUGCAUGAACUGAUGACUUCUGAACAUCCAACCCUUGACCAAAACACUUCAAAUGGAUCCCCAAGUCAUGUGAACAAAUUGGACCAACCCUAGGGCCUUGGCUCCUUGAGAAACACCCUUGCUUGCUUGGUUGACUGAUCUCCUGAUCAGUUUGACCUAAUUUCUUGCUUGGCUUGCACUUGAGGCAACUGGGACAAUGCAAUGCUAACCCUUGCUUGCUUGGUUGACUGAUCUCCUGAUCAGUUUGACCUAAUUUCUUGCUUGGCUUGCACUUGAGGCAACUGGGACAAUGCAAUGCUAUGCAGUGGACCAUGAUAUGCUAUGACCUAAUAUGAAAAUGUAUGUACAAUGAUAGGUGCAAAUUUGAGGUGCUACAGCGGGCAUUCCCCACGGGAACCCGACUGGCAUAGAUGGCACAAAGUGAGCCGUUGCAGCAGGCACAGUUGAGGUAGUAACCUCAGAAAUGACAGUCCUCUGGGGAGGAGUUGCAGGAGUUGCUGAAGCUUGGCUUUGAGCAGCCAGCACUGGCUCCAUCAUGGCAGUCAGCCUAGCAAUCUCUUCUUUCAGAUCCCGGUUCUCUUGCUCUAAGUGCUCCAUGAUCAUUGGAUGAUUAGCUCUUGUGUUAUACCGGUUCGUCAGCUUGUCUUCAAAAUAAAUGAAGAGCAGAGAGUUAGACCACGAAUCAAGAAGCUCAGAACAAAACCUGCUUAUGCAUAUGAUGCACGCAAUGUUUGUGCAUAUGCUUUAUUUUUAUUUGAGGAACUUUAUAGAGAUCUCAUUUGCAAACAUUUGAAAAUAUUAAUCUUUUAAGACAUAUAUGGAAUACUCAUAGCAAUAAUAUUUGGAAAUUUUACACCAAUGAAGUAAUAUAGUUUUGGUAACCAAAUACAAUACAAGAGAAAAGGAUAAUAAACAUCCUAUGGAGCCCUAGAAACAAUCGUCCAAAGCUCUCGAGACCGGAAGAUAAGUUGCACGAAGCCUCUUCACCUCUCUCUCAUAAGCUGCUUCCAUAUCCUCCUUCUCCUUGGCAAGACGAUCAUACUUCCUCUUCUAAAACCUGGAUGACUGAGGAAGAAGAGAAGUAACCACAUCAUCAGGCUCAUCGAUAACAUGAUGCUCUAGAAACUCUAUCAUUGCAUCUUUAUCUCUGAGCUGUUGAAGAAGUUCUUCUCGCUCACAAACCCAAGCACGCGACCGAUCUUCAUCUCUUAACUCCUCUACUCCUUGGUUAGGGAGGGUUGAAGGCCCAACCAUAACCAUAGGGUAGGUCUCGGAUAACCAUAGGGCAUGUGGUACUCGAGAGCUCUCUUCUUCACCCAAGCGGUGUAGGGUUCCAAAGCAAUACAAUUCUUCGGACCAAGCUCCUUCCUUCCCUUCCUAUGGACUUUACGCCAGGCGUGGACCAUCAUGUCCUUCAAGUUCUGGGGAUCUUUACCCUCUUGAAAGAACACACCUUCCAACAGAAUGUUGUUAGGUUUAUCCUUUAAGGGGAACCCAAGCUAACGGCGAGCUAAAACAGGGUUGUAGUUAAUUCCACCACAUGUACCAAGAAGAGGCACAUUGGAGAAUUCACCACAAGAUUCAAUAAUAUGGACACCAUCAUACACACGGUUAUACCAAAAGAUAUCAUCAUUAGUGAGAGACAUAAGUCUCGUAGACCACCAUAGACAUCCCUUGUUCUCCUUGAAGGCGAGCGUCUGAGGCAAGUGCGAAAUAAACCACUUGUACAACAGAGGCAGACAACACACAAUGGAUCCACCACCCUUUGCAUUCCUCAUAUGCAACCUUGUUCUCCUUGAAGGCGAGCGUCUGAGGCAAGUGCGAAAUAAACCACUUGUACAACAGAGGCAGACAACACACAAUGGAUCCACCACCCUUUGCAUUCCUCAUAUGCAAAGAGAAAUAAGUGUCUCCCAACAGAGUUGGAACGGGAUUAAGAGAAUAGAAAACCCUAAUAGCGUUCACAUCCACAAAAUUGUCGAUGUUGGGGAAUAACACUAACCCAUAGAUGAGAAGUACAAAUAUGGCUUCAAAGGCGUCCUCACUCAUGGCCUUCCCAAACAAAGUAGCUUGGAUAAUGAGAAAAUCAGAUGGGAGACCUUGAAUUCCACCUUUGGUAGUCAUAUGAGCAAUAAUAUCAGAUACAUCUAUAUGAAGCAUGUCAGCAAUCUCUUGGGAAGAAGGAACCCUCUCCAAACCACUGAACGAUAACUAAUCCAGAAUAGGUAUACUCACAUGAUAGGCAUACUCCUCAAGUGUAGGAAAAAGCUGGAAAUCCGGAAAAGUGAAGCACCGAUACAGAGGAUCAUAGAACUGCACCAACACACUCAUCGGACCUUCAUCAACCUGGGUAGAAAGAAUAGACAGAAGCUUCCCAUGGCGCGCUUUGAACUCCAAAGGCUCUAAUACAUAAGAUGUCAAAUUCCUUAACUCUUUCAAGUCGGGUUGUUUGAAACUGUACUUCUUCGUAUUCCUUCUUUGCUUAUCCAUGUCUGAAAAUUUGCAAAUAGACCUCUUAAGUUCCUUGAAAAUUUUCUUGUUGAUGAUAUGGAUGCGUAUGAAUGCAUGAAUGCAUGGAUGUAGCAAUCACACUCAAGGAUCAAGCAAGUCACACCACACAAAGGUCACGGGAUGGCUCAAGUCAUCAUCAAUAUCAAUCAUCCAUUUUGGUGGAUUAUGGUUUUCACCUUAUCAACACCCAAGUUCCAUUGAUAUUGAGAAUGUACGAGAAUGGAUCAACCGUGAAUCAAGGGUUUGUUGUAAGUCACGAGCAUGAGGUCUUGGUUAAGAACCACCCAAAGGGAGUGUACUAUGGUUAAACCUGACGAUCAUGUUCUAAAAAGGUCCCCAUAGUCAUCAUCUCAUCUUUCAGAUAUUAUCGGAUAAAACGACUACUCGUAUUCAAAAAAUAUUCUCAAGAGAGACUCUUAUGAGUGUAGUAUCGCGUAACAAUCGUAUCAAAUCUUACACUUGAACGACCUCCGCACUACGUCCUAAAAUAGGCCAAGAGGGGCUAGGUAUCUAAGGUCCUUGGCUUCUAAGGUUUAUAUUGGAAAGAGUAAUGCCUAACCACGUCUACUCGUGUGACAUUAUUGAUCCCAACAAGACCUCCACCAAGUGAAUGGGCUUGCAAGUCAACUUGCUAAGGAAUAACUCCACACAAGUCAACAAUACUACGCCAUUCUCUUAUCAUAAGUGCACUCGAGUUCGGGUAUAGAACUUAUCUCACAAGAGACUACCAAGUACACAAGCAAUUGAUAUAUCAAGCAAUUCAUACAUUACAAACAAUACAGUCAUCCCAAAUUUGCACAAAAAUAUGUCACAAAUAAAUAUAAACAUACAACACAUAUAAGCAAAAAGUAGGCUAAACCCACUAGGAGAUUACUCCCCAGUGGAGUCGCCACUUUUCUGUAGCGGGGUAUUCAUUACCUUAUGGUUUAUUGACUAAACCAAAAGUAAACAUACAAUUUGAGUCGCCACCGCACUUUUAUUUGUCCAAAGGAAAGGCUAAAAAGCAAACAAAAGCCAAGUAAGAAGUUUUAUCAAAUCAAAAACUAAUAAAAAACAGUCUCUAGACCCAUUCCCCCAACCAAUACUAAUGGGAAGGUUUUACGCACCCAAAACAUCCUUAGUACUCUAAGGGAACCUCUUUUUGCAAAUGUGUGUUGUAGGUUGGUAUUUGUGAAAAUAUUUGUGCAAACAGAUUGGGGGGACGAGAAAAGAAUAGAUUAUAUUUACAAUUUUGUUGUUUGAAUGAAUGAACCCAUUGCCUAUGUACCAUCACAAAGGUAGGAUCAAAACCUCGUAGUUCGGGGUAAAAAUCUCAAAGAUUUGUGAAUUGAUUUGAUCAAAAGCUUUAAGGUCUUUUGUUAUCAAAGGGAGAGAACUCAACCUAAACCAACAAUCCACCAUGUGAGGAGGGCUUCAUCAUACUAGUGAGGGGUUAACCCUAUAAUAAUUAUGGAAGACUUAUAAUCCAACCACUAAGGAUAAGGUGAGGUUUACAUCAACCACUAUGAUAACUCAAACCUAUGGCUAAUGUUUAUGAAAAGUUUUUAACAAAGGUGGCCAUUGGAACCACAAAAACAACUUGAAGUGAUUUGUAUUUACAAGUUAAGUUUAUUUACAAAAUGAAGUCAAAGUUGAAUGAAGAUUUAUUCACAAUGAGUGUUAAUGAAAAGAUUUUGAAAAGUCAAAGGCAUAAGGCCUAGGUUUCUAAUUUGAAACAAAGUCAAAGUUUGCACAUAAAUGAGUUUGACUUGGGUUAGAGUGAGGAGAAGAAAAGAAGGGCUAGUCUUAAGGCAUACACAGAUAAGAGAAGAGAUAAAACCCUUGGAGUUCCUUUUCUUGAAAUCAUAGAGAUGAUUCAAGAUGCUCCUUUCCUUUGGACUUAGAAAUCACUCAAGCAAUCAAACAAAUAUUUAGAUUCAAGCUCCUAGGAUCUCCAAUUCGCUUGUCUCUCUUAACUUGGCUACUCAUGACAAUGAUCCUUCUUACUAUCUCAAGAUGGAAUCCCCAUCACACAAGAGCAAACAUCAAAAGGUUCAUAACACAAUAGGAGGAAUGGACAAAGAAUGAGUUUAGAUUAGGGGUCCUUUGAAGUCAACUUUAAGAUUUAGCAUUCUAAAGGCAUGAGGCUUAGUUGCUCUUCAACAAAUUUAGCAUUCUAAAGGCAUGAGGCCUAGUUUCUCUUGAACUCCUUUAAGCAUAGGUAAGGUCCUAAUUCUAAGUCUUUUCUCCUUUUUGCAUUGGGCUCACACAAACAAAGACAAAACAAACACAAGGCAACAAUAUAUUUAUAUACAAUAAUGAGCUCAAAUGAGCAAAAGGAAAAUGACAUAAACAUAAAAUAUGUGCUCAAGUGAGCAAAGGGAAAAGCAAAAAACACAAGGCAACAAUAUAUUUAUAUACAAUAAUGAGCUCAAAUGAGCAAAAGGAAAAUGACAUAAACAUAAAAUAUGUGCUCAAGUGAGCAAAGGGAAAAGCAAUAUGAAUAAAUGAGCAAGAAAUUAAAUUGCAUUAAAGUAAAUUGCAAGAAAUUAAAUGCUCAAAUUAAAGUUAGUAAUUAGUGGUUAUUUUAGUGUGUCAUAAGACAAUUUAGCGCUAUGUUAAGCAAUCGUAAGUGGACUAAUGUAGUAGUCACACCUAUCUGAGACUGGCCAAUAAAACUAUAGGCAAAUAAAUACAAGUUAGAGAUCAUGACUAGUAAGCCAAGCUCCUACAACUUGCCAUGCCAAAAGAAAAGAGGAAAGACCUUGUAUGGACUUUAGGUUUUUUGCUUGACCAAGAAGCAACCUACCUUGGACACAAAGCAACUCACUUGAUCUUGGAUCAAGUUGAGUUUGAUUUGGAUCAAAGAAGGUUAAACCUCUCAUAUGUCAAGACCAACCAUGAGACAUUAACUCAUUGGCCAAAAAUAAAAAGAAAGUGAGAUGAAGAUGAAAUGAAAUGGAAAGGGAAAUAAAGUGUCAAAUACAAUUGGUCAAAAGUGAAUCAAAUCAUCAUCAACCAAUGUUAAACAGAAGAGAAAUGAAGAUUAGAAGUCAACAAGUCAAACAUAUUUUUUUGGUAUUUUUGGAAUUAAAAUACAUGCAAAAUUAAAAUGGACAAAAUAUGGUAAAACCUCAAAUUCAAUUCAAAUCAACUUCAACAAGUCCAAUUAAAUUCUCAUAGGUCUAACAUGGUCAAACAAGGUUUGACAAAAAAUUUCAACAAUUUUUUAAAUCAGAAACUAUUGUAAAUCAAUUAAAAACAAUAAAAAUAACACAAUAUGAAUUAAAAUCUCAAAUAAAUUUCAAAUCAAUUAAGAAAUUGAUGAGACUAUUUUUUAUUGACUUAUCAUGAUCCAUAUGUGUUAAGAAAAUAUUUUUGGAUUUUUCAGAUAUCAAAAAGUAUUUAAAAUGAAUUAAAAACUAUUAAAAAAAUUGAUGAGACUAUUUUUUAUUGACUUAUCAUGAUCCAUAUGUGUUAAGAAAAUAUUUUUGGAUUUUUCAGAUAUCAAAAAGUAUUUAAAAUGAAUUAAAAACUAUUAAAAACCAAAUAAUUCACAGAAAAUAGUAAAUGAAUUCACAAAAAUAAUUAAAAAUCAGAAUAUGAAACUAGAUUUUUCAAGAAACAAUUUGGCAUUGGUCUCAUAUUUUUGUGACUUCAAAUAAAAUAUGAUGAAUUUUUGAAAAUAAAAGGAAAUAAAUGAAAUUAAAACAGAAAUAAGAAAAUAGCAAAAAUCCAACGCCACAUGAUCCUUUCAUUAAUUGACGUGGCAUUAUCACACGGCUCAGAGGCGUUGGUGCACGAAGGACCUUGGUCAAGCGCGCCACAAAAGGAAUUAAAACAAGUCAACAUAACACACGGCCAUGAUUAAAACAUUUGAGAGAGAUCCAAGGGAUCAGAAGCUCCCACGUGGGGAUGGUGGUGGAAACCACCAUCUUCUCCGGCCAGCUAACUGGUUCCGGCCACCACGCGCUGGCUUUUAAAAAUAAACUGGGGUAUCAAAAUGAAGCUGGGGUGAUGUACAUCAUCACCCCUGUGACCUUGGAUCUUCCUCAAUGUUUCUAUUUAGAGAGAAACAAGAGGUUGAAGAUCAUGGUGUUUGAUCUGGAAUGUCAUGAUUCAUGAAAUUAAGACCACCACUGACCUACCUCUUGCUCGAGGACUUCAGAAAACAGUUCAAACUCAAGCAAUUCACAUUGUAUAGGAAUUAAGACUUAAAGAUCAACUAAUGAUGUUGAAAUUCAAGCUUGAAAUUGAAAAUGAAAAACUGAAAUUCCUUUGAGUGAGGUUGGGUUUCCAAUUCUGCAGAGUUUCAGAUCUCCUUCUGGUUGAAAUUUGAAUGAGCUAGCACUUCUAUUUAUAGUUGGAGAUGAUGCAAUGGGGUGCUUUGCUCGUGUACAUGGAACAUGGACUCUUCAUGCAUGGGCUUGUACAGACGCGUGCAAAGCCCAAAAAUGGAUGAAAAUGCAAGCUGAACUCAAAUGCAAAUGGUUUGGACGUGUAAUUGGAGCUGCAUUGGCUUGUGCAUGAAGUUAUGAUUUGAAUUUCAUAAUUGAACCUAAACAUUGAGCUCUUCGAAACUCAAACAUGAAAAAUCCAAAAAUGGUCAUGUGAGUAAUGGUUGGAAAGAUCUUGACAUAAGGAACAAAAGUCAUGUUGGGAAAAAACUCAUUUGGAGUUUGGAAAUUUAUGAAAACUGGCUGGGAAGAUUUGGGUGCAAAACAUGUCUUUGAAAAAUUUGCCAAAAACAAGCAACUUUAAACCCUUCUGUUUCAAUGAUGCAAGCCUCAAAUGGAAAAACCUUAAACAUCAUAUUUGUAGAUAUUUUCAAGAUGAUAAAUUUGGACUUAAAGUUUGCAUCAUUUGGAUUUUUACUGAGAAAGUUAUGGGCACUUGAAGUUGGACAUUUUUCAAAUUCAAUGGUUUUGGUCCAAAGUGACCUAUAAUGUUUUGUAUUAUCACAUGUGUUUCUUUUAGGAUUAUUAAAUUUUAUCCAACAUGAAAAUUGAAUUAAACAUCUUAAGCUUUCCAAUUCAAUUGGUCUCACCUAAAAAUCAUAAAAAAUAAGGAAGUUAGGUCCUUGGGAAGUUGACCUAAAAUUAUGGUUUCAGUCAAAAUGACCUAUAAUGUUUUGAAAUGAAUGAUGACCUUCCAAGUUUCAAAUGGAUUUUUGAUGAACAUUAAAGUUGUUCAUAUGGUUCUUAAGAACAUUUUUAUCUUGGGUUCAUCUUCAUUUGACAAACACAUUACAAGUUGUGUCUCAGUGAUCUUCAGUUUAGUCAGAUGAUUUGACUGGUCAACUUCUCAAGGCCAAACCUCAAAUCUUGAUGAAUGUAUGAUUGAGGAUACUCACAUAGGCUCAUAUAUGCAUAAAAUAAUGAAUUAAAGAACUUCACUUGAUUGAAUUUGAUCAUAGGUUGAGGUUGCUUCAUGAGCAAGGCACAGUUGAACUAGGGUUUCCUUGGGAAACAAUCCUCAAGCCCUUUGGUUUAUCUUGAUCAAAUUGGCAAAGUGAGAUACUUGGGAUACAUAUAUGAUGAUUAGGAACUUUGUGGACCAUUGUCAUGAUUGUUCCCAUCCUCAUCUAGCCAUUUAAUUGAGCUUAGGAGCCUCCUAGGAGCAUUGAAGCACAUGAUCAUUUGAGCUUCAAAACAAAAAGAGUUAGUGACAUAUUUUUGUGCUUUUGGUUAGUAAACAAAUAAGAAAAGCAAUAAUAUACAAUUAAAUCAUGCUUGGUGGUCUCAAACCACUCUCAUAAGUCCCAACCCCCUAGGGUAAAGGAGCCACACAUGCUAUGAUCCUUGAGGCAAUGCAUUUAGCAAAUGAUAUGAUGCCAUGAGGGAUCUUAGGGUCAAAAUUAGGGUCUUACACCUUAUAGAGGUUUGUGUUAGAAGCACAAGCCUCAAAGAUAGCAUUGAGUCUGCCAGUAGCCUCACCUUCAAACUGAGUCAACAAAUUAUCCAAGGGAGUGGGGCGAAUGUUGGUUUGAGUAGAAGUCAGAUCAGAGUAAGGACAAGAGUUCCUUUCUAGGACUGUGAUGACUUCAACAUAUGGUUUGGACUGUUUGACUAUAUCAUUACAUUCCUCAGAAUUAGAGUUAAGUUCAUAUCGAGUUUCGGUGUAAGAGGAAAUGUUAAUGGUUAGGUAAGAAGAAUCAGGGGUAGAAGGUUUGUUGUGUGUGAGUCUUUCCAUAAAAGAACCAAAAACAGGUACAUCAAUGGGUUGGUGGAUGGAGUUGGUGGUGAGAGUGUGUUUCUGGAAAGGCACAAGCUUCAGGCAUGGUUAUAAGGAUUAAAGCAGGUGUGGAAAAAUCAGAGUCAGAGGGAUUGUUAUCUGUAUCAGAUGGUUUAUUAAUAGGAGUGGUUAGAAAAGUGGUACAUGCAUUUAAGGUUGGUUGUGCAAUGGUUAUUAUGGUGGUUGAUUCAACACAAGUUGAAGUGGGUAUAGGGAUAGUGACAGAGAUAGAUGGCAUAGAAGUGGUGGUUGUUUCAGAGGUGCUGGAGGAUUUUGGGGAAAGGGUGGUUAUAGUUCCAAAAGGAAUAUACGGUGAUGGAGAAGGUUGAGGAGGAAUAGAUGAAGUAGACAACACAAAACUUACAGAGUGAAAACGAGUCUCAGUCAUAGGUAUCUUAUCAUGAUUCCCAAAAGGAUUCACUUUAGAAGAUCUAGUAGUCUCAGAAUGAACAUGUUCUGCUCUUAUAUCUUUUAGAAUGCUAAGUCUAUAAGUCCUAGCAAUUUUGGUGGGAGUUAUGACUGAUUCAGAAGGUCCUUCACCAAAAGUUAGAGUCUUCCUUUUCCUUUUUAGAGCGUACACAUCAACAUGGAAUACUAAAAGUUCUUUAAAGAUCACCACUUACUUAGGACGACCCUCUGCCAAACGGGCAUCGUUAAAAUGUUACAGGACCUCCUUAGUUUCUUCCUGUGAGAAAAGAGGAUAAUAAUCCACAUUCUAGAACCAACAAAUAUCGUGUCUAGAAGUUCUAAAGGGUUGACAACAUUUGAAAUUAGAGACAUAUUCUUCAGAGUGCGUCCACUAAAAUGCUUCCCAAUAACAAAUUCAAAUUCCUUUGUCAUUCCUGUAUCAAUAAGCUUCUUUAGGAGUUUGAUCUCAAAUAAGAUGUCAGAAAUCAACUUACCCAUAGGUAUCCAAUAUCUCAUCUUGGCACCUUCAUUUUUGGUUUCCUUUACCAUUUCCCUUGGAUACUUGAAAAGAAUUAAGGGAAAAUUCAUUUACUCACCAAUUUCGAGAUAGUACAACAAGUACUUCUGAUCCGUAUUGAUGUAAUCUAUCGAGCUUAUAGCCUUUUUGUGAUGAAUGAAUCCCAGAACAAUCUUGACCAAAUUCUCAAAUUGUUAUGAAGAUCCUUAGCAUUAGAGGAGGGAUUUCCAUUCUUGAAGAUGGAUUUUUCAAUUCCUGCAAUCUUAUCCUUCUUCGCAGUCAUACCAAAACAUCUCUUCCCAGAACCAUCAUGUCCCAGAAGAGUAGAAAUUGACUUUUUAGAAAUGGAUAUCUUGUGACCCAAAACAUAAGACUUCACUUGAAGAUUUGAGGCUUCAGCAAACACCCUGAAUUUCUUGACCAACUGAUCAUAAAUCAGUCCUUUUAGACGUUCAAAAUAUCCUUCCCAUCCUUGUGAUCUUAGAGUACCAAAAAGAUAAAGUCCAUUGGCUUUGAGAUUGUCGAAAUCCACCAUUAAUUCACACAUAAAUUUUAACUUUUCAACAAGAUUAUUCAAAGUGAGUUCUUGAAGUCCUUCGAGAACUUGGUUUUGUUGUUCUUCUUGAGAUUACUGAGAAGAUUGUCGAGAAGACACCAUUGUUGAAGAGCAAAAGGGUCUUAGGGUUUACUGCAACUUUUGGCUUAAAGAGUGAAAGUGUUGGUUAUGAGCGUAGCAAAGGUGUGUGAAGUGAGUUGAGUGAGUUUAAAUAUAAAAUUUCGCAAUCAUGAUAAAUAGAUAUUAGAUCGAAAAUCUGACAAGAAGGUAAAGUGUGAAAGAUUUUACCUAAUCCCAAGGUAUAUUCACCCAAUGUGUCACAUCAUCUGAUCAGAGACAGUUCAGUUUUCUAAGAAAAUUGUCUUAAAACAGUUCCACUAAUCGAGACUGAUUUAUAGUUAUUUAAUGAAUAAAUUAUUCAUUAUCCAUAAAGUAGAUUUAUUUAAGUAAAUAAGUUAUGACUGGAUAGAUCUGGACUUAUGAAUCUUUCUCAUACAUUCAGAACAACUGACAAAUCUUAGAGUCUUAUUUUAUCAUUUUGACAAAAACAUCCUUUUCAUUCUGGACACAAAUCCAUUUUUUAAUUUUUCAUAAUGAAAAUAAAUCUAUCUUCGGCAAGGGGUUUUGUAAAGAUAUCAGCCCAUUGAUGGUCUGAACCAAUAAAUUUUAGAUUUAAAAUACCCUUAUAAACAUAGUCACGAAUAAAGUGAUGUUUUAUCUCUAUAUGUUUUGCUCUAGAAUGCAAAAUAGGAUUCUUAGAUAAACAAAUAGAAGAAGUAUUAUCACAGAGUAUAAGAGUGUUACUCUCAUAUAUCUAGAAAUCUUAUAGCUGGCUUUUCAUCCAAAGCAUCUGAGUGUUGCAUUCGGAGGCUGCUAUGUAUUUAACUUUAGCAAUUGAAAGUGUUAUUGUUGAUUGCCUUUUGCUGGACCAUGAGAUCAGUUUAUCUCCUAAAAACUGAAAGCUUCCAUAACUGUUUUUCCUUUCAAGUCUAUUUCCAACAUAGUUAACAUCACAAUAUGAAGGAGAAUUGUGAUCCAAAACGCAACAGAAUUUAAAAAUUUGUCCUUUAGUGAUCCUUACAAAUGGGCAUGAUCAGUGAUAGAAUUGUUACCUCUUGUGGUGAUUGAAACCUUUGAUGCAUAUCUACAGAGCGAUCACGAACGUUGAAUGGUGACAACGCCUCUACUCAGUCCACACGAACGGAUUCCUUCAAUCUCAGUGCUAGCUGCUACGAAUGAAGGCUUUGAGUGUGUGUGUGUGUGUGUGUGUGUGUGAGAGAGAGAGAGAGAGAGAGAGAGAGAACAACGCCUCUACUCAGUCCACACGAACGGAUUCCUUCAAUCUCAGUGCUAGCUGCUACGAAUGAAGGCUUUGAGUGUGUGUGUGUGUGUGUGUGUGUGUGAGAGAGAGAGAGAGAGAGAGAGAGAGAAACAAAAUUACAACUGCACAAAUGCUUCUACACAAGGGUUCUAUUUAUAGAGCCACUUGUGUGGGCUGCAAGCUAAAAAGCCUACUUAAGUGUAUGUGGCAUAUACCUUAUGAUAUGCCAAAAUCACUUAAGCGCGUGGUACCUUACCAUAUUUCGUAUUCUACUUAAGUACGCUGUACCUUACGAUGUUCUACAAUUCACUUAAGUGCACCGUACCUUAUGGUGUUCCUUAGUUACUCUAUCUCUCAUCAAUCCGUCUUUUUGUGUGUGACCCUAUAGGUUUUCGCGACAUUAGCAAUUAUAUUAAAUCACGUAUUUAACAUAAUAAACAAUGAGCGGUAUCUAGCAACACAACACUGCUACCCAAGACACGAAAAUGUCAUGUGAUCUGACAAAUCCUUUUGUGAUAAUACUUAUGUGUAUAAUCACCCUUUUUCCCUUAUGUUUAUAUUGAACACAAGGCAUAGACUGUGUCAUCCUUGUCCAGUUCAAUAUUGGGCCCGUAGACAUUUGUCCUAUUACGAAGGAUGGCCAAAUUCCAUCUAGCUCACUCAUGUACCUCAGCAUGUUUCGUGGAAUACCCAUCAACUGUCUUUAUGGUCAUCCAGUUACAAACAAUGUUUGAUCAGUAAUAAGGCACUCGACUCUACAUCUAGGGUCAAUAGUGGUUUCAGGUCGAAGGGUGGUAUACACCAUUAUCACCAUGAGAAUAACUUAUGACACUUUGCAUAACAUUCUAUAUAGUGUUCUCAUAGCGGGUCAAUCCAGUAUAAAUAUUACUCUUAAUAUUCAUACUUAUGUUUAAGACUUGAUAACUCCUUAGCCAUGAUCCAUGAGAUGUGAUCAUCAGUCUAUAUACAUAAUAGUCUUAAUGCUUUAAUGUUAUCCCACUUCACAAUAAAGCUCGACUACAGAUACUUUAAGAAUAGUGUUCUUAUGUUUAAUGGUAUCCCAUUAUUAAGUCACACUUGAUACAUUAAGCGGACUAGCUAUUCUAGGGACUUUAUUAAACAAACAUAAUAAAGAAAAGGCCUUUUAUUAUUAAUAAAUAAUUCUAUACAAGUACCAAAACUAUUGGCCUCUAGGGCUUACGCUAACAAACAGUUCUCUAAUUGAAUUAUUAAACCACUAGGUAAAGUUAAUACAUAAGUUCCUACGGCUAAAGCAACAACCUUUGCUCCAUUUCCAACUCGUAGGUUAACUUCACCUUUUGCCAAAUCUCUACUCCUUUUUAGCUCCUGCACAUUGGUACAAAUGUGAGAAUCGCAUCCAGUAUCUAAUACCCAUGAUGCAGAAGUAGAUAGAUUAAUUUCAAUAACAAAAAUACCUAAAAUUGAAGUCUCUACUUCAUUCUUUUUAUCUUCCAGGUACUUUGGGCAGUUUCUCUUCUAGUGUCCGGCCUUACCGCAAUAGAAGCAAGUGCCAUCCUUUGAUAUACCUCUACUAGGUUUCAAAGCAGGAGCAAUGGGUUUGGGUUUGGCAACUUCCUUGCCUUUCCCUUUACCACCCUACUUGGUGGGCCUUUUGUUCUGUUUCUUUCCAUUUCCGAUCAUCAGAAUGGACUUCCCUUUUGACUUCAGAUUCUGCUCAGUAGUUCUUAACAUGCCUGACAGUUUAGGAAGAGUUUUGUCCAUAUCAUUCAUGUUGAAAUUAAGAAUAAAUUGAGUGAAGCUCUCUAGAAACGAUUGCAAGAUCAAAUCAGUCGCAAGUUCCUUUCCGAGGGGAAAACCCAACCUCUCAAGGUUCUCCACAUGCUCAAUCAUCUUGAGCACAUGGGGACCUACAUGACUCCCUCAGCUAACUUGCCUUGAAAAAGGGCUUUUGAAACUUCAAACCUUUCAUGCCUUUCCUUCUCUUGAUAGAGUAUCUUCAGGUGUCCGAUCAUAUUGAAUGCUGACAUGUUCUCAUGUUGCUUUUGCAACUCCGAGUUCAUGGUAGCUAGCAUGAGGCAAGCAGCUUCAUUGGCAUCAUCAACAUGCUUCUUAUAAGCAUCUCUUUCUGCCUUAGGUGCAGAACUAUGAGGUUCCUCUUUAGGAACAUGUGUCUCAAAGGCAUACAAUUUUUUUUAUCAUGCUUGAGGACAAUCCUCAGAUUUCGAUGCCAAUCCAGAAAAUUUGUCUUAGACAAUUUUUUCUUAUCAAGGAUUGAUCGCAAAAUGUUGUUAGAGGUGUCUGUUGUCAUGGUAAUCUAUAUGAAAAAUAUGAAAAUAUAAGUAUCAUUAAAAUAACAUAUUUAAUUAGGCCUUUAAUUAAAUAUGCUCCCACUAUUUUACUCGAAACAAAUGACCCUCACCAUUUGAUUCGGAAAAUCUCGUUGUAAGAUUUUUUAGUGGGUCGAGAUCCACAUUUCACUUUGUUUUAAGUCCGCGUAGGAGGAUUACACAAAAUUUUAAUGAAUAAAUUUGAAAUCGACGUCGUUUUUUGCAUCAACAUUUGAUACUUUAAAGCACAACUCUUGUGCAGUCACAACCCUAAUCGCAUAACUCUUUGACAGCACAACCCUUGUACCGUCAUGAACUCUAAUGCAACAAUUUCAUACCAUCAAACACACCUCAAUUGGUAAUUCAGUAUGAUUAAUCAACACGUCAUUGUUUCACCAUACUAAUGUUAGAUUCCGAAGAGAAAUGAUCAUUGAUCGCUCAAAGGAAUACCAAUCAUUAAGUGUUUGAACGAACAAAAUAGAAAUAAUAUAUCGUAUAGACCAUAUUUUGCAUCAAAAUUACUUAUAUCAUAUAUAUAAAUUGAUUGAUCUCAUUUAUGUAACCUAUGGACGAUCGAUGUAUCGCUGCUUCACCAUACUAACAUCGGAUUCCGAAGCAUAGUCAACAUUAAUAAUCCAAAUAGUGUACACAUGAUGCCAAAUUUAAUUACUCGUUUAUUAUUUAAUUCAUUAUGUAUUUUAAUCGUAUUAAUACAAAAAAUACAAAAAAUAAACAGCUAUCAAAUGCAUGGUUUCGUAACCAGGCUCUGAUACCACUGAAGGAAAAUUACGAUCCAAGACGCAACGGAAAUUAAAUUUUUUUCCUUUAGUGAUCCUUACAAAUGGGCAUGAUCAGUGAUAGAAAUGAUUAUCUCUUGUGGUGAUUGAAAACUUUGAUGCAAAUCUAAGGAGUAAUCUCGAGUGUUGAAUGGUGACAAUGCCUCUACUCAGUCCGCACGAACAAAUUCUUUUAGUCUCAGCUCUAGCUGCUAUGAAUGAAGGCUUUGAGAGAGAGAGAGAGAGAGAGAGAGAGAGAGAAAUGGAAUUUCAUCAAGUGAAAUGCUUUUGCACAAGAGUUAUAUUUAUAGAGCCACUUGUGUGGGCUGUAAUCUAAAAAGCCCACUUAAGUGUACGUGGCCGAUAUCUUAUGGUAUACCGAAAAUCACUUAAGCACAUGGUACCUUACCAUAUUUCGUAUUCUACUUAAGUGCAUUGUACCUUACGAUGUUCUAUAAUUCACUUAAGUGCAUCGUACCUUACGGUGUUCCUUAUUUACUCUUUCUCCCAUCAAUAUGUCCUUUUGUGUGUGACCUUGCAGGUUUUCGCAAUAUUGGCAAUUAUAUUAAAUCACGUAUUUAACAUAAUAAAUAGUGAAAGGUAUCUAGCAACACAUCACUGCUACCCAAGACACGAAAAUGUCAUGUGAUUUGACAAAUCCCUUUUUGUGAUAAUACUUGUGUGUACAAUUACCCUUUUUUCCCUUAUGUUUAUAUUGAACAUAAGGCAUAGACCGUGUCAUCCUUGUCCAGAUCAAUAUUGGGACCUUAGACAUUUAUCCUGUUACGCAGGAUGAGAAAAUUCCAUCUAGGUCACCCAUGUCCCUCAACAUGCUUCGUGGAGUACCCAUCAACUGUCUUUAUGGUCAUCCAGUUACAGACAACGUUUGAUCAGCAAUAAGGCACUCGACUUUACAUCUAGGGUCCAUAGUGGUUUCAGGUCGAAGGGUGGUAUACACCACUAUCAGAAUGAGAAUAACUUAUGACACUUUGCAUAACAUUCUAUGUAGUAUUCUCAUAGCGGGUAAAUCCAGUAUAAAUAUUACUCCUAAUAUGCAUACCUAUGUUUAAGACUUGAUAACUCCUUAUUGAUGAUCCAUGAGAUGUGAUCAUCAGUCUAUAUACAUAAUACUCUUAAUGCUUUAAUGUUAUCUCACUUCACAACAGAGCUCGACUACGAAUACUUUAAGAAUAAUAUCCUUAUGUUUAAUGGGAUCUCAUGAUUAAUUCACACUUGAUUCGUUAAACGGACUAGCUAUUCUAGGGACUUUAUUAAGCAAACAUAAUAAAUGAAAAACCUUUUAUUAUUAAUAAAUAAUUUGAUACAAGUACCAAAAGUAUUGGCCUCUAGGGAUUACACCAAAACAAUAACCAACUAGCUUGUAGUCUUUGGAUUUUCUAUAGCACAACCCAAGGUUAAUUGUACCUUUCAGAUACCUAAAGAUCCUCUUAACAACUGUUAAGUGGGACUCUCUAGGAUCUGAUUGGAAAUGAGCAUACAAAUAGACACUCAACAAAAUGUCAGGCCUAUAAGCGAUCAAGUAUAAGAGAGAGUCAAUCAUACCUUUGUAUACCUUUUGUUCUACCUUAACACUUACCUCAUCCUUCUCAAGGAUGCAUGUAGGAUGCAUAGGGGUCUUUUACAUCUUGUAUUCAGACAUGUCAAACUUCUUCAGAAGUUCCUUGGUGUACUUUCUCUAAUGAAUGUACGUCCCUUCAGGACUUUGAUUAAUCUGAAUCCCAGAAAGAACUUGAGUUCUUCCAUCAAACUCAUCUCAAACUCUGCCUGCAUAGACUUAGUAAAUUCUUUUCACAAAGUAGCAUUAGCAGAACCAAAUAUAAUGUCAUCAACCUAAAUCUGAACAACAAGAAUGUCAUUUUUGAAUGACUUAGAGAAUAAUGUUGUAUCAACUUCCCCUCUAGUGAGAUUAUUUUCUAACAGAAAAUUGCUUAGUCUUUCAUACCAUGCUCUAGGAGCCUGUUUCAGACCAUACAAUGAUUUCUUCAAUUUGAAAACAAAAUUUGGAUUUUUAGGGUUUUCAAAACCAAGGGUUUGGUGUAUAAACACUUCUUUAGUAAUGUAACCAUUUAGAAGGGAACUCUUAAUAUCCAUCUAAUAUAAGAUGAUGUUAUGAUUAACUACAAAUGAAAUUAAGAGACGAAUAAACUCUAACCUGACAACUGGUGCAAAGGUUUUUGUAUAGUCAAUUGCUUCUUACGGACUAUAACCUUGUGCAACCAAUCGAGCCUUGUUUCUAACUACCUUUCCUUGUUCGUUCAGCUUAUUCCUAAAGACCCACUUGGUUUCAAUAACGUGAAUCCCUUUGGGUCUUGGCACAUGAUCCCAGACACCAUUUUGGAGAAUUGGUUGAGUUCCUCUUGCAUAUCCAGAAUUCGUUAUGUGUCCAUAAGUUCUUCAUAAAUUGAUGUAGACUCUAUCAAAGACACCAAACCCAUAAGUCUUUCUUCAGAGGGCUUGAAAGAGGAUCUAGUUUUGACAGGUUCAGAUUUAUCAGCCAGAAUAAAUUCUUCAGAAUGUUAAGAUCUUUGUUUGUGUCGUCUUAGAGGAGUUUGAGCUUCAACAAAUUUUGGUUGUGGAGCUUCAGAGUCUAUGGCUUCAACUUCUUUGGCUUCUGAAGUCUUUCCUUCAGAACCUAAGUAAGUGAUCUCCAAAUCUGAAAAAUUCUCAACUAGCUUUGACUUUUCAGAGUCAAGCUUAUCAUCGAAUCUGACAUGGAUUGAUUCUUUAACAAUCUGUCUUAGUCUUAUACACUAUGUAGCCUUUCGAGCGUUCUGAGUAUCAAAACAUGAUGCACUUAUGUGCUUUAGAAUCAAACUUGCUCAGAUUCUCUUUAGUGUUCAACAUAAAAUAAGAACAUCCAAAAGGAUGAAAAUAUGAAAUGUUGGGCUUCAAAUUCUUCCACAAUUUUUAGGGAGUCUUACCUAUAAUAGGUCUUAUAGAGAUCUUGUUCUGAAUGUAACAAGUUGUAUUAACUGCCUCUGCCCAAAAGUGCUUUGCCACAUUAGUCUCGUUGAUCAUGGUUAUGGCCAUCUCUUGCAGAGUCCUAUUCUUCCUCUCUAUAACUUUAUUUUGUUGUGGAGUUUUAAGGCAGGAUAAAUCACAGGAAAUGCCAUUAGCAUCAAAGAGUUUUUCAAAAUCUUUGUUUUCAAAUUCGCUACCUUGAUCACUUCUGACUUUUACAAUUCUAAGAUCUUUCUAGUUUGCACUUGGGAGCAUAAGGUAGAAAACAAAAAGUGUGACUCAUCCUUGUGUCUAAGAAAUUUCACCCCUGUACAUCUGAUGUAGUCAUCAACAAUGACUAGUACAUACUUCUUACCAUUGAUAUAGGUAGUUUUCACUAGACCAAACAAGUCAAUGUGUAGAAGCUCCAAUGGUAUGGAGGUUGAGACAACCUUUUUAGCCUUGAAAGACGAUUUAGAAAGUUUGCCUUUCUGACAUGCUUCACAAAGAGUAUCUGAAGAAAACUUCAUAUUUCGCAGGCCUCUGACAAGAUUAAGUUUGUUAAGCUGAGAAAUCCUCAUCAAUCUAACAUGACCUAAUCAUUUAUGCCAUGUCCAUUUCUCUUCAUUCACAUACAUAAGACAUUUUACAUUUUGAUUAUUCAAAUCAGAAAAUAUUAUCUUGUAAAUGUUGUUCUUCCUUUUUCCAUUAAAAAAACUGAGCCAUCCUUUUGACUGACAAUUUUAUAAGACUUUUGAUUGAAAAUAAUGUCAUAACCAUUGUCACUUAAUUGACUUAUGGACAAUAGAUUAUGCAUUAAUCCUUCAACUAAAAUAACAUUAGUAAUAGAAGGGAGUAUAUUGUUACCUAUUGGUCUGGAGCCAAUGAUCUUCCCUUUCUGAUCACCUCCAAAACCGACGACGCCUCCAGGCUUAAGUUCUAGGCUUUGUAAUAUAUUCCUUCUUCUCGUCAUGUGCCGCGAGCAUCCGGAGUCCAGGUACCAUGACUGGUGUCUCAACUCCACUGUUAAGUAUAUCUACAACAUAAACUAUCUUGUCCUUAGGUACCUAUAUCUUUAUGGGUCCUUUUGGGUUAGUCUUCCCAGAAUUCUUAACAAACUUGGGUUUUUGAGCAUGACAUUUAUAGAUGAAUGCAUGAUUAAAACGGGCAUGAGGUUUUGUUUUAGUGUUAGGUUUAGAAACAGUUCUACCUUUAGGCCUAACAUCAUUUUGCUUCCCUGAUGGAACAAAAUGAGCCUUAAGAGUAUUUGGCUUAUCGUCUUUUUCAGAAUCAGAUUCUUCAUCAGAAUCAUAACCAAUACCCCUUGUCACGUUCCUGCUAACGCCAUAAAUCAUGGAAGCCAUUAAGCUUCUAUUCAGGCUUUUAGCAAGAAACUUCUAGAAAAAUUUAUCAUACUUCUUUAUGAUAUCACCAGAACCUAUAGAGGCUUUUAGAAAGAAUUUUCUUUUCAGUUAUGAGACUCUUGCUUAAAGGCACAAAGUUAUUGUUUUUCAAAGUAAGAUUUUCUUCACUCAAACUUGAAAACUCUUUCUGAAGCUUAUAAUGAGCUUCUAUUCAUAUACAUUAAUCUUUUUCAGAUCCUUGUAUAUGUCCGGAAGAUUAUGAUAUUUCUCCAGAACUUAUGAUAGACUUGAGUCGUUUCUGCAGAAGCUUCUCUGCAAGCCAUCAACGCCAUAUUAGCUUGCUCUUCUUCAUAAUCAUCUUCUAAAGACUCUGAAUUGUCCCAUGUAUCCAUUAUACCUUUCUUCUUUCCUUAGAAGUUCAUCCUUGGACUUUCUUUCUUUAACUCGGGACAUUCAUUCUUGAAGUGCCCAGGCUCCUUGCACUCAAAGCAUGUGAGUUCUUUGCCAGCUCCAGCCUUCUUAGAUCCAGAAAUGGACUCAGAACGACCAUCUGUCCUUUUUUGUCCUCUGAAUUUUCCUUUCCUUUUUUUCCAGAGUUGAUUAACGCGUUUGGACAGAAGAGACAAUUCAUCAUCUUCUUAUGAUUCCUCUUUAGACUCUUCAUCAAUUUCAGCUUGAAGAGCUUCAGUCUUCUCAGAUCUUCCUGAAGACUUCAUAGCAAUUAACUUUCUCUUCCUCUUGGGCUCAUCUUCCUCGAGCUUAAUCUCAUGACUUCUUAAAGAACAAACCAGUUCUUCAAGAGAAAUGUUGUUAAGAUCCUUUAAUAACUUCAGAGCAGUUACUAUAUGUCUUCAAUGCUUAGGUAGACUUCUAAAGAUCUUUUUAACAUGAUCAGCAGUAGAAUACCCUUUUCCCAAAACCUUAAGUCCUCUAACAAGAGUCUGAAACCUUGAGAACACGUUCUCAAUAGUUUCUUCAUCCUCCAUCUUGAAUGCUUCAUAUUUUUGAAUCAAGACAAGAGCCUUGGUUUCUUUGACUGGAGCAUUCCCUUCACAUGUCAUCCUCAUAGAAUCAAAAAUAGAUUUAGCAGUAUCUCUAUUGGUGAUUUUCUCAUACUCAGUGUAUGAAAUAGCAUUUAACAAGAUGGUUCUUACUUUGUGAUGAUUCUUAUAGUUUUUCUUUUGUUGAUCAGUCAUCACUCUUCUUUACACUUUAUUACCACUUCCAUAUAAUGGGUGUACAUAGUCAUCAACUACCAUAUCCCAUAAAUCAACAUUGUGACCUAGAAAGAAGCUCUCAAUUCUAUCUUUCCAAUAGUCAAAAAAUAGGAGGUUUAGCAUUAUAAUGAUCUAUAUCAUUUGUUUGGGUAGCUAGUGGUGGAGGAGCGCCAUUGUGUUUCACACUGGAUCUUUAUCUGACACUGUUAAGUGUUUUAUAAUCUUAUCAAGACCAAAAAUGGAGCUCUGAUGCCAAUUGAAGGUGGCAAGAAAUACAAUAAAUGAGGGUUUCAAUUGGGUUUCUAAAUAUAAAAGUUUUCCAAAACCAACUAAAUAAAGCAAUAUCAUGAAUAAGAAAAAUAACAAACUUAUUUUUAUACUGCUUCGCUGUUAACGAAGCUACCUUCAGUCCACCUUAACAAGGUGAUUUCUCCUUCUCAAGAAGGACUUAAUCCACUAUAGUCAAAACAUGAUUACAGACACCACAAAGACAAAUUGUCCUUAUCUUCUUGAGUCUAUCUAACUAAAACCUAGUCACUCAAGGAAAUCACUCAAACAAAUUUAAGAUUUACAAGUUGUGUGUAUAAAGAAUGCUUCUAAAAAUCAGAUUAACACAAGUUAGUACAAUGGAUAUUUCUCACACAAUAACGAGCAAAAAGUCUUGUGUCUUUACAAAGAAUAUACAUAGAAAAUAUUUACUAAGGCAAAAACGUGUGUAUGUUUAGUAGCGUGAGAAAUAUCAAAGCAUUAUCAAAGAGUUAUCAACUUCUUCCAAUAUUCAAGUCUCCUUUAUAUAGCCAUAUAAAAGAUUCGUUGGAGGGUAGAAUUGGAAUACUGAAACACAACUGUCUCUUUCAUAAUUGUUUGCAUACAAGCGGAAAAUGAUACAAUAGUAUUGUCCUUAGCCCACAAAUUCAGGGUAGUGGCCGAAAGGGUGAUUUUGUAAUGUGUACUAUUUUAUUGGAGCAAAACCUUUUGAUAUUAUCUUCUAAUCUUCAUAGGCUUCUGGUAAAAUGAUUUUGAAACAUGCUUAUAAGGAUCAAGAGAAAAGUUGGUAGAAUCUUCAGAACCUUGGUCUUCUGAGUCUUGACACAAUUCCUCACAACCCGGUCUUCAGAGUCUACAGAUCUUGUUCUUCAGAAUCUUCAGAACUUGAGCGUAGAAUCUUGAAGGCAGACAAACCUUCAAAGGUUCUAAUGAUCAGAGUCACUAUCAGAAGCUUUAGCAUGAACAUUCAUCAAAAUCGUUGUCUAAGAGUUUUCUAGAACUUGACAGCAUCUUGUAAAUCACUUGUAUCUCCUCAUAGUCAGAGUGUGUUGAUUCCAGAAUCUAAUGACAUCACACGUCAUUGCUUCAAAGUCAGAACUUAUUAGCAAUAGCUACACACUAGAUAAAAACCAUUAGUGAACAAAAUUGUUCUCUAAGAAAUAAUGCAUUUUUAUCAUCAAAACUAAAGGCCAAACGCAGAACCAAAUCUUGUUCUAACAUUAAAAUCUUGUUUGGUUCAUGAGCUCAUCCAACCAAAAGAUCUUGUUUGGUUACUGAGUUUAGCCGUCAAAAAAUCUAUUUGGUACCCGAGCUAAGCCUGGUGUAAAAACUCUGUUUGAUUUUGAGAUUAUCCUAGUAUAAAAUAUCUCGCUUGUUUGGUUGUAAGAAGGUUCAUAUGCACAACCUAUGAAAAGCUCACAUAUGAUAUAUUGUAAACUCUCAAGAAAAAAUUCUUAGGGAUAUGAGCAAACCAAGUGGUUAGGAGGAACCUGUAUAAAUUGCAGGUGCAUUUCUUUAUUCCCUUAUCUCUUUAGAUUUCAAUUCUGUAUUCCUUUCGGUGCAUUUCCAUCUCUUCAUAUGUUCUAUUUUUCAUUCUUUUAAUUAUUCUACUGCAUAUUCUCUAUUUGAUUUAAGCGUUUUUAUAAAUCAAGAUUUUUAUAAUUGGACAUCGAUUUUCAACCGCCAAACCCCCCAUCCCCGCCCUCUUGUGUUUGGGGUCACUUGUACAACAUAAACUACAUAAAAUAUAAGGGUAUAACACUUUCGGCUCCCUAUUGUCAAGGUUUUGGCCUUAGGUACCCUAGUCUAGAGCCUCUUUGGAUUUUUCCCUUAUUAAAUAGGCUCUUUAUCUUUCUCUCGCUUAGAAGAAUCAUCGCUCACCGCCUUAGACAUGUAUAACUUUAAAGCAAAGUUUUAUCGAAUGGUAAUUUGAUUUCUUAUUAUUACAAGACGUGUAUAUGUGUUCCCUUGACAAGACUUGUUUGUUUUGAUUUUUUGACAACUUGGGAUCCUGCUGUUGACCCUCUUGUUUGUUCUUCUUGUAAACCUGUGCAACUGUCUAUAUCGUCUUUAAAUUUGGGGGGUAACCACGUAGUAUCUAUCCUUAAAUUGAAGCUACCCAUGUGGAAUUCAAACAUUUUUCUCACUUGUGUGAAGGAAAGUUAUCGUUAGUCCCGAUUCUUCGUGGCCAAAGUAUGUUGUACAUUAAAGAGGUGGAAGAAAAGUUUUAAGGUGGGGAUAUUGUUUCUAUAUUCAUACUAAUACUAGAAUACCUUUACAUAAGCAUAAGUUACCAUAUGUUUUUGUGAUGGGGAUAUUUUCAAAUGAUUCAUAACCCUAAUUUCAAACUCAUUGAAGGGAAGCUUGAACCAUAUUAUGAAGAAUAAACAUUCAUGGAAGAGAAAUGUUAAAAAAAAUCAUCAAAGUGGUUGUAGAACCCUUUCCACACACUACAUGGGAGAUCGUCUAGUUAGAAGAUAUGCAUACAUCCGAAUAGGCAUUUUCUAUCUGACGUGCCUCAUUGAGGAGGAGCGUCAUACCCAAGGUCUUAGAUUCUACCCGUGGGUACUAGUCUGCAUCAGUAGGAAGCUCAAGAGCCUGAUGUCCCAUUUGUACCAUUUCCUAUUCAAUGUUAAUAAGUAAAAAAUUACAACUAUGGGUUCUAGAAAGAGAUUGAGACUCAAUCCACCACUUAACCUCAUCAUCAAUUGGUUCCCAACCAUAAAGACACUCAACAAAUUUAAUAUACACACGAGCCUUCAAUUCAUCUCGAUAUUCCCAUAUCAUCUAUGGAUUUGGCAUGAGGAUAUCAGGGAAGUAAAAGUCACGACUAAAUUCCCCAAUAUCAAUCCUAAAAGGGCUAACUUCCUCCUCUUUAUCCAUGUUCAUUUCAAGGUCUUCCACUUCCUAGAGACCCUCAGACUCUUCAACAUCCAUGCAAAAGUUCUACAUAACAUUAAAAUUGUCAUUAAUCUCUCUAAAAUCUACAUAAAGAUAUCUCACCGUAAAAGGAAACACCUUCAUUAUUUCUGGUUUUAUCAUUUCAUAUUGCAAAGAAGUGUAGCUUAUAUCAUCUCCAUUGGAUAAGUCUAUGAAGGCAACAUUUGGGUUUCCUAUGUUGGCCAUGGCUAGAAAUGAAUAGAAACAACUUACAGGAUUGAUAAAGAAAAUAUUAUCUUGAGAAAUUUGCAGAGUUUGAGUCAAAGAAACAAAUACAAUAUUACCAAAGACCGAAAAAUGUUACACACGCUAAAUGUUGGAAGAAAUAAUAAAAGAUCACUUGCAAAGCAGAAAUUACAUGCAAGACUUAAGAUACAACACUUUGAUGGAAAAUAAGCGAAAAUAAUAACUAAUGACACUCUAUCCAUUUUAUAGAUAACUAAGAAGUAUAUGUAUAUGACUAGGAAUCAAUAUAAUACCACAAGGUCUGGUCAACGACUCAAGAUUAACCAUGGUCCCAUAAUGCCACAUGAGUGCACUCGAGUGCUAUAUUGGCGUCAUCGCCAGAAGAAGCACAAUAGAGUCAAGCCAUUUGCUCAUAUACAAACUUAGUUAUGUGUCACAACAUCUACAUUUUCAUUCAUUAUUGCAAGUUACAUUUCUCUAACCUCACUGAAAUGACCAUUGAAAUACUAAUCUUGCAUGUACACUCUUGUUUUUCCACAUAAAGACUUGCACUAAUAUAUCAAAGAGCUUCUAGAAUAACUUUCAUCAGCAUACCAUCAAUCUUUUAUUUUACACCGGAAUACUAAUUAUACAUUUAAACUCAUUUAGGUGUCUCACAAGAGAUAAUUUUAGAAGAAGAAAAAAAAGUUAGUUCUCAAAUUAAAAUAUAACGCAUAAUUUUCUUUGUAAAAUAAAUUUUUAUAAUAUUUGAAACUCAAGAAAAUACUUUAUAGAAUGAUUUUAGAAAGUUUGAUAAAAUUUCCAAAUUACUUUCAUUUUUUAAAGUUCAAAACUAAAAAUAUAUUAAUAAUUUGCAUUUUUUUUCUCAUUCUCUACUAAUGUCAAAUAUCUUCUUUCUUUAAUUAAUUGCUUUCAUAUUUUAAUUGUAAGUACUAAUGUCAAAUAUCUUCUUUCUUUAAUUAAUUGCUUUCAUAUUUUAAUUGUAAGUUCAAAAUUAAAAGUAUAUCAAUCAUUUGCAUUUUUUUCUCUUUCUCUAUAUACGUCAAAUAUCCUCUUUCUUUAAUUACUUGAGAUAGUAUUAUUUAUUUUCACAUCGAUAGUUAUGACUAAAAUAAAAGGUAGCUCAUAAAUAACAAGUGUUACAUUGUUAUUUAUUGUUGGAGAUGUAAUAUAUAACAAAUAAAUAAAAAGAUAGACAACAGGGCAUUUGGUCUAGUGGUAUGAUUCUCGCUUUGGGUGCGAGAGGUCCGGAGUUCGAUUCUCCGAAUGCCCCAUAUUUUUUUAUAUUUUCCCAUUUUUUUUCAUUUCCAUUUAAGUCAUGAAAAUAAUAAUAAUAUUAAAUUUAAUUUUGGGUAUUUUUAUCCAUCUUCUUAAGCCUUUCAUUUCAUUGCGUUUCGUUUCAUCCAUUUCCUUAUCCUAUUUUUUUCUCCAUCUUCUCUCUUUCUCUCUCACUCUUUCAAUUUUCCAACACAACAAUGGCUUCAACAACCGCAUUCACAACCAUCUCAACCGUCACACGUUCGUAUCCUACACCCUCCUCUUAUCCUACACACUUCCCCAAACCAAUCCCAACCGUCCAUUUCCCAUCCUCAACAACAACACCUCUCUCCCACCGCACCACUCGCCUCCACCGCAUCACCGCCGUCUCCGCAGAAGUCGAAAAACUCGGCAACGAGAUCUCCGGCCUCACACUCGAACAAGCCAAAAACCUAGUCGACUACCUCCAAGACAAACUCGGCGUAACCGCCGCUUCGUUCGCUCCCGCCGCCGCCGUUGCUGCUCCCGCCGCCGCGGAAGCUGCUGUCGUGGAAGAACAAACCGAAUUCGAUGUGGUUAUUGAAGAAGUUCCGAGUACCGCGAGAAUUGCGGCGAUUAAAGCGGUUAGGGCUUUGACGAAUCUGGGAUUGAAGGAAGCGAAGGAGUUGAUUGAAGGUUUGCCUAAGAAAUUCAAAGAAGGCGUUUCGAAAGAUGAAGCUGAAGAUGCUAAGAAACAACUUGAAGGUGCAGGUGCUAAAGUUAACAUUGUUUAGGGUUUCGUUUUUUUUCUUCCCCAAUUUUAAUUUUGAAUUGAUGUUGUAAUUUCAAGUUGUUAUUAUGGUGUUGUAGUGAAGAAAAUUGAGUUAGUUCUGGUUUUGUUAUUAUUAAUCUAAAUUAAAAACGAAUUAUUUGGAUGGUGUAUUAAUUGUAUUCAAAGUGUUUUUGUUCUGUUUUAUUAUUUGUGCAUUAAUAUUAUCCUUUUAUAUUAGGAUUGUUUGGAUGCAAGAAAUUUUGGUGUGAAAGAAAAUGGAUAAAAAAAUGUAUUGAAAUGAUAAAGUAGUUAGUAUUAUUUAGAUAAUUGGAAAAGUCUUUUUUUUGUUUAUUGAGAUUUUCUAGUCCAAUACCGUUUUUAAGUUCAAAGUGAUUAAUCUUGAGCAAUGUAGUUUCUUAGUCACAAUAACUUGUUGAGUUAAGGCUUUGGGUUUGUAUACGGAGAUAAGCGUCCACUUUAACAAUAUCGAUUAAGUUCGAGUUUGAGAUAAGGUGUUCAAUAGAACAAUAUCAAGUGAUUUCGAAUUUGAGAUAAGGUGUUCAAUACAAUAUCAAGUGGUUUCGAAUUUGAGAUAAGGUGUUCAAUACAAUAUCAAGAAUUUGUGAUAAGGUGUUUGAACACAAAAAUAUCGAUUAGGUUUGAACUCUAAGAAGUUUAACCUAAUACUAUAACAAUAUCUUAGAGGUUGUAUGUGAAGCUAAUUCUUUUGAAAUAUCAUAUAUAGUUUAAGUUCAUUUGAGCAUAGUAUUAUUAGACUUGAAAAAUUGAAUAGAUAAGGCUAAAAAUAUUAGAGAUAAGUUAACUUUUUUUUUAACUUCUGAUUUUACUUUUUCUAACUUUUGAUGGACUUAUUUUUCCACGGUUAAAUGAGACAAAGAUGAAUAUGGAUUCUAUAACCAUAGUGUCCUUUCUGUUUGGAUAAGAUUUGGGAUUUGGGGUUGAGACUUUAGACUUGAAUGUGGCAUGAUCCCAUUACAUCACAACAUAAGUGAUAAUUAACCCAUUACUAAGAGUGAAAACACAUUUGACGUUGCAAUUGUGACUUGUAUGUUGUGAAUUACAAGCGGUUUUGCAUCAGAAAUAUAGAGAAAUAAAUGUGACAGAAUUGUGAAUUAUAUGUUAUGAAUUACAAGCGGUUUUGUAUCAGAAACAUAGAGAAACAAAUGGAGUAAUUUCCCAGACUACCCCAAUCUUGAAUUUUUUUUCCCACAUUGUCACAUUUUGAAAAAUAUUUUUCAGAAUGCUCCACUUUCCUAUUUGGACUCGUCCAAUAAAUGAACGAGAUGAUGUGGCACUGCAUUUGCUGAUUAGGCUCGGCCGUUGGUUGGCCGAGCUAGUGAAGGAUGUUUUUUUUAAUUAUUAUUUUAAAUACUAUUAUAUAAUUAAAUAAAUUUAUUAAAAUUAUUAUUAAAUAGUUUUCUAAUUAAUUUUAUAUUUAAAUAAUAAAAUUGAUUUUUUUUAAAUAAUAAUAAUAUUUUUAUAAAGAGAUUAAUUACUAUACACUGUCAGUGUAAAAAGUUUUACACCGUCGGUUCAUCACCAUCACCCGUUUGUAUUACUUUAUAAAUUUUUAAAAUAAAAGUCAAACUUCUUUUAAUAUUCAACGUCUAUAAUUAAGUGAUGGUGUAAAAUCCUUUUACACUGAGAGUGUAUUUCAAUAAAUCUCUUUUAUAAAAUACUAAUAAUAAAAUGUUAAUAAUAAUAGUUUUUUAUAAUAAUAGUUUUCUAAUAUUAUUUUUUUUAAAUAUUAAUAAUAAAAUGAUUUUUUUUUAAAUAUUAAUAAUAGAAAUGAUUUAUUUUUUUAAAUACUUAUUAUAUAACUAUAAAUAUUAUAAUGAGGCAUAUAAUGAAUUGUAAUGAUUAAUAAUUAUUUUAUUGAUAUAAUGGAAGAAAUACAUUUUAUUUAUAGUGACCGCCUGUUCCACAUCUUGUGCCAACUUUUUUGCGUUUUCUCUUGCCCAAGUCUUCUUGUCUUUGUCUUGCGGGAGACGGAGAUGAGUCGGAAGACAAUUCAUCAUGGGCGUCUUGUUGUUGAUUUGUUGUUGACUUUGGUGUUGUUGUGAUGUGUUUGGAGGCAUAUCCAUAUUGUCGAGAUCUUGAAUGCGAAAAGAAGGGAUAUUCAUUAGAUGGUCAUCAGUGAGGUCAAAGUUGGGUAGUGAAUGUGGGAGUUGUGUGUAGGUGCUGGGUUGAGUGUGUUGGAUAGGAGGAUAGUAGACAUCAUCAGGGUUGUAUGUAGGAGUGGGUUGUGCGAAUGUGGUGUUAGAUGUUUGGGGUUGAGAAUGAGGGUUUGAGUAUUCAAAGUUGGGUUGAGGAAUUGAGUGUGUUGGAUAGGAGGAUAGUAGACAUCAUCAGGGUUGUAUGUAGGAGUGGGUUGUGCGAAUGUGGUGUUAGAUGUUUGGGGUUGAGAAUGAGGGUUUGAGUAUUCAAAGUUGGGUUGAGGAGUUGGAGUGUAUUGUAUGGGUGAGCGUAGGUUGAUUUGUUGUUGAUAUUGUUGGUUGUAAUAGUAGUUUGUUUGAGGGAAUGGAGUAUGGGAAUUAUGGUGUUGGGUUGAGGUGGAAUAAAUUGUGUGUUGUUGUGUAGUCUGCGUGUGUUGGUAAGUUUGUUGAGCUGAGGAUGAUGGUUGGGCCCCAAAUGUGUAUGUGUAUGUGGGGGGAAUGUCUUGAUGUGGGGGUGAUGUUGUUUGCUAGAUUGAAGAAGCUACACGUUGACGGGGAUCAUUCAAAAUUUGUGUUGGAGCAACGCGCAUAAAAGGAAUUGAUAAAAAACCAAUUCAUGUAUUCUCUACCUGGCUUAGACUCACCAAUUAUCGAGUUUCCUUGUAACACCAAGUGCCUUCUUCUUUUCCAUUCUUUUAGCUCUUCUUUGUUUAAAUCUUGCCAAUGUGUGUCCUAAGCUUGGACCAUAGUCAUGUUAUGGUGUUCACUUAGACAUCUUGGCUGAGACGGUAUUUGUUGUUCAAAUCCAAAUUGGAGUUUGACUCGAUCCGUCUGAUGCAUCUCAACGGUAAAGAAACAUACAAGUCAUGUUAUGGUGUUCACUUAGACAUCUUGGCUGAGACGGUAUUUGUUGUUCAAAUCCAAAUUGGAGUUUGACUCGAUCCGUCUGAUGCAUCUCAACGGUAAAGAAACAUACCAUAUAUGUUAUUACACUCCAAACUCGACUGUCACUAUAAUCAGGCAUUGGAUAUUGUAUGUACGACCUCCAAAUAAACUGUUAAAAGAAAUAUAACUAUUAGAAUGUAUAAAAUAAAUUUAAAUAAGUUGAAUAUUAUAAUUAAUCAUUCUUAUCUGGCAUUAAAAAAGUAGCAAUUAAAAGUAAAAUAUAAAUUUUUGAAUGAAGAUGUUGGUUCUAACCAAACAAUUUUGACAUAAGCCCCAUUUUUAUCUGAAGAUGUUGGUUCGAUGCCCAAAUUCUCCAUGUAAACAUCAUUAGUUACGUUUGUUGGGCCAUUAACAGCUUUACCAUUGAUUCGGAGACCGAGUAACAUACUCACAUCCUCUAGUGUGAUAGUACAUUCACCCGUUGGUAAAUGAAAGGUAUGUGUCUCGGGUAUCCAUCUCUCUAACAAUGCAACAAUUAAUUUAGAAUCUACUUUUAGACUUGCAAUCUUGACCACAUUUGCAAAACCGGCUAGUUCCAAAUACGGUAUUAUAACCGCACUUGGUUGAAUGUAUGUAUGCGAAUGGACUCAGAACCUACCGUCUUCCUGAAAUUCAAAUAAAAAUGGUAAUAAAUAUUUGAUGUGAUAUUUACAUAUUGAAUUUGUGAAAUAGAUUUGAAAGAGACUUACGUAUUCGACAAUGUUUGUCGCCGUCCCAAUAAAAAUGGUAAUAAAUAUUUGAUGUGAUAUUUACAUAUUGAAUUUGUGAAAUAGAUUUGAAAGAGACUUACGUAUUCGACAAUGUUUGUCGCCGUCCCACGGUGUGAUUCGCCCAUCCACAACAAAAACACUUUGGAAUAGAAGAUAAUGACUAUUUGUAGUGGUAAACAAUAUUAAAUAUAUAGGUUAGAAUUGUACAGGGUGAUUGGACUAGUAAGGGAAUGCAUGCAAUUUUUUUUGCAAGGAAUCCCUGCAACAACGAUUCCCAUGCUGAUUGGAAAUCACACUGCAAAAAAGCAUGCGUGCAGACUCGUCCCUUUGAUGGCCGAGUUAACCCUUGUAUUGUGUUGCCUCGUCCAAUGGAAUGACGAGCUUAGCCAUGUGACGUGUUGCCUCGUCCAAUGAAUGGGCGAGCUUGUUCUUCUAGGGUUAUGACUCGUCCAAUGAAUGGGCGAGCUUAUUCAUCUAGGGUUUUCAUGUUUUCUCUCUCUUCCAAUUGAAGGACGAGCUGCAUGUAAUAUUUCUUCAGGGUUUGGUUUACUAGGAUUAUAUUGUGUUGACUAUAAAUUGCAUUAAUAUCUUCAUUCAUUCUCAUCAAACCAAAUCUACUACAUUUAUAUCUUUACUUAUUUUCAUCAAACCAAAUAUUCUACAUUCCUAUCUCCUUCAUCUAACCAAAUAUUAUUCAUAUCUUCAUUCAUUCUCAUCAAACCAAAUUUACUACAUUUAUAUCUUUAUUUAUUUUCAUCAAAUCAAAUAUUCUACAAUCAUAUCUCUGUUGGUGUAAGCCCUAGAGGCCAAUACUUUUGGUACUUGUAUCGAAUUAUUUAUUAAUAAUAAAAGGCAUUUUCUUUAUUAUGGUUGAUUAAUAAAGUCCCUAGAAUAGAUAGUCCGUUUAAUGUAUUAAGUGUGACUUAAUCAUGAGAACACAUUAAACAUAAGGACACUAUUCUUAAAGUAUCCGUAGUCGAGCUUUAAUGUGAAGUGGGAUAACAUUAAAGCAUUAAGACUAUUAUGUUUGUAGACUGAUGAUCACAUCUCAUGGAUCAUGGAUAAAGAGUUAUCAAGUCUUAAACAUAGGUAUGAAUAUUAGGAGUAAUAUUUAUACCGGAUUGACCCGCUAUGAGAAUACUAUAUAGAAAGUUAUGCAAAGUGUCAUAAGUUAUUCUCAUGGUGAUAAUAGUGUAUACCACUCUUCGACCUGAAACCACUAUGGAUCCUAGAUGUAGAGUCGAGUGCUUUAUUGCUGAUCCAACGUUGUCCGUAACUGGAUAACCAUAAAGACAGUUGAUGGGUACUCCACGAAGCAUGCUGAGGGACAUGAGUGUCCUAGAUGGAAUUUGCCAAUCCUGCGUAACAGGAUAAAUGUCUAUGGGCCCAAUAUUGAACUGGACAAGGGUGACACGGUCUAUACCUUGUGUUCAAUAUAGACAUAAGGGCAAAGGGGUAAUUAUACACAUAAUUAUUAUCACAGGAGGUUUUGUCAGAUCACAUGACAUUUUCGUGACUUGGGUAGCAGUGAUGUGUUGCUAGAUACCGCUCACUGUUUAUUAUGUUAAAUGCGUGAUUUAAUAUAAUUGCCAACGCCGCGAAAACCUAUAGGGUCACACACAAAGGACGGAUUGAUGAGAGAUAGAGUAACUAAGGAACACCGUAAGGUACGGUGCACUUAAGUGGGAGACGAAAUAUGGUAAGGUACCAAAUACUUAAGUGAUUUUGGGCAUAUUAUAAGAUAUGGGCCAAAAUACACUUAAGUGGGCUUUUUAGCUUGAAGCCCACACAAGUGGUUCUAUAAAUAGAACCCCUUGGGUAGAAGCAUUGUCACUCCAAUCCACUCAGACAGAAAUUCAAGUAGAGACUUGGAAUUUUGUUUCCCUCUUUCUCUCACUCAAAGCCUUCAUUCAUAACAGCUAGCACUGCGAUUGAAGGAAUCCGUUCGUGUGGACUGAGUAGAGACGUUGUCAUCGUUCAACGUUCGUGAUCGCCCCGUGGAUCUGUAUCAAAGGUUUUGAUCAUUAUCAGAGAUCUGCACCAAAGGUUUGAAUCGCCACAAGAGGUAACGAUUCUAUCACUGAUCAUGCCCAUUCGUAAGGAUCACUAAAUGGAGAAAUUUUUAAAUUCCGCUGCGCCUUGGAUGGCAAUUCUCCUUCAGUGGUAUCAGAGCCACUUACGAAACCAUGAAUCUGAUAACUGUUUUUGUUCUGUAAUAAUAUGAUUAAAACAGAAUGAAUCAAAGGUUAAAUUGAGAUCGAUCAAGUUACAUAUAUGUGAUAUAUGUAAUCCUGAUGCAAAAUACAUUAUAUAUGAUAUAGUGUUCUUGUUUCGUUCAUUCAAACCCUCGAUGAUUGUUUUCCUUUGAGCGAUCAAUGGUCGUUUGCUUCUUGAUCCGACAUUAGUAUGGUGAAGCAAUGACGUGUUGAUCAAUCAUACUGAAUUAACAAUCGAGACGUGUUUGACGGUCUGAAAUUGGUGCAUUAGGGUUAGUGACGACACAAGGGUUGUGUUGUUAGAGAGUUAUGCGAUUGGGGUUUGAUUGCACAAGAGUUGUGCGUCCUAAACACUUUUCCGAACAGUGUUAACCGGUUAACGCGUAUGGUUAACCGGUUAACGCAAUACGAAAUAAUUUUUUUUUUAAUUUUUGGAACAGUGUUAACCGGUUAACGCAUAUGGUUAACCGGUUAACGGAAUGCGAGAUAAAUUUUUUUUGAGUUUUCAAACAGUGUUAACCGGUUAACGCUUGGUUAACCGGUUAACGCAAGACGAAAUUCAGUUUUUUGAGAUUUUCAAACAGUGUUAACCGGUUAACGCAUUUGGUUAACCGGUUAACGCAAGGCAGAAAAGAAUUUCCAAAAGGUUUUCAAACAGUGUUAACCGGUUAACGCAUAUGGUUAACCGGUUAACGCAAGGAAAAAAUCACCCGUUCGGCUAGAAAAGUGCUUUGAAGUAUCAAGUGUUGAUACGAAAAACGACGUCAAUUUUAAAUGAAUUGUUCAUUAAAAUUUUCGAGCAGGGGCGCUGCCCCUUCGACCCCGCAAGGGCAGCGGACCCCCGGCUAACUCUGCGUAGUGUGAUCGGUCGUCGAAAUUUAAUUUGAUUUUAAUUAAUUAAAGGAAUUAAUUAUAAUAAUAAUAAAGUGUUUAUUAUUGUCUUGUGGUGAUCGGUUAUGGCCUUAGUUUUCCUUUNNNNNNNNNNNNNNNNNNNNNNNNNNNNNNNNNNNNNNNNNNNNNNNNNNNNNNNNNNNNNNNNNNNNNNNNNNNNNNNNNNNNNNNNNNNNNNNNNNNNNNNNNNNNNNNNNNNNNNNNNNNNNNNNNNNNNNNNNNNNNNNNNNNNNNNNNNNNNNNNNNNNNNNNNNNNNNNNNNNNNNNNNNNNNNNNNNNNNNNNNNNNNNNNNNNNNNNNNNNNNNNNNNNNNNNNNNNNNNNNNNNNNNNNNNNNNNNNNNNNNNNNNNNNNNNNNNNNNNNNNNNNNNNNNNNNNNNNNNNNNNNNNNNNNNNNNNNNNNNNNNNNNNNNNNNNNNNNNNNNNNNNNNNNNNNNNNNNNNNNNNNNNNNNNNNNNNNNNNNNNNNNNNNNNNNNNNNNNNNNNNNNNNNNNNNNNNNNNNNNNNNNNNNNNNNNNNNNNNNNNNNNNNNNNNNNNNNNNNNNNNNNNNNNNNNNNNNNNNNNNNNNNNNNNNNNNNNNNNNNNNNNNNNNNNNNNNNNNNNNNNNNNNNNNNNNNNNNNNNNNNNNNNNNNNNNNNNNNNNNNNNNNNNNNNNNNNNNNNNNNNNNNNNNNNNNNNNNNNNNNNNNNNNNNNNNNNNNNNNNNNNNNNNNNNNNNNNNNNNNNNNNNNNNNNNNNNNNNNNNNNNNNNNNNNNNNNNNNNNNNNNNNNNNNNNNNNNNNNNNNNNNNNNNNNNNNNNNNNNNNNNNNNNNNNNNNNNNNNNNNNNNNNNNNNNNNNNNNNNNNNNNNNNNNNNNNNNNNNNNNNNNNNNNNNNNNNNNNNNNNNNNNNNNNNNNNNNNNNNNNNNNNNNNNNNNNNNNNNNNNNNNNNNNNNNNNNNNNNNNNNNNNNNNNNNNNNNNNNNNNNNNNNNNNNNNNNNNNNNNNNNNNNNNNNNNNNNNNNNNNNNNNNNNNNNNNNNNNNNNNNNNNNNNNNNNNNNNNNNNNNNNNNNNNNNNNNNNNNNNNNNNNNNNNNNNNNNNNNNNNNNNNNNNNNNNNNNNNNNNNNNNNNNNNNNNNNNNNNNNNNNNNNNNNNNNNNNNNNNNNNNNNNNNNNNNNNNNNNNNNNNNNNNNNNNNNNNNNNNNNNNNNNNNNNNNNNNNNNNNNNNNNNNNNNNNNNNNNNNNNNNNNNNNNNNNNNNNNNNNNNNNNNNNNNNNNNNNNNNNNNNNNNNNNNNNNNNNNNNNNNNNNNNNNNNNNNNNNNNNNNNNNNNNNNNNNNNNNNNNNNNNNNNNNNNNNNNNNNNNNNNNNNNNNNNNNNNNNNNNNNNNNNNNNNNNNNNNNNNNNNNNNNNNNNNNNNNNNNNNNNNNNNNNNNNNNNNNNNNNNNNNNNNNNNNNNNNNNNNNNNNNNNNNNNNNNNNNNNNNNNNNNNNNNNNNNNNNNNNNNNNNNNNNNNNNNNNNNNNNNNNNNNNNNNNNNNNNNNNNNNNNNNNNNNNNNNNNNNNNNNNNNNNNNNNNNNNNNNNNNNNNNNNNNNNNNNNNNNNNNNNNNNNNNNNNNNNNNNNNNNNNNNNNNNNNNNNNNNNNNNNNNNNNNNNNNNNNNNNNNNNNNNNNNNNNNNNNNNNNNNNNNNNNNNNNNNNNNNNNNNNNNNNNNNNNNNNNNNNNNNNNNNNNNNNNNNNNNNNNNNNNNNNNNNNNNNNNNNNNNNNNNNNNNNNNNNNNNNNNNNNNNNNNNNNNNNNNNNNNNNNNNNNNNNNNNNNNNNNNNNNNNNNNNNNNNNNNNNNNNNNNNNNNNNNNNNNNNNNNNNNNNNNACAAAGGCCGACGUAAGCAGGAGUGAUUAAGGGGAAAGGGCGGCAAGGAAGUUGCAAUUCCAAGCCCAGCUGCUGCUUGAGCCUAGUGGAAGUUAAGCAAAGAGGCACCUGCUGUCCAUUGCGUAGACCGGACACUGGAGAGGAACUGCCCAAAGUACUGGAAGCAUAAGAAGAUGGAGUAGACUCUCAACUUCAGGUAUUUUUGUUAUUAUGCUUAUCUAUUUGCAUACAUGGGUAUUAGAUACUAACAUGCGGUUAUCACAUUUAUACAAAUCGUGCAGGGCUGAACAGAAGUAGAGAGUUUGGAAAAAGGUGACAGUGACCUAGCGAGUUGGUAUGAGCGGAAGUUUGGCUCCGCUAGUUACGCGCGUAGGAUUUGUAUUGAUUUAGCCUAUGGGUUAAGUAAUAUACAGUUAGGACUGUUUUAUGUACGUGCAAUUAGCAAGGAUAAUUAUUUGCCAUUGCUUGUUUAGGACACAGUUUGGUUGCUCUCAUUUAAUAAAGAACAAUGUCUGCUAAUUUAUUUUGAUGAUAUAUUUAGUGGGCAUCGCACCCAAUGAAGCAAGUGGAGCUAUAUGCUUGAUCUUCGAAUGACUAUUAAUACCUUAAUACAACUAGGUAAGAAUUAUUAAACUCCUUGAUCAGAUCUUUGACGGCUGGAUGAGUAUUUAUCCUAGAGGUGUUGAUGACAAUCGAAAGAGUGUGGGGUACUAUCCCGGAUUACUUUCUGUGAAAUCCAAUGGAGAGGUGUACCUGAGAGAAGAAAUUCGACCCUGUUGGACUGGUCGAUCAUGAUGAAGUAAACAAAGAAACCAUAAAUCUCCAAACUCCUUUUUGAGGAUACCUCUGUGAACAUUAGCUUAAACACUUAACCGGUUUCAUCGAGAAAGUUGAAAAAGACACAUAUGAGAUAUGGAGUGCGUAAGAAGAACAUAUGCUCUUACAUGAAGAGCUUGGGUUGCGAAGUUUAUGUGAAACGACAAAUUUCAACUAAGCUUAAGCCCAAAUCUGACCAAUGCUUAUUUGUGGGGGUAUCCUAAAGAAACAAGAGGAUAUUACUUCUACAAUCCUUCAGAGGGCAAAUGAGGGAUUCUCAUUUUGCAAUACGAAUUUUCAUAUGUUAGAAAUCCACAUCAACUCCGACUUCCAUCAUUUAAAAGACUGUAUUGAAAAAAAUUACAAAGUUAUGUUGAAGACAUCAUUUAUCGCCAUCCAUUAAUUAAUGGAGAUGAUAAUACCAUCUUUUACAUAAUGACACCCAUUGAGACUGACGAAGAUAUCAAGUCGAUGUUUCAAUGUCAUAUAACAUUAUCUCAAUUACCCACCAUUGAGAUAUAUGUUCGUCUAAUCGAAAAUAUUGAAGAACAACCGAGUCACAAUGAAAAUCGUGAAGAACAACCGACUCACAAUGAAAAUCUCUGUUAUCUAACGCAAUCUGUACAGUCACACGAGUACGGAAUGAGUCAAGCCAUUGAUGAAGAACCGACUCAAAAUAAUGAACCUUUCAUACCAUAUGAAGAGGUAGGCGAGAAUAGUGAGGAUGAUCUUGAGGAGGUUCGAUUUGAAGAUCUAUUUGGUGUUAGCGAUGACCUACCGUUACUUCUGUAGAAGCUGUGUGGCUGGCAACGUGAUUCUCGCCAACCAAUUAGUUUGUACAACCCACCUGUGCACAUGCAAAACAUAAGUUUGGAUGAUGCUGAACCAAUCUCCGUUUUCGGAAGUUUCAUACCAACUCACAAUGUUGACGAAAUAGAGGAGGGCAUUAAGUAUGAAAAUAAGGAAGAGUGUGUUCUGGCGUUGCAACAAUGGCAUAUAAAACGUAGUCUAGAUUUUUCUAUGGUUAAAUCUGACAAUGUACAUUUUGUCAUCAAAUGUAGAAAUUCAACAUGCAAUUUCAAAUGCAGGGUCUCUUUGCGUAAGGGCAACUCAAGGUGAAGAGUUGGUAAGUCUGGUGGGCCUCAUACGUGAACAACCACUUCCAUGUCACAAGACCAUACAAAACUCAGUUCAGAAAUGAUUAGUAAGAGCAUAAUGGAGCUUGUAAAUCGGGACACAUCCAUUAAGGUGAAGGUUAUCAUCGCUCAUGUUGCUGAGAAAUACAAGUAUAUCAUAUCCUACAAAAAGGCAUGGAUUGCAAAGUGUAAGGCAAUUAAGUCGUUGUAUGGAAAUUGGGAGACAUCUUACAACGAUCUGCCGCAGUGGAUACUGGUAAUAAAAACAUAUCUACCAGGUACCAUUAUAGAAUUGCAAUCUUUACCUGUGAUUUCAAAUGAUGGUUCACACUUGGGUGACCAAAGGAUAUUUCAUCGUCUGUUUUGGGCGUUUCGACCAUGUAUACGUGGUUUCGCGUAUUGUAAACCUAUUAUGCAGGAUGAUGGAACAUGGUUGUAUGACAAGUACAGAGGGACUCUGUUGAUGGUUGUGGCACAGGAUGGGAACUGUAACACCCCGAUAAAAAUAAGCUAAUUAUUUAAUUUAAGUUUAUAUUAUAUUUAUUAAUUUAAUUAAAUAAUUGGAAUUAUUGGAUUAUUAUUAUUAUUAUUAUUGGAAUAAUAAUUAUUGGAAAAUAUAUAAGUUGGAAAUAAGGAAAAAGAGUUUCAUUUUGGUAAANNNNNNNNNNNNNNNNNNNNNNNNNNNNNNNNNNNNNNNNNNNNNNNNNNNNNNNNNNNNNNNNNNNNNNNNNNNNNNNNNNNNNNNNNNNNNNNNNNNNNNNNNNNNNNNNNNNNNNNNNNNNNNNNNNNNNNNNNNNNNNNNNNNNNNNNNNNNNNNNNNNNNNNNNNNNNNNNNNNNNNNNNNNNNNNNNNNNNNNNNNNNNNNNNNNNNNNNNNNNNNNNNNNNNNNNNNNNNNNNNNNNNNNNNNNNNNNNNNNNNNNNNNNNNNNNNNNNNNNNNNNNNNNNNNNNNNNNNNNNNNNNNNNNNNNNNNNNNNNNNNNNNNNNNNNNNNNNNNNNNNNNNNNNNNNNNNNNNNNNNNNNNNNNNNNNNNNNNNNNNNNNNNNNNNNNNNNNNNNNNNNNNNNNNNNNNNNNNNNNNNNNNNNNNNNNNNNNNNNNNNNNNNNNNNNNNNNNNNNNNNNNNNNNNNNNNNNNNNNNNNNNNNNNNNNNNNNNNNNNNNNNNNNNNNNNNNNNNNNNNNNNNNNNNNNNNNNNNNNNNNNNNNNNNNNNNNNNNNNNNNNNNNNNNNNNNNNNNNNNNNNNNNNNNNNNNNNNNNNNNNNNNNNNNNNNNNNNNNNNNNNNNNNNNNNNNNNNNNNNNNNNNNNNNNNNNNNNNNNNNNNNNNNNNNNNNNNNNNNNNNNNNNNNNNNNNNNNNNNNNNNNNNNNNNNNNNNNNNNNNNNNNNNNNNNNNNNNNNNNNNNNNNNNNNNNNNNNNNNNNNNNNNNNNNNNNNNNNNNNNNNNNNNNNNNNNNNNNNNNNNNNNNNNNNNNNNNNNNNNNNNNNNNNNNNNNNNNNNNNNNNNNNNNNNNNNNNNNNNNNNNNNNNNNNNNNNNNNNNNNNNNNNNNNNNNNNNNNNNNNNNNNNNNNNNNNNNNNNNNNNNNNNNNNNNNNNNNNNNNNNNNNNNNNNNNNNNNNNNNNNNNNNNNNNNNNNNNNNNNNNNNNNNNNNNNNNNNNNNNNNNNNNNNNNNNNNNNNNNNNNNNNNNNNNNNNNNNNNNNNNNNNNNNNNNNNNNNNNNNNNNNNNNNNNNNNNNNNNNNNNNNNNNNNNNNNNNNNNNNNNNNNNNNNNNNNNNNNNNNNNNNNNNNNNNNNNNNNNNNNNNNNNNNNNNNNNNNNNNNNNNNNNNNNNNNNNNNNNNNNNNNNNNNNNNNNNNNNNNNNNNNNNNNNNNNNNNNNNNNNNNNNNNNNNNNNNNNNNNNNNNNNNNNNNNNNNNNNNNNNNNNNNNNNNNNNNNNNNNNNNNNNNNNNNNNNNNNNNNNNNNNNNNNNNNNNNNNNNNNNNNNNNNNNNNNNNNNNNNNNNNNNNNNNNNNNNNNNNNNNNNNNNNNNNNNNNNNNNNNNNNNNNNNNNNNNNNNNNNNNNNNNNNNNNNNNNNNNNNNNNNNNNNNNNNNNNNNNNNNNNNNNNNNNNNNNNNNNNNNNNNNNNNNNNNNNNNNNNNNNNNNNNNNNNNNNNNNNNNNNNNNNNNNNNNNNNNNNNNNNNNNNNNNNNNNNNNNNNNNNNNNNNNNNNNNNNNNNNNNNNNNNNNNNNNNNNNNNNNNNNNNNNNNNNNNNNNNNNNNNNNNNNNNNNNNNNNNNNNNNNNNNNNNNNNNNNNNNNNNNNNNNNNNNNNNNNNNNNNNNNNNNNNNNNNNNNNNNNNNNNNNNNNNNNNNNNNNNNNNNNNNNNNNNNNNNNNNNNNNNNNNNNNNNNNNNNNNNNNNNNNNNNNNNNNNNNNNNNNNNNNNNNNNNNNNNNNNNNNNNNNNNNNNNNNNNNNNNNNNNNNNNNNNNNNNNNNNNNNNNNNNNNNNNNNNNNNNNNNNNNNNNNNNNNNNNNNNNNNNNNNNNNNNNNNNNNNNNNNNNNNNNNNNNNNNNNNNNNNNNNNNNNNNNNNNNNNNNNNNNNNNNNNNNNNNNNNNNNNNNNNNNNNNNNNNNNNNNNNNNNNNNNNNNNNNNNNNNNNNNNNNNNNNNNNNNNNNNNNNNNNNNNNNNNNNNNNNNNNNNNNNNNNNNNNNNNNNNNNNNNNNNNNNNNNNNNNNNNNNNNNNNNNNNNNNNNNNNNNNNNNNNNNNNNNNNNNNNNNNNNNNNNNNNNNNNNNNNNNNNNNNNNNNNNNNNNNNNNNNNNNNNNNNNNNNNNNNNNNNNNNNNNNNNNNNNNNNNNNNNNNNNNNNNNNNNNNNNNNNNNNNNNNNNNNNNNNNNNNNNNNNNNNNNNNNNNNNNNNNNNNNNNNNNNNNNNNNNNNNNNNNNNNNNNNNNNNNNNNNNNNNNNNNNNNNNNNNNNNNNNNNNNNNNNNNNNNNNNNNNNNNNNNNNNNNNNNNNNNNNNNNNNNNNNNNNNNNNNNNNNNNNNNUUUUCAGGUAACGAGCAGUGAUUGAGUAGAAGCUAGUGCUUGGAGUCUAGUGUAGUCUCCUUAGUGGGUCAUGCUCUGAUAGAUGUAACAUCGGGACGGGAUGUUUUACCUUGUUGAAUAAUUUUACAUGUAAUGUGUUACAUGUUUUGCAUGAUUGAUUUGAUUUCUAUCCGCUGCGUAUUGUGCAAAUGCUUUAUGUUUUGAAUUAAUAAAAGAGCAUGACAGUUAUUAUGGUGAAUGGUGUGAAAUGAUUGUGUGACACCCUUAAUUGCAUAAUUACUCUGAUUGAUAUAUUGCUAUUUUAAUUAAAUAUUUGGGGUAUUUUAGAAGGGUGUUACAUUAGUCGUAUCAGAGCAUAGUCGGUCGAGUCGAGUCGUAAUUAUUCUGUUCCCUGUACGGGACAGGUGUUGCGUAACCCUAUCAGUACUUAUUGUUUUAACUUAUUGGGUUUUCAGAAUAGAGAUGGCUGGAAGAGGUAGAGAUGAUGCUGCGAUUGCUGAGGCUCUGGGUAUGCUAGCUGGAGUACUUGGAGGGAAUCUGAAUGUUGUGGGAAUGGGAGCUGCUCAUCAACUGAGUGAGUUCCAGAAGAACAAUCCUCCAAUGUUUAAGGGAGCAUACGAUCCAGAUGGCGCUCAGAAGUGGUUGAAGGAGAUCGAGAGAAUCUUCCGAGUGACUGAGUGUGCCGAUGACCAGAAGGUCAGGUUCGGUACGCAUAUGCUGUCAGAAGAAGCAGAUGAUUGGUGGGUUGCUACCCGCACUGAGUUGGAAUCUGCUGGGAAUGCUGAGAUCACUUGGGCGGUGUUCAGAGAGAGAUUCCUGAGGAAGUANNNNNNNNNNNNNACCUUAAUGCAUAAUUACUCUGAUUGAUAUAUUGGCAUUUUAAUUAAAUAUUUGGGUAUUUUAAGAAGGGUGUUACAUUAGUCGUAUCAGAGCAUAGUCGGUCGAGUCGAGUCGUAAUUGAGUUACUGUUUCCCAUGUACGGGACAGGUGGUUGCGUAAUCCCUAUUCAGUACUUGAUUGUUUUAUACUUAUUGGGUUUUCAGAAUAAGAGGAUGGCCUUGGAAGAGGGGUAAGAAGAUGGAUGCUGGCCGUUGAGCUUGAGGGCUCUGGGUAAUUUUGCUAAAGCUGAGUUACUUUGGAGGGAAAUCUGCAAUGUUGUUCGUUGGAAUGGGAGCUAGCUCAUCAAACUGAAGUGAGUUCCGAAGAACCAAAUCUCCAUGUUUAAAGGGAGGCAUACGAUCCAGAGUGGGCAUCACGAAGUGGGUUUGACGGAGAUCGAGGAAAUCUUCCGAGUGACUGAGUUGUGCCGAUGACCAGAAGCUCAGAUUCGGUACGCUAUGCUGUUCAGAAGAAGCAGAUGAUUGGUUGGGUAACAAUUGCUACCGCACUGGAGUUGGAAUACUGCUGGGAAAUGCCUGAGAUCAACUUGGGCGUUGUUCCAAGAGAGAGAUUCCUGAGGAAAGUUAUUGUUCCGAGAGGAUUGUUAGAGGAAAGAAUCAGAGAUAGAGUUUCUUUUAGAAUUUGAAGCAAGCGGCAAUCGGUCCUGUUACUGAGUAUCUGCGAAGUUUCACAGAGCUGUCGAAGGUAACACACUCCCUAGAUCGAGGCUACUGGGAAUUUUCAAAGUGGUGUGAAGUUUGACGUGGGUAUUGGUGUAAGAGGCGGGUUACGGUUUUCCGGGUGGUUAGUCCAUCAAGCAGGCUAUUGGUAUAUCAGCGGAUUAGAGUGUUUUUCUAGGAUUUGGUUGACUGUUGGCAGGAUUUUGAAACAGGAUACCCAAAGGCUUUAGAGCGAGAGCUAUUCAGACAAAGGGUUGAUGGAAAGGCAAGAAUCAGAAUGGUCGUGGGAAAACCGUAUGCAGCUGGCAAAGGUUUCCAGAGACAGAGUGGAUGCAGAGGGCCUAGUGGGGGAGACUCCAGUGCCCCUUGCUAAGUGUUUCAGAUGUGGUCAGGCUGGACAUCGUAUCCAUGAGUGUACCAGUAAUGAGAAAGAAGUUGUCAAGUGUGGAAAAUGGUGGUCAUUUGGCUGGCAGAGUGCCGGUUGAAGACUGUGACUUGUUUCAACCUGUGGAGAGGUGGGUCAUAUCAUCCACAGUGUCCUAAAGCCGAAGAUAGAAGAACCAGUCGGGAGGCAAGGUCUUUGCCUUAUCGGGUUCUGAGACUUUUGCAGAUGGAUCGUUUUGAUCCGAGGUACGUGUUAAUAUUAAUGGCUUUCCUCCUCUUGUAGGCUAUUAUUGACACAAGGUGCUACUCAUUCCUUUAUAUCUUUGGAUUGUGCUGUGAAACUUAAGUUAGAGAUAUCUGAGAUGCAUGGGAUAUGGUGAUUGAUACUCCUGGCGAAGGGUUCAGUGACUACUACUUCAGUUUGUUUAAAAUUGUCCUUUGAGUAUUUUUGGUAGAGACUUUGGGAUGGACCUAGUGUGUCUUCAACUAGUGGCAGAUUGACGUUAUUCUGGGUAUGAACUGGUUGGUGUUUAACCGAGUUUAUAUCAACUGUUUUGAUAAGACUGUGAUUUUUCCUGAAAAUGAGGAAGGAAAGAGUUUGGUUCUAUCAGCAAGGCAGGUAAAAUGAGGCAGUAGCAGAUGGGGCCGGGUUGUUUAUGCUGUUAGCGACUGUAGAGGCUAAAGAUAAACUUGGCGAUUUGCGAUCUAGAUGUGGUGGUGUGAUUUUCCUGAUGUUGUUUCCGGAAGAAGUGAAUGAAUUGCCGCCAAGAGGUGAGGUUGAGUUCUCGAUUGAUUUGGUGCCUGGUACUAGGCCGAUAUCGAUGGCUCCCGUACCGUAUGUCUGCUGUUAGUUAACUGAAUAUUGAAAGAGUCAGUUGGAAGAUCUGUUGGAUAAGAAUUUAUUCGUCCGAGUGUGUCACCGUGGGGUGCACCAGUGUUAUUGGUUUAAGAAGAAGAAGGUACUAUAGGUUUGUGUGUGACUACAGGCAACUGAAUAAAGUGACGAUCAAGAAUCGGUAUCCUUUGCCGAGGAUUUGAUGAUUUGAUGGAUCAGUUGGUUGGUGCGAGUGUUGUUCAGUAAACAUAGAUUUGAGAUCGGGGUAUCAUCAGAUACGUGUGAAAACUGAGGAUAUUCAGAAGACUUGCUUUCGACAAAGGUAUGGACAUUAUGAGUAUUCUGUAAUGCCUUUUGGUGUGACUAAUGCGCCUGGAGUAUUUAUGAGUUAAUGAAUAGGAUUUUCCAUCCGUAUCUAGACCAGUUUGUUGUGGUGUUUAUUGACGAUAUUUUGGUGUAUUCGAAAUCUGAAGAAGAGCAUGCUGAGCAUUUGAGAAGUAGUUUUAGGAGUUCUACGAGAAAAGAAAGUUAUUUGCUUAAACUGUCUAAGUGUGAAUUUUGGUUAAAGAGGUAGUUUUCUUGGUCAUGGUGAUUUCAGAGAAUGGUGUUGCUGUUGAUCCUUCUAAGAUAGAAGCGGUAUCUAAGUGGGAAGCUCCGAAGUCAGUUUCUGAGAUAAGGAGUUUCCCUUGGUUUGGCUGGUUAUUAUAGGAAGUUCAUCGAGGGAUUUCUAAGUGGCGUUACCCGUUGACGAUGUGACUAGAAAGGGCAAGCGUUUGUUUGGGACUCAAGGUGUGAGAAGGUUUCCAAGAGUUAAGAGGAGGUUGAACUACUGCUCCUAUUCUGAUAUUACCGAGUUCGUCGAAUCAUUUGAGGUUUACUGUGAUGCUUCAAUUGUUGGGUUUGGGUGGUGUGUUGAUGCAGAAUAAGCCGGUUAUAGCUUAUGCUUCGAGACAACUGAGGGUUCAUGAGAGGAACUAUCCGACACACGAUUUAGAGUUGGCAGCUGUGGUAUUUGUUCUGAAGUUAUGAGGCAUUACUUGUACGGGUCAAGAUUUGAGGUUUUCAGUGACCAUAAAGUUUAAAAGUAUUUGUUUGAUCAAGAAAGAGCUGAAUAUGAGAUAGAGGAGAUGGUUUAGAGUUUCUGAAGGAUUAUGAUUUUGGUUUGAAAUUACCAUCCGGGUAAAGCAACGUAGUGGCUGAUGCUUGAGUCGGAAAUCAUUGCAUAUGUCUAUGUUAAUGGUUAAGGAAUUGGUUUAAUUGAGCAGUUUUAGGGACUUGAGUUUGGUGUGUGAGAGUACUCACAAUAGUGUUAAAUUGGAAAUGUUGAAGUUAACGAGUGGUAUUCUGGAUGAGAUUAGAGAGGGUCGAAAUUCCGAUGUGCUUUUGGUUGAUAAGUUGACUCUAGUGAAUCAAGGUCAAGGUGGUGAAUUCAGAGUUGAUGAGAAUGGUGUUUUGAAAUUUGGUAACCGGGUGUGUAUUCCGGAUGUUACCGAACUUAAGAAGAGUAUUCUUGAGGAAGGACAUCGUAGUGGCCUGAGUAUUCAUCCUGGGGCUACGAAGAUGUACAUGAUUUGAAAAAGUAUUUUGGUGGCCGGGAAUGAAAAGAGAAAUUGCGAGUUUUGUUUUAUUCUUGUUUGACUUGUCAAAGUCAAAGAUUAAGCAUCAGAAGCCGUCUGGGCUAAUGCAACCGUUGGCUAUUCAGAGUGGAAUGGGGUAGUAUCAGUAGGAUUUUGUUUCUGGUUUACCGAGGACAAGUAAGAAUUUUGAAGCCAUUUGGGUGAUUGUUGACAGAUUGACAAAAUCGGCUCAUUUCAUUCCGAUCAGAAUGAUUUAUCCGUUAGAGAGAUUAGCCGAGUUGUAUAUUGAGAAGAUUGUAAGUUUGCACGUUAUUCCGUCGAGUAUUGUUUCGGACAGAGAUCCUAGAUUUUACAUCAAAGUUUUUGGGAAGGUUUGCAGAAGGCUUUGGAGACUAAGCUGGAUUGAGUUCUGCAUAAUCAUCCGCAGACUGAUGGUCGACUGAGAGGACGAUUCAGUCACUAGAGGAUCUUUUUGAGGGCUUGUAUUUUGGAAAAGGGAGGUGCUUGGGACUGUUAUUUAUCUUUGAUUGAGUUUACCUACAACAAUAGUUUUCAUUCGAGCAUUGGUUAUGGCACCGUUUGAAAAGCUUUGGUAUGGUAGGAGAUGUCGACACCUUUGUGUGGUAUGAGUCCGGUGAGAGUGCUUGUGGUUGGACCGGAGAUUGUUCAACAGACUACGGAAAAGAUUAAGAUGAUUCAAGAGAAGAUGAGAAUUGCUCAGAGUCGUGCAGAAGAGUUAUCACGACAAGAGGAGGAAGGAACUUGAGUUCCAAGAGGGAGAUCAUGUGUUUCUUCGUGUUACUCCGAUAACUGGGGUUGGUCGAGCUUUUGAAGUCGAAGAAUUUGACACCUCGAUUUAUUGGUCCUUAUCAGAUUUUGGAGAGGAUAGGGGAGUAGCCUAUCGUAUCGCUUUACCUCAGUCACUUGCGAUUUGCAUGAGGUUUUUUCAUGUGUCUCAAAUUGGGAGGUACAUUCCUGAUCCGUCGCAUGUAGUCCAAAUAGAUGAUGUGCAGGUGAGAGAUAACCUGACUGUUGAAACAUCACCUAUGAGGAUCGAGGAUCGAGAGUUGAAGCCAGUUGCGGGUAAGAGAUUGCUUUGGUAAAGGUAGCUUGGGGAGACCAGCAGGUGGGAAUGUGACUUGGGAACUUGAGAGUCAGAUGAAGGAGUCCUAUCCAGAGUUAUUCGCUUGAGGUAUGUUUUCGAGGACGAAAACUCUUUUAGUUGGGCAGAGUUGUAACACCCCGAUAAAAUAAUGCUAAUUAUUUAAUUUAAGUUAAUAUUAUAUUUAUUAAUUUAAUUAAAUAAUUGGAAUUAUUGGAUUAUUAUUAUUCAUUAUUUGGAAUAAUAAUUAUUGGAAAAUAUAUAAGUUUGGAAAUAAGGAAAAAGAGUUUUCAUUGGUAAAGAGGGUUUCACGUGAAAACAGAGAAGCGGCAGAGAAGUGGAGAAAGGGCAAAGAGGAAGAGAAAGAGAACGAAGGUUGGAGAAGAGAAAAGCUUGAGCUAAAGGAUUGCCGGAUUAACUCAGGUAAGGGGGUUUAUCGUCGUUUAAUGGGUAUUAUGGGUUAACAUGUAAUGGGUAGUGAUAAACCGUUGAAUUGACCCGUAAUUGGGAUGAUGAGUGCUGAAAAAUUGUGAUGAAUAAACUGUGUUAAGGUCUAAUUGAAUCUGUAAUGAUGGGUAGUGAUUUUCCGAACGUAUAGCUUUUUUACGGAAUCGGUAAUCGGAGGUCCGGAAGUCCUCCCAACGGCGGAAACGGCGAGAAUUCUGCAUUCUGCUUCGUGUUGAGCGCAGGAACAGCUUUCCUGUCUUGGGCGUUAACCGUUAACCCAUCGGUUGUAACCGGUUAAACUGUUAUGAAUUGGGAAGUAUUGCUGUUUUGCUGCGUUAACCGGUUAACCCAGGGCGUUAACGCGGUUAACACUGUUGUGAUUUUGAAAAUUGCUGUUCUGUUUGCGUUAACCGGUUAAACCAGGAGCGUUAACCGGUUAACACUGUUAAAAUUGGCCAGGAAGCGUGUUCUGUCCUGCGUUAACCGGUUAACCCAGGGCGUUAACCGGUUAACACUGUUGAAAAGUGGGAAAAUUGGUAUUUUAAUGUUGUGAACAUAAUUGGGGAUUGGCCUAUAUCGGUGUGUGUAUAGUAGGUGAUUACUUCCCGUGUUUUGAGUCUGGAUAGGUAUUAGUAGUAGAGUGUACUAAUACUGUGAUUGAAUUAUUUUUGCAUGACAUGAUAUGAGUAUGUGAUAAAUAUGCCGAUGAUGUUGUGAACAAUAUGCAUAAAUGUUGUGAAUGUAUAUAUUAUGCAUGUAUUUGUGAAUGGACUGUUUUAUGGCUUAGAGUGUGAGCAUAUGUCCAUGUGGAUUGUUGUUGAUGGUUGUAUGCUUAGGUGAAUUUAGCAUGCAUAUUGUGGCCGUUAUGGUGGUAAGCUAAUUCCCAUGGUGAGGAAUUAGUGAGUAAAUCAUUGUGAUUGUUGUUGAUGUUUGCACUGCUAGGUGAUUAGCGUGCAUAGCAAUAGCCCUUGGGGUGGUAGCUAAAUUCCCAUGGUGAGGAAUUAGUGAGUGAGUCACUAGGUCUCAAAUGAGUGGGACCUAGUGAGCUUCGGUAGUCGUAUCUGGAUUUGAUCGGUGAGGUUGAACUAUAUGUCACGAAUAGUUGUACCGCAUGCAUGGAGUCAUCAUUGCCAUAAUGUAUGUAUGGCGUAUAAUAUGAAUGGUAUAUUCCAAUAUUAUACGUGUGUUUUGUGUUGGUGUUGAGUAUGAAUUGAGAUUAUCGUGUGCUUUAUGUUGGUGUGUUGAGUAUGAUGUUGAGUUGAUGUGCCGUCACUGAAGUGUGUGUUAUGAUUAGGGUGAUGAAUGUGUUAAUUACUUAACAUUGCAUGAAUUUUUUAUAAUGCGUAUUAUAUCGAUUGAGGAACUCACCCUUACAACUAUUUUUUCAGGUAACGAGCAAGUGAUUUGAUAGGAGGCUAAGUGCUUGAGUCUAGUGUAGUCUCCUUAGUGGUCAUGCUCUGAUAGAUGUAACAUCGGGACGCGGAUGUUUUAACUUGUUGAAUAAUUUAAACAUGUAAUGUGUUACAUGUUUUGCAUGAUUGAUUUCGAUUUCUAUCCGCUGCGUAUUGUGCAAAUGCUUUAAUGUUUUGAAAUUAAUAAAAGAAGCAUGACACAGUUAGCAUGACAGUUAUUAUGGUGAAUGGUGUGAAAUGAUUGUGUGACACCCUUAAUUGCAUAAUUACUCUGAUUGAUAUAUUGCUAUUUUAAUUAAAUAUUUGGGGUAUUUUAGAAGGGUGUUACAGGAACGGGAACAUAUUUCUGAUAGCGUUCGCAUUGGUUGCAAGUGAAACAAAGGAAGCUUGGAGUUUCUUUCUUAAGAAUUUAAGAAUACACGUUACUCCCCAAGCAAAUAUGUGUCUAAUAUCAGACAGGCAUGAAUCGAUAAAGAGUGCAUAUAACAAUCCGGAAAAUGGAUGACAGUAUCCUCCAUCAUCACACAUCUAUUGCAUUAGACACAUCGCGCAAAACUUCAUGUGCGAGAUUAAAGACAAGGAUCUACGCAAAAUAGUUGUUAACAUGGGUUAUGCGUUAACAGAGGUGAAAUUUAACUGGGGGAAAUCCGAAGAACAAACAACGAUGCUCUAUCAUGAAUAUACAACAUCCCUCGGGAGAAGUCUGCUGAUUUUUUAGCCCGAAGCCCGUGCUAUUCUAGGGCUAUUUAAAGGGUGAUUCUAAACCUAAGAAAAGAAGAGAGAGUUAUGCUGGAAAUUGGUAAUGUUAGGGUUUAGUUGUCAUUGUUAUUUGUGAUUCAUUCUAGUAUCUCUUUGAUACUUGAAUUUGACUGGCUUUAUUGAGUUGUAGUUAUGAUCACUCAUGAGCUUUUAAGAAAGAGUGCAUUCUAUUUCAUUGGAAUUUUGUCUUCAGUUCUUUGACUGUUUUUCAGUAGUUAGCGUUGUUGUGUGAUUGAAGGGAAGUGAGAAGGUUCUCAUAUCUACGAGAGUCUAAGAUAGAAAUUCCAUGGGUAGUGAUUAGGUGUUUGUAAAACCAGAGGUUGUUUAGAACUUCAAACUAAUAUUUUUAUAGUUAGUUUCCUCUAUGGCUUAGAUGCCCUCAGAUGUAGGUGAAGUUGCACCGAACUAGGUUAAUAAUUGACAUGUGUUAUUUAUUUCCUGCUUUUUACACUAUAAUUAUUUCUUGUGUGACAUGUCUUGAACCUGGUGUCGUGACAUCGUAUACGAUAUCUGUUAUCUACGUAAUUGUUUUUGGUGUGACAUGUCCUGAUCCCGGUGUCGUGACAUCGUAUGCGAUAUCUAUUAUCUGCUUACUAUUAUUGUUGUGUGAAGUCCUGAUAUUAGUGUCGUGACAUCGUAUACGACAUUUGAUAUCUGCGUACCAGAAUUUCAAUUGGUAUUAAAGCAGGCACCCUAUUAUGUUUUGGGUGAACUCAUGGGAGAUACUUUCUGGUACCAUGGAAAGAGGAUUUGUUAACAUACCACAUAUCUUAGAUGGAACCAAUUAUGACUAUUGGAAGGAACGUAUGUUGGCAUUCCUAAAAUCUAUGGAUAGCAAGACUUGGAAAGCUGUCAUCAAGGGUUGGGAACACCUGUUGUGAAGGACAAAGAUGGGAAGCCUACUACUGACUUGAAGCAUGAAGAGGACUGGUCUAAGGAAGAAGAUGAACUGGCUUUUGGAAACUCCAAAUCUUUGAAUGCUCUAUUUAAUAAAGUUGGAAAAAACAUAUUCAGGUUAAUAAACACAUGUACCGUGGCCAAAGAUACAUGGGAAAUUCUUAUAACCACCUAUGAAGGCACAUCUAAAGUGAAGAUGUCUAGACUUCAACUUCUCAUUACCAUAUUUGAGAAUCUAAAGAUGAAAAAUGAUGAGAGUAUUCAUGAUUUUCACAUGAAUGUUCUUGAAAUAGAAAAUUCAUCUAGUGCAUUGGGAGAGAAGAUGUCAGAAGAAAAGCUGGUUAGAAAAAUUCUCAGGUCCCUACCUAAGAAAUUUGACAUGAAGGUCACAACCAUUGAAGAAGCCCAAGACAUCAGCAACAUGAGAGUAGAUGAACUUGUUGGGUCACUCCAAACUUUUAAAUUGGGUAUUAGUGACAGAUCUAAAAAGAAGAACAAGAGCAUAACUUUUGUAUCAAGCACUGAAAAUGAAGAGGACCAAUGUGACUUGGAUACUUAUGAGGGAAUAUCUAAUGCUAUUGUACUGCUUAGGAGACAAUUCAACAAGGUGCUGAAGGGAAUGGAUAGGAAGUCAACACCAAAUGUCAAGAACAUCUCAUCUGACAUCAACAAGAAUAAUGAUUCUUGGAGAAAAGAAAGAACAUAAGAAAAACCCAAUCAAGGAAAAGGUAUUCAGUGUCAUGAACGUGAGGGUUUUAGUCACAUUAGGUCAUAAUGUUCCACGUAUCUCAAGAAACAAAAGAAGGGCUUGUCUGUUUCUUAGUCUGAUGAUUCUGAAGGUGAAACUGAUGAUGAAAUUGUUAAGCAUGUUACAACUUUCACUUGUAGAUAUGAAUUUGAUGAAGAUUUUUGUAAUGAGGAUGUCUCUUAUGAAGAAUUUGUUGCUUCAUACAAAGAGCUUUGUGUCAGAAGUGAAGAGGUGUGUAAUACAGGAGAAGAGCAUAAGAAAAUCAUAGCUCAACUACAAGUCGAAAAAGAGAAACUUUUAUCUAUUGUCACUGAUCUUGAAAAUGAGGUAACUAUAUUGUCUUCUAAACUUAAAAACACGACCAAACCCAUAAGAAUAUUGAACAAUGGGUCUGAUAUGCUAGAUGAAAUUCUUCAAGUUGGAAAAGAGGCUGGAAAUUUAAAAGGUAUAGGUUUUAAUUACUAAUAUCAAAAUUAACAAGGAAAAACCUCUGCGACAAAAUUUAUUCCUCCAGAAAGGACGUAUGAUCCCAUGAUGUCCGGCCAAAUGUUACAACAUUCUGCCAGACAUCAGGAAACUCAAACUAAAGUCAAGUUUUUUCCUUGGAAAUGUCAUUAUUGUGGUAAAUAUGGACAUAUAAAGCAUUUCUUCUAUAAACUGUAUGGUUAUCCAAAACAUCCAACACAUCCUAGGGUUAAUCAUGUAAUGAUUAAAAAUAGAAAGGAGUGGAAACCUGAGGUUGUUCCAUGUGAAACUACUUAUUCUUCCACAUGCCUAAUGUCCAAGGAAGAUGAAGUCAAGUUAUGGAACCAGAAGCUUGGACAUCUGAAUCUCAAAGGGAUAUCUCUUGGUUACUCUACAAACAGUAGAGCUUACAUGGUAUCUAACUCCAAGACCAAGGGCAUGAUGAAAUCCAUUAAUGUUGUGGUUGAUGAUUCAAUUAUUGUAAAAGGGAAUGAUGUCGAUGAAGAUGUUGGAACAUCAUCUUAGCAAAUUGAUGCUUCAAAAAAUGUGGAAGACAUUAAGUCAAACAUUGAGCCAACAAGGAAUGAAUCAGAUGCUUCUUCUGACAUCUGAGUUGUUUUUUUCUGUUUGAUUUUGUAUAUUUUUUGUGGGCCUUUGUCCUGAAUAUUGCACCUCUGUGUGCCAUGGUCUGUACCUCAAACUCACUUGUUAUGCUACUGCUUUGUUCUACUAUUUUGUUUCUAUUGAUGAAUGUCUACUUGGUUUAUCAUAUUGUGGCUAAAAAGAGGGAGUAGAUGGUGUAGAGUUGUGCUCUUGAUUUUUUAAUCUUUAUGUGAAGGUUGUUUCUUUAAGAGGGAGUAUGUUUGAUAUGUAUUAGAGGGAGUUAUUUCUAUUCUGCUGAUCAUGACAUUCAAGGGGAGUUUGAUCUAUUUUUGCUUAGAUUGUUGUGUACUUGUUGUGAUGUCAGACAUAAUGUCUUGACAUUUAGUUUCAGAGAAUUAUGUUUGUGCUUAGGCUGUUGUGUACUUGUUAUGAUCUCAGAUAGAAUGUCUUGACAUUUUGUUUUAGAGAAUUUUGUUUGUGCUUAGGAUGUUAUAUGCUUGUUGUGAUGUCAGACAGAAUAUGUUGACAUUUUGUUUCUAAAGGAAGCUUGGAGUGUGAGAGUUUAUUUCUCUCAAUGUGUUUUCUGUGAGGCUGGGUUUCUACUACUUAUUUCUGCUGCGCGUGCCUCUAAUAUGUCUUGGUGUUAUACCAAGUGUUUGGUUGUUUGGUUUUUGUGCUUGCGAUUAUUGCUUUUAUUUUAUCUUUUCUCUAGCUAUCUGAUGCAAAGGUUGUUUUAUCCAAAAAAUUCCAAAAGGGAGAUUGUUAGGUGUGUGCUUUUAUGAUUGGCAGCAAUUUUGUUAAAAUAUGUAUCACAACAAGAUAUUGAGCAAGAUGUCAUGACAUGUUGAUCAGAUAUCUUUGCAGGCUUUGUUUUACUUCUUAAAAGACAUAUUUUAUUAUGAGAUAUCUGAAGAUUAUCUGAAUAUUCAGCUAUCAUAUCUGACUUUCCAAGAAGGUUUAUUUUUGGAACUCUUAUUUCGUUUUCAGCUAUGCACUUGUUUCAUAAAAAGGGAUGUUGAGAUAGUUUAAAGAAACAUUAUAUCAGAUUUGAUUUCAUUAUGCAAAAGAUUGUGCAGACUGGAUGUCAAAACAUUUAAGGUAACAUUUUAUUUGAUUAUGCAUAAGAUUAUGGAAACUGGAUGUCGAAACAUUUAAGGAAACAUUUGAUUUGAUGAUGUAGAAGAUUGUGCAGACUAGAUGUCGAAAUAUUUAAAGAGACAUUCAAUUUAAUUAUGCAUGAUGGAUGUCAAAACAUUUAAGGAGACAUCAUAUUUGAUUCUGCAGAAUGGAUGUCAAAACAUUUAAGGAGAUAUCAUAUUUGAUUAUGCAGAAUGGAUGUCAAAAUAUUUAAGGACACAUCAGAUUUGAUUUGAUCAAAUAUUAUGAAGAACACAUGUUAAAACAUUUAAGGACACAUCAGAUUUGAUUUGAUCAAAUAUUAUGCAGAGCGGAUGUCAAAACAUUUAAGGACACAUCAUAUUUGAUUUGAUCAAAUAUUAUGCAGAACAGAUGUCAAAAUAUUUAAGGACGCAUCAGAUUUGAUUUGAUCAAAUAUUAUGCAGAACAGAUGUCAAAACAUUUAAGGAGACAUCAUAUUUGAUUUGAUCAAAUAUUAUGCAGAAUAGAUGUCAAAACAUUUAAGGAGACAUCAGAUUUAAUUUAAUCAGAUUUGAUUUGAUUUGAUUUGUUUUGGAUCUAUUGAUUUUGUAGCCCAAAGCCCAUGCUACUCUGGGGCUAUUUAAAGGGUGAUUAUAAACCUAAGAAAAGAAAAGAGAGUUGCGCUGGAAAUUGUUAUUGUUAGGGUUUAGUUGUCGUUGUUAUUUGUGAGUCAUUCUAGUAUCUCUUUGAUACUUGAAUUGGACUGAGUUUAUUGAGUUAUAAUUAUGAAUCACUCAUGAGCUUUUAAGCAAGAGUGCAUUUUGUUUCAUUGGAAGUGUGUCUUCUGUUUUUUGAUUGUUUUUCAGUUGUUAUCAUUGUUGUGUGAUUGAAGGGAAGUGAGAAAGGUCUCAUAUCUAAGAGAGUCUUAGAUAGAAAUUCCCCGGGUAGUGAUUAGGUGAGAAGUUUGUAAAACCAGAGGUUGUUUAGAACCUCAAACUAAUAUUGUUAUAGUGAAUUUCCUUCCUGGCUUGGAUGCCCCCGGAUGUAGGUGAAGUUGCACCGAACUGGGUUAACAAUUGACCUGUGUUAUUUAUUUCCUGCUUUUUACACUAUAAUUGUUUCUGGUGUGACAUGUCGUAACCUGAUGUCUUGACAUCAUAUACGACAUAUGUUAUCUGCGUAGUUGUUUCUGGUGUGACAUGUCCUGAUCUUGGUGUUGUGAAAUUGUAUAUGACAUUUGUUAUCUGCUUACUAUUAUUGUUGUGUGAAGUCCUGAUAUUAGUUUCAUGACAUCACAUACGACAUCUGAUAUCUACGUACCAGAAUUUCAAUUGGUAUUAGAACAGGCAUCCUGUUCUAGUAUGGGUGAGCUCCAUGGAGAUACUUUAUGGUACCAUGAAAGGAGGAUUUGUUAACAGACCACCCAUCUUAGAUGACACCAACUAUGACUAUUGGAAGGAAAGUAUGGUGGCAUUCCUAAAAUAUAUGAAUAGUAAGACUUGGAAAGCUGUCAUCAAGGGUUAGGAACAUCAUGUUGUGAAGGACAAAGAUGGGAAAGCUACUAUUGACUUGAAUCCUGAAGAGGACUGGUCUAAGAAAGAAGAUGAACCGUCUCUUGGAAACUCCAAAGAUUUGAAUGCUCUAUUCGAUGGAGUUGACAAAAACAUAUUCAGGUUAAUAAACACUUGUACAGUGGCCAAAGAUGCAUGUGAAUUUCUCAGAACCAUCCAUGAAGGCACAUCUAAAGCUAAGAUGUCUAGACUUCAGCUUCUCACUACCAGAUUUGAGAAUCUAAAGAUGAGAGAUGAUGAGAGUAUUCAUGAUUUUCACAUGAAUUUUAUUGAAAUAACAAAUUCAUAUAGUACCUUGGGAGAGAAGAUGUCAGAAGAAAAGUUGGUUAGAAAAAUUCUCAGGUCCCUACCUAAGAAAUUUGACAUGAAGGUCACAACCAUUGAAGAAGCCCAAGACAUCAACAACAUGUGAGUAGAUGAACUUGUUGGGUCACUCCAAACUUUUGAGUUGGGUAUUAGUGACAGAUCUGAAAAGAAGAACAAGAGCAUAACUUUUGUAUCCAACACUGAAGAUGAAGAGGACCAAUGUGACUUGGAUACUAAUGGGGGAAUGUAUAAUGCUAUUGUACUUCUUAUGAGACAAUUCAACAAGGUGUUGAAGGGAAUGGACAGGAAGUCAACACCAAAUGUCAAGAACAUCUCAUAUGACAUCAGCAAGAACAAUGAUUCUCGAAGAAAAGAAAGAACGAAAGAAAAGCUCAAUCAAAGAAAAGGUAUUCAGUGUCAUGAAUGUGAGGGUUUUGGUCACAUUAGAUCAGAAUGUCCCACGUAUCUUAAGAAACAAAAGAAAGGCUUGUUUGUUUCUUGGUCUGAUGAUUCUAAAGGUGAAACUGAUGAUGAAAUUGAUAAGCAUGUUAGAACUUUCACUGGUAGAUAUCAAUUUGAUAAAGAUUCGUGUGAUGAGGAUGUCUCUUAUGAAAAAUUGGUUGUUUCCUGCAAAGAGCUUUGUGUCAUAAGUGAAGAGGUGUGUAAGACCGGAGAAGAGUAUAAGAGAACCAUAGCUCAACUACAGGAUGAAAAAGAUAAACUUUUAUCUACUAUCACUAAUCUGGAAAAUGAGGUAACUAUAUUGUCUUCUAAACUUGAAAACAUGACCAAAUCCAUAAGAAUGUUGAACAAUGGGUUGAUAUGCUAGAUGAAGUUCUUCAAGUUGGAAAAGAGGCUGGAAAUUUAAAAGGUAUAGGUUUUAUUUACCAAUAUCAAAAUAAACAAGGAAAACGCCUGUGACAAAAUUUAUUCCUCCAGAAAGGAAGUAUGAGCCCAUGAUGUCCGAUCAAAUGUUACAACAUCCUGCCAGACAUCAGGAAACUCAAACUAAAGUCAAGUUUUUGCCUUGUAAAUGUAAUUACUAUGGUAAAUAUGGACAUAUAAAACCUUUCUGCUACAAGUUGUAUGGUUAUCCAACACAUCCGAAACAUCCUAGGGCUAAUCAUGUAAUUAUUAAAACUAGAAAUGAGUGGAAACCUAAGGUUGCUCCACGUGAAACUACUUGUUCUUCCAUAUUCCUAAUGUACUACUUAAGGUACACUACUAACUUUGAAUCUUUAGAUAUCUUAAAGGUAUUACUAAUUUUGGCUUGAUUUAUAGAAAAUCCAAAGAGUACAAGUUAGUAGGUUAUUGUGAUGCUGACUAUGCUGGAGACAGACUAGAAAGAAAGACCAGUAGUGGAAGUUGUCAGUUUCUUGGUGAUAAUCUUAUUUCAUGGUCCAAUAAGAGACAGUCAAUAAUAACAUUGUUAACGGCUGAAGCAGAAUAUAUUGCAGCAGCAGUUUGUAGCAUACAUAUCCUCUAGAUUAAAAAUCAGCUAGAAGACUAUCAUAUUCUUGAGAAUAACAUUUAUAUCCUUUGUGAUAAUGUGUUUGCAAUUUGUUUAUCUAAGAACCCUAUUUUUCACUCCAGAGCAAAACAUAUUGAAAUUAGACUCCAUUUUAUAAGAGAUUAUGUUCAAAAGGGUAUUAUUAAUUUAAAAUUUAUAGAUACAGACCAUCAAUGGGUUGAUAUCUUCACAAAACCCCUUAUUGAAGAUAAAUUCAAUUUUAUUCUGAAAUUUGUAAAUAUGGAAUUUUGUCCAGAAUAAAACAACAUUGUGUGUAACCUAUGGAGAGUCAAAAUAAGACUUUGAGAUAACUUGGCUCUGAACCAAUUAAUCCUCUGAAGUUAGAUGGCUCUUUGGGUCAGAAGGUCCUAAGUCAUAAUCCCUCUGCGACUUUUUGUCUUCUGGACUCUGAGUUUAAAAUUAAUGGUGGAAAACAAGUGUAGUUUUGUGUGACUCUAAAGUAAGACAUAUGUCCUACAUUAAGUUGUCUGAACGCUUGAAGUUACCCCUUGGAAAACACUAUUUUUUGGGUAAAGAUAAAAUCGUUACUCUCGCCUCUUUUAUAAGUAUGCGUGUAUUUCAAAAUUUGUGUUAAUUAUUACUUUUAUAUUUAAAACUCAUUUUCACUCACUUCUCUUACACAACGCAACUCUCACUACUCACACUUAAAUCUUUUCAAACCUGAAAACCUAAAAAUUUACAAGUUAUUCAACAAAACCCGUUUGAAAUGGUUGAAAACUUCUCUGAAACCUCUCUAUAAACACCGGUUAGUGACAUGAGUAUCAUAAACAAUAUUGAGUAAAGGAUCAGUUAUUUUUACUUAGAAAACAUUACAGCUCUAAAAUCAAUUACAAAGCAAGAAGAGACACUACAAAAGAUUACAACUUUGAGACUAGGCCGGCAUUCCAACCACCUAACCUAAGGAAAGUCUUAUAGUCCUCAAUAAUGUCUGAUCCACUGUUUUCAACUGGCUUCUUCUUCUUGAGGUUCUCCAUCCUCGGCUUUGAAGUUCUUCCUAAUAAAGUUACUCCAGUAGAUGUACCAACUUGUGUUCUUGAACCUUCAGAGGAUUUAAUCCUAAAUCUUUGUGCUUCCCUUCAACAUCCUUGAGCUUCAAAAUAGCCUUGCUAACUUCUUUAGAGGAACCCUUCUUAGAGUUCUAUGAUAAACUUCUCAUGUCAAGAGAUAGACGAAGAAGAGAUGAAGAAGAGAUGGAAAAGAAAGAAUUAUGAUCUUGCUUGUAACAAAACCUCUCUCUUAUAUAGAGAGUUUGGGAUAAAGAAAAAUCAACUUUAUUUAAUGUGCUCCAAUGGACAAAGGAGAGAGAAAUUUCUUGGUCUUCAAGCAUAUUUCCCCAAGUUUGAGUGCUACUGGAUUGGACCAACUCGUGAAUUAAAGAGAUGUUAUUGAUCAUUCUAGCCAAUCUCAUCCAAAUCCUUUUUGUUUCUAGUUUGAUUUUUUUUUAUUAUCUCUUUCAAAAAUCAAUUUUAAAGUCUUCUAUUCUAUUUAUUCUUUUUGAUUAAUGACAAAUGGGGGAGAAAUGAAUAUGAUUUUGAUAUACCUUUAUUCCAUAACAAAUCCCAAACAUGAUAUAUUUUUAUUCCUUAAAUUUUUGAGGAGAUUUAUUAACUAGGAAAUUAGAUCUGUGUUCUUAAGUUUAUCAACCAGUCAAUUGGAUUUCUUAUUGAUAAUAACCGAGCACUAAAGCACUUAUGAUAACUAGGUGAACAUUUAUUGUCAUGCUGAUAAUUUUUUUCUGGAAUAUCAAAAAAAAUUCCAGUCUCAAUCUCAAGGGGAGCUUACAAACCCCACUCUGAAGAAGCUGAGAAUAAUUUUGAUAGUGUAAAACUCAGAGGGAGAUUAUAAACCUAACUCUGAUGUUUUAAAAUUUUGAUUAUCGAAGUAAAAAUGGUUCAUUAAAAUACAUGGAUUGUCAUUAUCAAAAAGGGGGAGAUUGUUGGAACAAGUUGGGUUCUGCAACUAUUCUUGAGUUUUGAUGAUAACAAAGCAUAAUAUGUAUGGAGAAAAAUUUUGUACUCUAAUUAUUCUGUUAAGUGCGUAGAUCAAAGAAAACCAGUUCUAACUUAGAUAAAGUUAAAUCUGGAUGAACCGGGAUUUGAACUGUAGGCGCACUCUGAACCAAAGGAAGAAACAAAGACAUGCUUUAAAUGAAAGUCAAGCAUCUAGAUUACCAGGUCAAUGCUUCUGCAAGAAUCUAUCCAGAAUGUCUCUGAUAAAGAAUCUUAUGAUUCAAGCCUCUGAAGUCUCAGAACUAUGAACUCUAUAGACUCUGAAGUCUCAUUUUCAUCAGAUUCUGAAGACAUGCUCUGACUUCUAUUCAAGUUUCAGCAACUUAAAUACAAAGCCUUUAACUAGAAGUUAAUGACUGAAAGAAGAAUACACGGAAAGAUUACAAUCAAUACAAAAUAAAAUAUCAUUUCCACUACCCUAUAAAUUAGGAAAAAGAACUAUACUAUUAUACUAAUAUGGUUCCUCUUAUCCCAUCCUCUCUCCCACUCUAUGUUGCAAGUGCCAUUUUACUAUUGUAUAAUCAAGCAACUUCGUACAAGUGUGAUAUUGAAGAUAUUCCAAUUCCACCCUUCAACGGAUCUAUUCUUCAUCUAAAUAAAGAGGUCUUGGAAGUUUGGAAAGAAAACAAAACAUAUACGUGAAGAAAAAUAUACAUAAGUGAAAGGAAAAGGAGUGUUUCACGCCAAGAAAAAGAUCAUGUUCAUACUCUUUGAACAUUUUCUUGAAUAUAUCUCUUAAGAGUAAUCUCUGUUUUUAAUUUGUGUAUUUGCUUAUUUUAGAAGCAACUUUGUAAACACAAUCUUGUAUUCUUAACCUUUGGUUAAAUACCUUGAGAGACUAGGUUAUAGUCAGGAUUCUCAAGAAGUCUUAGAAAUGUUAUCUUUGAGUUUGUAAUCAAGUCUUUGAUUAGUGGAUUAAGUCCUUAUUGAGAAGGUAAGAUCACUCUGGUGGGUGGACUGGAUGUAGCUUAGUUAACAGCGAACCAGGAUAAAAAUAUAUGUGUCUUUUAUCAUUGUUGAAUCUUUACUAUUUGUGUUCUUCGGUAGUGAAUUUUUUUUAAUUAAGAAACCCAAUUUAAACCCCUUUUAUUAUGUUUCUUGAACCUUCACUAACUUGAACCAACAAUACAUAUGGUUCUUGUUCCACUAACUCAAGCAAUUAACUUAAAUCAUUAUGAUCAAACUCAAAUAAAACCAAUUGAAUUAUGCAUGUUAAAAAACUAAUUGAUUCAAACUUGAUUCAGAGAUGUGCAAUCAUGAAGGAGACUAAAUAAACGAUAACAAACAAAACGAAAGUGAUAAGACAAGCAAUAAAAUUGUAUUGAGGUUCUCCCCCUGAAUGUAUUAGGGACAUGUGACUUCCAAAGGAACCAUAUUCUCAACAUUUGGAGUUGCAAUACUUUGAUCAAAAUUCUUGCUCUGAUACCAAUAACUGGGUGCGAAUAUGACACAAACAGGUAUGAAAUGAGGGGGGAGGGGGGUGAAUAGACCUAUUCCCAAGUAGAAAAUUUCAAAAAUAUUUUUAGGUCCCAUAAACAAAAUCAGAUAUUUUAAAAAUACACAGAAGCAAAACACAACACUAAGAGAGCUUAUAAGCAUCUCAAUAAAUUAAUUCAACAAAGGCAAUACAAGACAUCACUAAAGACACAAGACAUCACUAAAGACACAAGUCUUUCUAAAGCAAGAAAAUUACAAGAUUACCAAAUUCGUUUUAAUCCAAGCGAUUUAAAAAUUCUUUACGUAGAAAUUCACUCAAGACAUUAUUAGAUUUAUGAUGAUUCAAUAUGUUUGUUGCAUCGCAUACCUAAGAUUACACAUUAAAUAGUUGUAAGCAAAGUCUAACCUACAUGACGUACAAACUAUGCAAUAAUGCAAUAGAUAUAGUAAUGAAUACAUAAAAUCAAAAGAGAUAAGGGAAGAGAGAAGGGUACAUAGAAAUAUAUAGUGGUUCGGAGUUUGCCCUGGUUUUUCCCACUCCAUUAUUCAAUGGUGUUAAAACCAUUUGAAAAUAACCACAAACUUCCACUAUUUUGAUAAGUUUGAUACAAGCAUUUUGAGUACAUCAAAAUAUCGCACGAUAAUUUCCUUAGUUGAUGCAGAUACUCAAAUUGCUAACAAACACAAUAUCAUCAAUAAUCUUGAUCCAAUAACCUUACUAUCCACAAUAAUCCUGCUCUAAGUCUUCGUAUGUGGAAAUCCACCUUGAUCCCACUAAUUUCUUGUUUGGGCGAUUUCCAUAGAUAAGCUUCAAUUGAUCAACUCUCAAAUUUUUCUGUGAACAAUCUUCACACAAAUUUACCAAAGUUGGACAACUUCCAAACCCGCCUUACGAAUAGUUUGUACUCGACUUCUCCAAAGUCUUCCAUGGAGUAUAGUGAAACUCUACUCUUGAUGAAUAACUCAAUAUCCAAACCGCAUUCAAGAAAUAAUCUAUGCACAUGUUACAAACAUCAAAAUUCAUACAAAAAUAUUAGAUACCCUAAUGUACCACAAGUCUCUAUCAAACACUCAAUCUUUAGAGAUGAGGUUCCACAACACUGAAUAAGGACUAAGGUUGAAGAUGAUGAACAAUGCCAAAAUAAUCACACACACACACACAUACACACAUGCACACACACACACACGUACACACACACACACAUACACACACACACACACAUACACACUAAUUCACAAGAUAUCAAUAAGGAAUUAGAUGUUGGUCAAUGAAAAACACAUACAAAGUUUGUCUCAAGUUUUUGGAUAAACGGGUCUUGGAUCUUGAAGAUUAUCAUGAGCUUGAUCAAAAUUGAAUGAUUACAUGAUUGAUAAACUCUUUGUCUCUAGUUUCUCUCAACAAGGCAAUUAUAUAAAUAAUGUAAUAAAAAGAGAGAUGUUAUAUAACAUGUAUUAACACCAAAGAAGUUAUUCUUCAAAACAAGAGAAAUAUUCAAUGGUGCUAGGAAUAGACACACUAGAGAAGAAAAAACAAAUUGACAUUUUUGUAUUAGGGUUUCACAAAGACUUUCAUCAUGAACAAGAGUCACAAUGAGAGUUACUUGACACCCUUCAACUCUACUUAGAAUCAAAGAAACAACUAUUUAAAUCUAAGGUGGAAAAUUAGAGUUUUGAUGCUUGACUCGAAUCAAACACAAACCAUGAUUCAAGUCAUAUUGACUUGUGAUUCAAUUCAAGUUCAACUUGUGAUUCGAGUAAAAUAACACAGAGGCACAAACCAAUUUGCACAACUUGUAUGAUUCAGUGAUACAAUUCACAUGAUUUGAAUCAAACAAAUAAACACCUUGAUUUAAGUGAAUAUCGAUAAUAUCUCGAUAACUUCUGCCCAUUUGACAAAUAUCAAAAAGAGAAAAGAAAGAGAGAAAACAACGCAAACAACUAAAUUCAUGAUAACAUAAAAGCCAAAAUAGAAAUCACACUAGUGAACUAAAACCACAUAAAUCGCUUAUGAUACCAACUACCGCAAACAACACAAUUUGAACAAAUAAUCAAGAUAAAAGAGAUAGCAAUGAUAAAUAACAUAGAUACUUAAAACACAUGGAUAAAAGUUGCAACAAGUACAUAACUAAAAUAUAUAAUGUCAAUAUCACAAAAUAGUAUCAGAGAAAAUCCAAAGGAGCCCCCAUAGUAAAUUCCUAAGGAUAACACGUUAUGGUCAUGUUUCCUGACACGAUCGUGUUCUCAACACGACCCCCCAUGUCAGACAACAUGGCCUUUGUCAGACCUAGUUUCUGCUGUAAACUUUGUCAUUCUGUAACAUUUUCUCGACUUCUAAACUUCCAAAACUACCUCUUUUAAUUAAUAAGUAACCAUUUAUGUUUGUGCUCGAAAUUAUGAGGCCUCAAUGGUCCUCUUAUUGUAUAAAUAGUGGUUAUUUGUUAUGAUUAAGGGGGUAACAUUUUUUAGGAGACUCUAGCAUUAUUUUCAGUUUCAUCUUUUUCUCUAUUGUAAUUUCUCUGCAACUUAUUUGUACUCUUUGGAUUUAUUUUAUCAAUUCAAGCUUUUUUGUCUACAGUUUAGGUUAUUUCCAUUUUAUCUCAAUUAUUUCUCAUUUAAUUUCUAUGCAUGCUAUGUCUUUAUUUUGUUUAAUUUGUGUCAAUCUCACCAUGAGUGAGUAAUCCUCUAGGUACAAGGGGUCAUGAGAUCUAUCUCAUGCCAAACCCUCGAUGAAUUUAUCCAUUAACAAAUUAUGAUAAAAAUAGUUUAAAAGUUAUUUUAGGAUCAAAUUUCUUAAAUAUAUUUGUGUCAGCUAGCAAAAGCAAAGGCAACCUAGAUGUUGAUCAUGUACCAAAAGUUAGUGAUUCGGCAUCCAACUGUGGUUGGCUAAACAUCCGAUAACGAGACGAAACCUACAAGGUGUCUUGUUCUCAGUUGAGAGAGCCGAUUAGCUAUGCUAAAAUCACGUCUAGACACACACGCCACAAAAGUGGGUGUAUUGCAUUUUUAUCUACUUUUCUAUAAUUUGCUCUAGUUUCUCAUAAUUGAAAUGGAAAGUUAAUUGCGGAGUUUGGGAUAGAUACCAUGUACCCUAUCUCCUGCUUUUUUUUUAAUUGUUAUUAUCAAUUUUAUUUCAUUAGUACUUAGAUCCUUGAAAAUAUGAUCGCUUUAGCUACAAACUAUUAGGAUCAAAUUCAACACUCAUAUACAUUUCCAUGUUGGUUCGAUCUUAUUGUAUUACUUCACAUUGUUGUGCACUUGCGGCUGUCAUACCCUAAAACUUGUCCUACUUUUUUUCAAUUUUGUCUGGCCUAUUUCUCAUUGUAUCUGCAUACUCACAUGCCCUAAUCAUCCCUUAUAAGACAGUCAUUUACAAUUGCAUGCACAUCAUUGAUUCAAAAGUUCUUGCUAUUUAUGACACAAGGAUUGGAUUCUUGUCAGUUGGCUUGGAAAUUAUCAUGAACUAGGGUUUACUUCCAUGGCAUAUAUGGGAUUAAACCUUUUGGGAUUGUUUUACAUUGACCUAGUUGGUCAUCUCUUGAAACCCUAAUCCUUGGCAUAAUAUUUUAGCAUGAUUGGAUUGCAUCAUGGAAUGUUUGAUUUUAAAAGGGGCAUUGUUAAGUUUGACUUUUUCUGGUCAUGUUCAUAUAAAGUAUUACUUAGUGAUUACUAAUUAUUAUUGCUUGGUUCAUGACAUGGCAUUCAUACAAGAUCAAGUUGUAUGCGAAUUUCAAAAAGAGCCAAAAUUUCAAAUUUUCAAAUAUGGAGGGAAAAGUUAUAUUUUACUUAGGGCAUAAGUCAAGUUACAUAUAAUGGUCAAUCUACAUCCAAGACAUCAAAAAAGUACAUUACAAGUGCAUAUUUGGGAUUACAUGAAGAAACCCCUAAUUUUGACCUAAAGUUGACUUUUGAUCAAUUGUUGACUUUUUGGUCAAAUGGUUGACCAAAGUCAACUUAACCCUAGACCUAUUACCUUCUUCAUCUUCAUGGGUCCCACUUUGAUCUCCAAGUCACCAAUCUUCAUUAGGGUGCAUCAUACCAAGUUUUGCCCAUGUUCAAGCCUUAUACCAAAAGUCAUGUUUUGCUCAUGUCAUCAUCUUCAUGCCAAGCCAAGUUAGCCCUGCAACUCAUACAUAUUGCACCAAUUAGUUUCAAUAUUAAGCACAUCUACCAUUGAAUCAAGCAAGUACCUACUUCAUAUGAACUUCCUCUAACUGUAGCAUGCUAAUAACUUAAUUCAACUUUCCAAAUCAAUUCACUACAACACCAUUCAAUAACUAACUAUUGAAACUAUCAAUUAUAACUUAAAAGUUCAUCCUUACAAGCUUAACCAAUUUCACUCAAUGACUAAUCAUCAACCUAGCUAACAUUCAAAUUCAAGUAUUACAUCUAACCUACUGCACUUAGCAUCUUCCAUUCAUUCUAACAUGGCUCAAGUUGCAACCCAAAACAACCUGCAUAAUUCCCUGCAUGAAUAAACUUCAUUUUAAACUACAUUCAAGCCAAAGCAUAGCCUACACGAUUUCAAAAUUCAUAACACAAGUAGUUAAAACAAAACUUCAAAACAGAAUUUCACUACUAACUUGUCACUAAUUCAAUUUUCAUUAAUUCAAAUUAGGCCAUCAUAGUUCAAUUAGGAAUUAACAUCAUUCAGUAGAAGAUUUCUAACCAACAGCCUGUGUAUUGUUCUACUAACAAACUAACAACCACAUUCUAAUUAUCUUCCACAAUGCCUAACAUUCCAAGCAUUUCACCAAGCUCUUAUGCAUAACUAACCUUCAAACUGAAGUACAGAAAACUCCAAAAAUAGUUUAGUAACUAACUUUAUUCACAUUCUAACACCAAUAAAAACAAUCACAUAACAGCUCCACAAUUAAUUUGUUGCAUAACUAGUUGCACAUUCAUAAGCAGUUUCACUUUUUUCUAACUUCAAAGUCACUAACAGCAGGCAUACAUAGAAAAUAGAAUUUUCACAAAAAAUCAUUCAUAGUUAACCAAAAGGGCUCCAAUUACAGUUCAAGUUUCAUGGUAGCAUCAGUUCAUUAAAGUUUGAACUACACUUAACUCACUAUACCACAAUUCCAUUCCUAAUUCUAACUGCCAACCUACUGUUUCACUAAUUGAUUCCAUUUCAUAAAUAACUAACUAUUUAACUAACAAUCCCUAAUAAAAAACAAUUCAGAUGUUAACCAAUUAAUUAACCUAAUCACCAAAUGAUUUUUCACAACCUUCUAACAACUAACUAAUUAAUUUUAGUUAACACUAACAUUUUAUCAGUUCAUAACCACAAUUAGUUCAAACAUAAUUCUAACACUCUAACAUCAUAACUGUUUUCAACUAACAUCUAACAACUAACUUAACAUAAUUCAAUUUAGCUAACUGUCACAAACUGAAUUUAACAAACUAAUUUAACAGAGUUAUAAACACCUAACAACUUUACUCACUGAAUAUCUAACAGAGUUACUUGCCCUAACUUGUUUGACCUAACUUCCCUAUUCAGUUACUCAAAACAACCUCUAUAAAAUCAAUUCAUCUUCUUCAAUCACAGGUGACUAAUCAUAAUUCUACAAAUUCACCAAAAGAUUCUCACUUCACCACUCCCAUCACCCUCACUACACGCUCCAAUCACCAUAGUUUUUAGAGCUUCAACAUCUGAAGCUCUAAACAAUUGAGCUAAAUCCUCACCAUUCUCUCAAUCUACACGCGAUAAAUUAUAGAAUAACGCAUGCUCCUACAGACUAGAGAAAAUACUAAGAAGGAGAAGAAGAGGAACUAAGCAUCAAGUUCAAAGAAAGAAGAUUCACAGACCUGAAGAACAAUAUCUCUGACAAACGCCAAGCUUGAAGAGCCGUCGGAGCUACUCCGGCAGGUAAGCUCUUCUCCUUUUCCUCUUUGAUCCAUGCAAAAAUAGUCACCAUAAUGUAGAUUUGUCACUAGCGAUCCAAACCCCUAAGGUUUGGACUCAGUUUUAUCUGCCAUAUGCUUUUAAUUUAUGUUUGGUAAUUUAGGGUUCAUGUUUUUCUUUUUAUUUGAACAAUUGAUGAGGGAUUGAAACGAAUUGGGAUGGGAUUAUGAAAGAGGGAGAGAAGACGGUUAGGUUGAGUUAAGUUUGGUGGUGAUUUGACCUCCGCCGCCGUUGAUGGUGAAUUCCAACACGGCGAAGUUGUGACCUCAGAAGUUGUGAACCCAGAUUUGCUUUCACAUACCCCCCAUUUUCUCUUGGCUAGAGGUGUUUUAGGCCUCAAAGGCUCAUAAUCCCAUGACAUUGCCAACAACACCCACAAUGUUUCCAGACACCCCCUUUUCUUGAAUGAUUAACACAACCAGCGAUGGGUUUCCAUCUUGAGCCCAAUGUAUUUCUUCAUGGCAUACCCCUAGUCUGAUGCAUGCAUCCCCUGCAGUUUGGGCUUGAUCUUGUUUUUCUAGUUGUUUUUCUUUGCUUUAUUGUUUCUUAAAUAUUAUUUUUAAUAUUUUACACAUUUUAUUAUAAUUUCCAAUGAUAAUUCUUAGAAUUAUUGAAUAGUUCAUACCUUUAAAAAAUCAUAUACUUAAUAAAGAUAAUACACCUUAGUCUAGAAAUAAUCAUCGAUUUUAAAAUUAUUUUUUCAAUUAGAUUUUAGAAAUUAAUUAGCAUUUUGGAUGGUUUUAAUUUUAGAAAUUAGUAGGUUAACAUAUCCCUUAAUAAAGAUCCAUGUGCUUGUAGUUUUGGGUUCAUGCCCGAUUGAUUGAUCAAAAUCAAUUUUGAUCAAUUAAUCACUUCACUUUUACUUUAUCCCCUAUCCAGUCAGUGAUCAAAAUUGUCUUGAUCACUUGAUAGGAUUAGAUCUCUAUACUUGCACUGCAUUGGACCUCAAGCCAAGUCAAGCUUCAUACUCAAGGUUGAAAACAUUGGAUAUCAAGAUCGGAUGAUUGCUCAAGCACAACAAAAAUAAAUUUUUUCAACACUUGAUAUUUAUGAUGAGGAUUAUAUGUCAUGAGCCUUAAGCAACAGAGAAGGAUGAGAUAUAUUUUUCAUAUCCUUGUUUUGAGUACCUCUGCGUACGGGGCGUAUGCCCCAGUUAUUCAGAGUAUUCGCAUCCAUUCAUAGACUUUAGUGCAAUUUAAAUUGAAUAAUUGUCAGUUCUUUUUACCCACAGAUAGCAUAUCAACACAAAUGACAUCUCAACAUUGAAACACUGCUCCAUCAACAAUACUCUUCUCUUUGGACCCAACACAAGCUUCUUUGUCAUCCAUACUCCAUUGGUUAAUCAUUGUCUAUCAGUUAAAAUAUCAAUCUUUCUUUAUUUGGGUUAAUCACCUCUCAUAGUUAACAUACCCUCUUUUUGCAUUGAUUAAUCACCGUCUAUCGGUUAAAAUACCACUCUUUCUUUCUUUGGGUUAAUCACCUCUUACGGUUAACAUACCCUUUCUUCAUGGGUUAAUCACCAUUUCUUGGUUAACAGACAUUUCUCUUUGGUUUAGCACCAUUCUUAUUUCUCUCUCUGGGUUAAUCACCAUCUUGCUUAAAACAUUCACCUCUUUGGUUUAAACACCACUUUCCUUUUCUUUGGUUUAAACACCACUUUUAUUUCUCUCUUUGGGUUAAUCACCAUCUUGGUUAAAACACCCAUCUCUUUGGUUUAAACACCACUUCUCUGGUUUAAACACCGCUUUCUAUCAUUUAUAUCACUCUUAUCAAUUCCUUGGUUUAAACACCACAUUUAUUUUAUCUCUUAGUUUAAACACCACUUUUAUUUCCUCUUUGGUUUAAACACCACUUUCUUACUUUUAUUCAGUUUAAACACCACUUUCCUUUUCUUUGGUUUAAACACCACUUUUAUUUCUAUCUUUAGGUUAAUCACCAUCUUGGUUAAAACACCCACCUCUUUGGUUUAAACACCACUUUCUUUUUCUUUGGUUUAAACAUCACUUCUUUGGUGUUUCAGUUUAAACACCACUCUUUUGGUUUAAACACAACUCUUUUGAUUUAAACACCACUUCUUUGGUUUAAACACCACCUUCUUUUUAUUUGGUUUAAACACCACUUCUUUGGGUUAAACACCACUCUUAUUUUAGUUUGGUUUAAAUAACACUCUUUCGGUUUAAACACCACUCUUGAGGCUAAUCACAUUCUCUUGGUUAAUAACCUCUCUCUUUGUUUUAAACACCACUCUUUUGGUUUAAACACCAUUUUCUUUUUCUUUAGCUGAAACACCACUUAUUCGGUUUAAACACCACUCUUAUUUUUGUUUGGUUUAAACACCACUCUUUUGGUUUAAACACUCCUUCUUUGAUUUAAACACCACUUUCAUUCCCUAUUUGGUUUAAACAUCACUUUCAUUUCCUGUUUGGUUUAAACACCACCUUUAUUUCCUAUUUUCCUUCUCUUUGGUUUAAACACCACUCUUAUUUUACUUCUUUGGUUUAAACACCACUUUUAUUUUCUCUUUGGUUUUUUUAAUCCUCUGGUUUAAAUAUCUUUCCCUAGUAGGUCUUGAUCCCUGGAUCUAGGCAAAAUCCUACAACUUCUUUGGUUUAAAUACCAUUUUUUUAGUUUAAACAUCACUUCUUGGUUUAAACACCAUUUUUUUGGUUUAAACACCACUUCUUGGUUUAAACACCACUUUCAUUUUCUCUUUGAUUUAAACACCACUUCUUUUGUUUAAACAUCACUUUUUUGGUUUAAACACCACUUCUUCGGCUUAAACAUCACUUUUAUCAAUCUUUUGGUUUAAACACCACUUAUUUGGUUUAAACACCACUUUCUUUUUUUAUCCAGUUUAAACACCACUUUACGCUUGUUUGGUUUAAACACCAUAUUUAAUCACUUUUUUGGUUUAAACACGACUUUCUUUCCUUCUUCGAUUUAAACACCCCUGUCUUUUCCUUUCCGGUUUAAACGCCACUUUUACUCCUGUUUGGUUUAAACACCACCUUUUAUCCCUUCGUUGGUUUAAACACUACUUUUAUCCCCCCUUUGGUUUAAACACCAUUUUUAAUCAUACUUGUUUUAAACACCACUUUUUUUCUUCCUUGAUUUAAACAUCACUUCUACUUCUUUUCUUGGUUUAAAGACCGCCUUUCUAUUACUCUCUUGGUUUAAACAUCACAUUUAUUUUAUCUCUUGGUUUAAACACCACUUUCAUUUCUCUUUUGGUUUAAACACCACUUUCUUUUAUUCUUUGGUUUAAACACCACUAUCCAGUUUAAGCACCAUCUCAAAAAUCUUUCAUCAUUCAUUCACACAUCUCUAUUUUCUGCCCUUGGUUGUAUGAACUACGGAGCUCUGAUUUCCUUAUUGCACUAUGAGGAUACGUAGGCACGAGAGUCCGAAUCCUUGACGGGCACACUAAUUAUUAAACUUUUUCCCUUUUGUAAGUAACCUUUAGAUAAUAACACCCAUUUGUGCAAAUAACAAUCAAAAUUGUUCCCAUUGAGUACAACAAAUGUGAUGGGUGCUAAUUAUUGGUGUAAGCCCUAGAAGUCAAUAUUUUUGGUACUUGUAUCGAAUAAUAAUAAAAAGUUUUUUCUUUAUUAUGUUUGUUUAAUAAAGUCCCUAGAAUAGCUAGUUCAUUUAAUGUAUCAAAUGUGACUUAAUCAUGAAAUCACAUUAAACAUAAGGACAUUGUUCUUAAAGUAUCCGUAGUCGAGCUUUAUUGUGAAGUGGGUUAACAUUAAAGCAUUAAAACUAUUAUGUAUAUAGACUGAUGAUCACAUCUCAUGGAUCAUGGAUAAGGAGUUAUCAAGUCUUAAACAUAGGUAUGAAUAUUAAGAGUAAUAUUUAUAUUGGAUAAUACUAUAUAGAAUGUUAUGAAAAGGUGUCAUAAGUUAUCUUCUCAUGUGACAAUGGGUGUAUACCCCUCCUUCGACCUGAAACCACUAUGGACCCUAGAUGUAGAGUCGAGUGCCUUAUUGCUGAUCAAACAUUGUCCGUAACUGGAUGACCAUAAAGACAGUUGAUGGGUACUCCACGAAGCAUGCUGAGGGACAUGAGUGGCCUAGAUGGAAUUUUGCCAUCCUGCGUAACAUGAUAAAUGUCUAUGGGCCAAAUAUUGAACUGGACAAGGAUGACACGGUCUAUGCCUUGUGUUUAAUAUAGACAUAAGGGCAAAAGGGUAAUUGUACACAUAAGUAUUAUCUUAAAAGGGUUUGUCAUAUCACAUGACAUUUUCGUGUCUUGGGUAGCAGUGAUGUGUUGCUAGAUACCGCUCACUGUUUAUUAUGUUAAAUACGUGAUUUAAUAUAAUUGCUAAUGCCACGAAAACCUACAGGGUCACACACAAAAGGAUGGAUUGAUGAGAUAUAGAGUAACUAAGGAACACCAUAAGGUACGGUGCACUUAAGUGAAUUGUAGAACAUCGUAAGGUACGGUGUACUUAAGUAGAAUACGAAAUAUGGUAAGGUACCACGCGCUUAAGUGAUUUUAUUAAUAAGAUAUGGGGCCACAUACACUUAAUGCGGGCUUUUUAGCUUGCAUCCACACAAGUGUUCUAUAAAUAGGAACCCUGUGCAGAAGCAUUUGGUGCAUUGUUAGAUUCCGUCUCUCUCUCACUCACUCAAAGCCUUCAUUCGUAGCAGCUAGCACUGAGAUUGAAGGAAUAUGUUCGUGUGGACUGAGUAGAGGUGUUGUCACCAUUCAACGUUCAUGAUCGCUCCGUAGAUCUGCAUCAAAGGUUUCAAUCACCACAAGCGGUAACGGUUCUAUCACUGAUCAUGCCCAUCUGUAAGGAUCACUAAAGGAGAAUAUUUUAAAUUCCAUUGCAUUUUGGAUCGCUCUUCUCCUUCACUAAUACCUUUCCCUUGCAUAACCGACUUCCUUACCCAUUUCUCUUCCCUUGGGUUUUAUCGAUAUUUUACAUUUCCUUCGGUAAUAGAUAAAGUUCAGUGGCGACUCUGUUGUAUCUUUGAGCGUGUGAUGAACUCAGGUAUUUUUCACGGCACGACAAUGACUUGUAUCAAUUUUUUGGCGUCAUUAAAGAUGUCACCAGAUGAUAUGGAGAAGACAACCUUUAUCACGCCUUGGGGAACUUACUGCUACAAAGUCAUGCCAUUCGCCUUGAAGAAUGCAGGGGCAACAUAUCAACGUGUCAUGGUAACACUCUUUCACGACAUGAUUCAUGAAGAGAUUGAGGUUUAUGUGGACGCCAUGAUUGCCAAAUCCAGAACUGAGGAAGAUCACUUGGUUAAUCUGAGAAAGUUAUUUGUCAGACUCCGAAAGUUUAAAUUGCGUCUGAAUCCAGCCAAAUGUACUUUUGGAGUCCGAUCAGGUAAACUUCUGGGUUUCAUAGUCAGUCAGAAGGGUAUUGAGGUUGAUCCCGACAAAGUUCGAGCCAUCCAAGAUAUGCCAGCUCCCCGAACAGAAAAGGAAGUCCGAGGUUUCCUUGGGCAACUUAAUUACAUCUCCAGAUUCAUAUCUCACCUGACAGCUACCUGCGAACCGAUUUUCAAGUUGUUGAGAAAGAAUCAAUCGAUUGUGUGGAAUGACGAUUGCCAAGGGGCAUUCGACAAAAUAAAUAAGUACUUACAAGAACCGCCAAUCCUGGUACCACCGGUUCCUGGUAGACCACCCAUCAUGUACCUGACAGUGUUGGAUGAAUCUAUGGGUUGUGUUUUGGGUCAACAUGACGACACAGGCAAGAAAGAACAUGCUAUCUACUAUCUCAGCAAGAAAUUCACUGAAUGUGAGACCCGAUACUCACUUUUAGAGAAGAUUUGUUGUGCCUUGACUUAGGUUGCUCGACGCCUGAGGCAAUAUAUGAUUUGCCACACUACUUUAUUGAUAUCCAAGAUGGAUCCAAUAAAGUACAUAUUUGAAAAGCCUGUUGUUACUGGAAGAAUUUCCCGGUGGCAAAUGCUGCUCACCGAGUAUGAUAUACAGUAUGUGACCCAGAAAGCAAUAAAAGGGAGUAUUUUGUCUGACUAUCUAGCUCACCUGCCUGUUGAUGGCUACCAAUCAUUAAAGUUUGACUUUCCAGAUGAGGACAUCAUGUUUAUCAGAGAUUUUACUAUGCCAAGCUUCAAGGUAAGCCCUGAGGAAGUCCCCGAACCAGGAUCGCGAUGGACGCUCGUGUUCGAUGGUGCUUCCAAUGCCCGAGGUCAUGGUAUAGGUGUUGUUAUCACUUUUCCAACUGGUUUCCACAUCCCCUUUACCGCCAGAUUAUGUUUUGACUGCACCAACAAUAUGGCAGAAUACGAAGCAUGUAUCUACGGUUUAGAGGCGACGAUCGAAUUGAGAAUUAAAAUCCUUGAGGUAUUCGGUGAUUCAGCUCUGGUAAUCAGUCAAGUGAAAGGCGACUCGGAGACUCGAGAUAGCAAGUUGAUACCCUACAAAGAGCAUAUCAGAAAACUGAUCCCUUACUUUGAUGAGAUCUCCUUUCAUCAUAUUUCUAGGGAAGAAAAUCAGUUAGCAGACGCUCUAGCUACACUGGCAUCUAUGUUUAAAGUCAAAUGGAAGAAUGAGGCACCAUCCGUCCAGAUUGACCACUUAGAUGAACCUGCACAUUGUCUAACAAUUGAGGUCGAUCCUGACGAUAAGCCUUGGUUCUAUGACAUAAAGACAUUUCUGGAGAAACGACAGUAUCCUGAGGGUAUAUCCAUUACCGAUAAGAAGGCUCUAAGAAGACUCUCUUCUAAGUUCUUCCUAAACGGUGAUGUGUUGUAUAAGAGGAAUUAUGAUUUUGUACUGCUCAGAUGCGUGGAUAGACACGAAGCUAGUACAAUCAUAAGGUCCAUACACGAAGUCUGCGAGGGUGUACAUGCGAAAGGUCCUGCUAUGGCUAAGAAGAUUCUCCGAGCUGGUUAUUAUUGGACAACAAUGGAGGUUGAUUGCUACAACUUUGUGAAAAGAUGCCAUAAGUGCCAGAUAUAUGGUGAUAAGAUCUUUGUACCACCAACUCCGUUGAAUGUCCUAACUUCUCCAUGGCCCUUUUCUAUGUGGGGCAUCAAUAUGAUUGGGAUGAUCGAACCCAAAGCUUCCAAUGGACAUUGAUUCGUCCUAGUCUCUAUUGGUUACUUCACGAAGUGGGUCGAGGUUGCUUCAUAUGCCAAUGUCACUCGACAAGUGGUUACCCGGUUUAUCAAGAAAGAGAUAAUUUGCCGCUAUGGUAUACCUAGCAAGAUCAUCACUGAUAACGCCAGUAAUCUGAACAAUACUAUGAUGAGGGAGUUGUGCGAAGAAUUUAAGAUUGAGCACCACAAUUCUUCACCAUACCGGCCCAAGAUGAAUAGCACCGUAGAAGCAGCUAACAAGAAUAUCAAGAGAAUCGUCCAGAAGAUGGUCAAGACAUAUAAGGACUGGCAUGAGAUGUUACCUUUCGCCUUGCAUGGUUACAGAACCUCAGUCCGCACAUCCACUGGGGAAACUCCGUACUCUCUGGUUUAUGGGAUGGAGGUUGUCCUACCAAUUGAAGUUGAGAUUCCUUCACUCAGGGUCAUCAUGGAAGCAGAUCUUGAUGAAGUUGAAUGGGUUCAAUCUCGAUAUGACCAACUGAAUCUAAUUGAAGAGAAGCGUUUGACGGCCGUCUGUCAUGGUCAGUUAUACCAAAGGCGUCUCAAACAAGCUUUUGAUAAGAAGGUUCUUCCCCGGUUGUACCACGCUGGAGACCUCGUGCUCAAAAGAUAUUUUGCCAUUCACUCAGACCCGCGAGGCAAAUGGACUCCCAACUACGAGGGACCGUUCAUAGUCAAGAAGGCCUUCUCAGGUGGGUCUCUAAUCCUUACAACAAUGGAUGGGGAAGAUUUUCCUUCGCCAGUGAAUGCAGACAUAGUCAAAAAAUAUUAUGCCUAAAAAGAAAUGAUGAAAAGCCCGUUAGAUCAAUCUCCACAAGGUGAAUAUAAGCAAAAAUGGCUAUCCCGAUGGACCAAAAAAUGAUUCGUCCAUGCAAAAGUUAGGGAAUAUAUUUGAAGCUCGCUAAGUCGAAAACCCGAAAGGGCGACUUAGGCAAAAAAGAGCAUCCCGGUGGACAAAAAGAAUUGAAAGAUCCAGGCAAAAGUUAGGGAUAAAGGCAUUGACUAUGAUUCUUGAGUAUACACGCUACAAGCUAGAUGUCAGAGGGUCAAGGACUGAUCCAGGCACCGUCAGCCGAAGCAAGGCCUUGGGGUUCGGAUUACAUGGUAGAUUAAGGCCAAUGCUGUAAUCAUACAAAAUGUUUCCCAUUGCCAUUUCAAUUAUUUUUCCAAUUUUUUGCAACGUCCUCAUUAAGGGUGUUUGCAUCCUUUGUACUCAAAAUAUGUACAGAUUCCAUAUCAAUAAAGUUCAGUUAUUCCAUCCAAUGUGUUGUUCCAUGUUUUGUAGGCAAAAUAACUGACUUGUCUUAAAUCACAUAAUGCUUUAAAAUUUUGGGGAAUAAUAAAAGGCUACAUUAAAGAGAAAUAAUUUGCAUUACCGUGUUAUCUGAUAAACCUGAUAGGUGAUGGGUGACUCAACAAUAGUGUUGCUUGGAUGCCUGUUACAUCUAAUUGACUGGGGCACCCUGGGGACUUCAGCUGGUCAGUGUUCCUUAGCAAGCAGGGGGUUCCGUGAUGGCAGUGUUGGCACCAAUCGAAACUUCUUGGCGAUCGUGUCCUAAUUCUUGAUGACGAGUCGAGAUCCCAACCAUAAUAAAGACUCAUCCCUACAAAAGCAUGCAUCAUAAAAAAAAAAUAAGCACACCUCAUGCAUUGCAUAAGAUGUAUCCUCCACACUGGUAACAAAGCCAAUCAUUUGGACCGACAAAUUUCGGGCACGUAGGUAUUUAAUCCUCUUCUACCUUGAAUACAUGAAAAGCUUCCGCAAUUCCUGUAUUCAGGUCCAAGAAGAUUAAAUAGGGGCAGCUGUAGUACCCCAAAAUUUGCCCCUAUUUUGCUUUUUCAUCUAAUCCGUAACCUGAGAUCCACCUAACCUCAUUCAUGUCUCACUCAUAUUCAUCAUUCAUUCAAGGUUCUUGUUUCCCAUAGCAGGAUUGGAUUAAAGAUUUUGGUAUCAUGCAUCGUAUGGGUUGCAACCCUGAUUCUUGGUCUUGAGAGUUCUUGCUGUUUGGUUUCUGUGCAUAGACCGGGCUUCUAAAAUCCUAGUUGUGGGCCCAUGAUUUGAGGAGUUGGUGGUGGAGCUUUGCGAUUGGCUUAAAACCCUAAUCAAGGAUAAUUUGUGUUCAAGUGCUUUGGUCAAUUGACCUUGGAUUCGGGAUUCAUCAAAACCCUAAGCGUUGGAAGGUCAGGAAUCACGUGAUCUACUUUGAGGGGGUGAAAACCCUGGUUUAUAACUAUGGCAUCAUCAUCAAUGGCCUAUACACUAAAAAUUGAGAUUUCGUCUGGUUCAUCUGAUCCAUUACGGGUGGUUCAUGUGCUUAGAAAAUCUGUGGUCCUGAUUCAUCGAUUGGGAUUCAUUCAAAGCUUUGCAUGGUCGUGAUAUGUUGCUUGGUUGGUAUGCAUCUGAGUUGAUUCUUAGCAUGGAGUAUUUAAGAGGCACAUAUUCAAUUGUCCAUAAGAAAAUACACACUUUUACUUAAGAUGACUUUUGGUCAACUGUUGUUUUUUUGUCAACCAGUUGACCAGAGUCAAUCGACACUUUUUCCUAAUCUCUAAUUUUCUUUGAUCUAUCAUGAUCGAUCGUGAAACCAAAGUCACUUUCAAACCACAUACCAUGUUCAAUUUAAAUUUUUCAAACAACUUUUCAAACCAUCUUCGCUCAUUACACGAUCGUAAACUAUUUAAUGACCACUUACAAUACUAGUUAUUUCUAAUACAAAACUAUUCUAUAACCAAUUUCCAUUAUAACCUUUCGUCCCAUCCAUGACCAUUAGACUCAAACCAAAUAUUUCAAACCAAAAAGUUACAAAAUGCACAACAGAAUUCCAAUUCCAAUCAUUCCAUAGAGGUAACACAAAAUUACACCAUUCAUUACAAUCCCAAUCAAAUCCCAAAAUCACACCCAUCCAAUCUCCUUACAAUAGAUCCCAAAUCCCAUUCAGAUUUAAUGAUGAGAAUUACAAAUUCCACUAUCUAAACCACAUAGUACAAGAUUCAUUACACUAAAGACAUAAUGCCAAACUAUGUACAUGUUUAUUUUAGGCCACAUCACCAUAAAAGCCGACAAAUGUAACUCAGUGGCAGCCUAUUCUGAUGCAAAAUUGUUUGAAGACAUCAUGUUAGAAGUUGUAAACAAAAAGUGGACAUCAAGCAAAGUAAGUGUUUGAUUCUAUGAAGCCUGGAAGUCUUGGAAGUGGGACAUCUAACUCUAUAUGGAAGAUAGUGUAGGUGGACUGCAAGAAGGCACAUCAGCAGUUAGACAAGGAUCCAAUGGUGAUUUGGUGUUACCUUCAGAGUGACGGCACCGAGUGGGUUUGUUUCCUAAUCAGGAGGAUCAGUCCCUUUAUGAAUUUCGGUGUCCGGUUCGAGAGACAUUCCAAGCUUUCAGUAUCAUUUUCCAGUGGCAGUGAGUCGUGUCGCGACAUUCCCGCGCCAGCAUCCUCAGACCGAAUCAGUACAAGCAUACAUGCAACAAUCCGCCAGCAACCAAACCUGCAGUGGUAAUCCGUCGACCCUAACAUCAAACCUUGUUGUUCCGACCCCGUAGACCAUGGUACAUCAUAACCCGAUUGCGCCAACUGUUCCAUUCCCUUGCGUUCAAACUCUCCCUGUAAUGCCAUUAUUGUUCAUGUGAUGAUUUCGAGCCCCAUGCUUCCCCUCAAAUGCCCGCAUCAUACCAACAACAGCCUUGCAUAAACCUGCAACAUCCAACAAGCCAUCAUCAAAUUACAAACAACAACAUCUUGCCUAUGAAGUAGUCCUGCAUAAACCCUAUACUAGCAGGCCAAUAACGACGACGUGAUAACCUGCAAAACCAUUUGUCGAAACUAAACCUCACAAGGAAGGGCUUUGCAUCACUUGCCACGAUCCUUCAACAACAGCUGUACGACAUCAAAUAACUAGAAACAAAGCAUGAACUCUCACUUCCCGCUACCUGCUCCCUCGCUGGACUUCCGUUUCCCUCCCUCGUCGGUCAAUGAUCCCAAUCUCGAUAACAAGAGUCAACCAAGUUGAUGUUGCAAGAGUGGACAUUGAAAUGUCAGCCAUGUUAAAAGAUUAGUUGGUCAAAGUAUUUACCUUAACGAAGUCAGGAAUGCUAUUUCAGUAUGAAGCUGAGCUUGAUGCUUUCCUUGAGUUCCUUAUCUGGAGAUUCUCAAUUGGAGUGGAUAAACCAACUCAUGGCAUUGCUCUUAUGAAUUGGAGGUAGUGAGAUGAACGUGCAGUUGAAUUAAGGGAUGAAGUGAGAACCGGUCUGGAGGAACCUGAAAUCAUUGUCGCUCAGAAGUUUUGGUGUUGUAUUGCCAUUGUUAGUGGUCAGUGUAUUUGGGCUCGCCUAUAAUUAUUCCCAGAAUUUUGUAGGUGGAGUGAUACUGAGCGGAGAACGUCAGCACGACGCUUACGGGUCUUGGUGCAGAGAAUAGAAAGGUUUAUCUGAGUUGCGGUACCUCAUGGCCAUGUACAAAACACUAAUAGUAGAACAUGCAGAAACAAGGCUUGGUGUUUGACAAAACGCAGCAACAAAAUGCAGCAGGAUCCACUUGUUAUUUCAUGAUGAUAAACAACGAGGUCGACAACCAGCAGUGAUGCUGAAGCAGCAGAUCCUACAACGGCUUCUGCCCUGCUGACCACUCCAUAACUGCAGUGAAAAUGGAAAAUACUGACAACUGCAUGGUCAGCAAGUUCCAUAUUUUCUACCUGACUUCUCAACUGCAAAUCUUCCACUGCAUGGCUCAACCUACUCUUGAUACUCUAUUGUGUUUGAUUUCUUCUAGGAAAUCUCCUACUUCCUUCUUGUAUUGGAACUUCGCCACUCUCUGAAUUACUCCCAAAGGACUGUGAUUCCUCCAGACUGUGCUUUGCAUUCAUCCCUUGCUUAUCUUUCCACAAAGAAGCCAAGUUAGAGAAGCAACUAAAAUGAGAGUUGUAAGGGUCGAAAAUGAGUAUGACAGAAAUCUUGGCAUUAAAUUUACAAGAUAAACAUGAAGAUGGUCCUACGAAUUCCGUUAAGGUAAUUAUUGGUGCUGAAGAUGACACAUCUGAACAACUUCUAACGGCCUCGGCUAAACCUGUAAAAUGCAACAAAAUUUCAACCAAAGCCAGCAAUUCUUAACAGAUUGUUUCACCAAUUAAACAAAAGACCAACAACAUAACAAACUCACGGCAAUUCACGACACAAUUCACCACAAACAAUAAAAAUUAUCACUUUCAUUUGCCAAUGGUGAGUUGGAUGUUGUUGAAGCUAUGGUUGAUGAUGUUAUGAACGUGUUGGAUAGAACUAUUGGUUUAGCUAGUUUAUCUCCUCUUCAUGGUCGGAUCGAGGUACUUUCCAUGUUGUUGGAGUAGAAUGGUAAAGUUGAUGUCUUGAAUCGUCACAAACAGACAUCAUUAAUGUUGGUUGUGAUGCAUGGAAAGACCGGUUGCAUGGAAAAGCUUAUUCAAGCUGGAGCUAAUAUAUUGAUGUUUGAUUCUAUUUGUCGAAGAACUUGCUUGAACUAUGCUGCGUGUUGUGGCCAUGUAGAUUGCCUAAAGGCUAUUCGUUCAGCUGCUCAUUCCACGCCUGUUGCAGAUUCUUGGGGAUUUGCCAGAUUUGUGAAUAUAAAAUAUGGAAAUAGUGCUAUACCACUGCAUCUUGUUGCUCGCCAUAGACAACUUGAAUGUCUUCAUUCCAUUUUAGCCUCGGGUUUGUUCCUGAAAAUUCAAGCAAAGCCGAGAGUUAACUUUAGAGAACUCUGCACCAUACCAGUCUACACUACCAUGACCAUAUGUACACGACCCAACUGAAUUGACCGUAACGAAAUGCAAUAACAAUCUCACAACAAAUUAACAUCACCAGUCCAUUACAACCAACGGUUUUCACUUAAAAACCAUAACAGAAAGCAAAAAAAAAAACAUAACAUAAUAGUCAAUUAACAGGUUUUCUUAGUAGAUUAACAAACCUUAUUGAUGGAAUCUCUCCGCCACACCGGUUUUCAGUUGAACAAGACUUCCAACAAACCCGAAGCAAUUUUUCAGUUAAUCCAAUCGGGCAUUAACAACUUCCUCUCCGACACCGGAGCAAGUCACAAAAGGUUUAUGGCUAGCCUCCGCCGAUGGCCAAGGGUGCAGUGAAGUUAUGGUAGAAGCAACUCGUUGCCUUGUGUCUGGAAGAUGGAAUGCUUGACUCGGUUUCACAUAGCUUCACAGGGUCCAAGCAACACCUGCAUAAGCUAACUAUCAUUAGCAAUCUUUAAUCUAACAUCUAACUUGAUAUAGUAGAACCCAGUUUGAUUCACAGCUAACGUACUCAUUUGUUUCCACACACCAAAGCCUUUCAUAAGUCCAAGCCUAAGUCCCUAACCUGCAACAUAAACAACAAGUCAUUAAAAACCCUUCCAAUGUGACAUUAAUCUAACAGUAACCUGCAGCAGCCAUUCAAGUUCCCACUCACUCACAAACCAACAUCUACACACAUAACUAACUGAGUUUCCCUAAUAUAACUAACUGAGUUUUUCCAUUUAACUCAAUGAGUUGAGUUUAACUAACUCCAAGCCACUCUUAACUAAUUCGUAACCUCAAUCCGAAGCUAGCAAGUCCCGAACCUCAACUCUAUUUAAGGGCUUAAUCACUCACAUUUUGAGCCCUUGGCAUUUUUUGGCAUAAACCUGCACUCUCUCUCUCUCUCUUGCAACCUUUUCCCUCACCCUCACCAGAGCUCUUUUUCUCUUUCAAAGAAGCCAUUGAAGCUUCACAUCAAAGCUUCAAUUCUACUUGAGCUAAGCCUCCUCAGUCUCUUUUCAUCGCUCGCGAAUUCAUAAGAAGAAGAAAGAAGAAGAGGAAAUUGCAGAAAGCACAUAGAGAAACUCACUUGUGAGUGACAUCAACGACACCGAAACCUCCGCGGCGCUUCAUUCCGGUAAGUUACUUCGAUUUAUCAUAACUCAUGGCGUCAUGUUUUCAUUUCAUUGCUUUUGAGAAUUGCUAGCCUCGUUUCCAUGUUGUUCUUGAUAUCGGUUUAAGUUUUGGCCUUAAGUCCAUUUUGUUGACGUGAAAGGAGCGGAAUUAGGGCUUGAAUCUUCCAACUACAAUUCCUCUGACCUAUUCAUGAUUUCGUGCUCUUCCAUUUUUGUUAGAAUUCUUUAAUCCCUUUCGGCUUUGUCACCAUCUUCUAAUCUUCUUCAUUUUCGUAACUAUGCAAAACCUUCAAGAAACUUCAAUCUCCUAUCUUCUUCGUCACCUUCCUCUCCCCAAAAACUUCACACAUCUUCAUCGCCUACCUCGCUUCAACAACCAUCGCAAGCGCACACGAGCAAGGCUUCGUAUCAAUCUCAAUACGCCGUCGCACGCGACAAAGGAGCAGCGCCAACAUCCUUCAUCUUAAAACAACAAAAACGUCGCGAACUGAAGUGUGAUAAGCAAAUAAGAGGAUCGAAAUGCAAUCGACGUCAAUUUCGUUUUCGAAUUUAAGGGAGAAAACCGAAUUCGUUCAUCUUCUUCAAAUUUUGGGUUGUUCGCGCAAGAUCGAAGCGAUUCCGAAUUUCUUGCACCGUGUUUGUUGUCUCAGUGCCGAUUUGAGAUCGAAUGAGGAAGAUGUAGUUUUGCUUUUGUUGCCAUUGAGUUUUAAAUUUGGGUGUGUGGUUUGGCAGGGUUCAUGUUGAGCGUCAGAUCGGAGUGAGGUUUUUAUUUGAAGAAGCACUAGAUUAGAGUCGUGGGGAGGACGAUGUCAACUUCCGGUAAGGUGCAUCUCACUCCGUUCAUGGAAUUUAGGUGGAGAAUUUUGACUGACCAGUUCUUGGAGAUUACGUAGGGAUCUUGAAACCCGGACGAAUUCUUAGUGAGGCUUGGGCCUUUGGCCCAAAGAAACUAGCCUUUGCUUGUUUCACCCCUAUUCAAAAUUCACCCCUGGCCCAGUACUCAUGUCCACCAUUAAAUUUCUUAGUUAAUUCACUAAUCAUAGUUAAUUUUUGUUGAUUAACUUUGUUUUUCUGAUUAGAAUUUACAUCAUUUUUUAUCUCGGUAGGAAAUAGGAUUUUCUUGGACUUAGUUAAUUCACUAAUCAUAGUUAAUUUUUGUUGAUUAACUUUGUUUUUCUGAUUAGAAUUUACAUCAUUUUUUAUCUCGGUAGGAAAUAGGAUUUUCUUGGCUUUAUUGUCAAUUGGGCGUUAAUAUAGAAUCGUUUGUUUAAAUAGGUUUAAUUAGAUAUUAAUGUGAUUUAGUUGGAUUAGAAAUUAGGUUAAUCAUAAUGAUUUUGAUCCUUAGGGUUUGAAUGCAAUCAUUGUAGGACUUAACAUAGAAUUUUAGUCAUGAUUUUAAUCAAUAUUUUGACAUGCUCCCUUAGGACUUCUAACAUAGAUUUUUGAUCAAUUUAAUCGGGGGUUUUGUUUUAGUUUUGAAGGGAACUAAUUUUUGGGUCUAAUUGAAGUUAGUCAUUGUUAGAACUAACCUAAGGGAUCAUGUAUUGAAAUUGAUUAAAAUUCUAUGUUAGAAGUCCUAAGGGAGCAGGUCAAAAUAUUGAUUAAAAUCAUGACUAAAAUUCUAUGUUAAGUCCUACAAUUAUUGCAUUCUAACCCUAAGGAUCAAAAUCAUUAUGAUUAACCUAGUUUCUAAUCCAACUAAAUCACAUUAAUAUCUAAUUAAACCUAUUUAAACAAACGAUUCUAUGUUAAUGCCCAAUUGACAAUAAAGCCAAGAAAAUCCUAUUUCCUACCUAGAUAAAAAAUGAUGUAAAUUCUAAUAAGAAAAACAAAGUUAAUCAACAAAAAUUAACUAUGAUUAGUGAAUUAACUAAGAACUUUAAUGGUGGACAUGAGUAUUGGGCCAGGGGUGAAUUUUGAAUAGGGGUGAAACAAGCAAAGGCUAGUUUGUUCGGGCCAAAGGCCUAAGCCUCACUAAGAAUUCAUCCGGGUUUCAAGAUCCCUACGAAAUCUCCAAGAAAUGGUCAGUCGAAAUUCUCCACCGAAAUUCCAUGAACGGAGUGAGAUGCACCUCACCGGAAGCUGACAUCGUCCUCCCCACGACUCUAAGUCAGUGUUUCUUCAAAUCAAAACCUCACUCUGAUCUGACGCUCGCCGAUCCACACACCCAAAUUUAAAACUCAAUGGCAACAAAAGCAAAACUACAUCUUCCUCAUUCGAUCUCAAAUCGGCACUGAAACAACAAACACGGCGCAAGAAAUUCGGAAUCGCUUCGAUCUUGCGCGAACAACCCAAAAUUUGACGAAGAUGAACGAAUUCGGUUUUCUCCCUUCAAUUCGAAAACGAAAUUGACGUCGAUUGCGUUUCGAUCCUCUUCUUUGCUUAUCACACUUCAGUUUGCGACGUUGUUGUUGUUUUAAGAUGAAGGAUGUUGGCACUGCCACUUUGUCGUGUGCGACGGCGUAUUGAGAUUGAUAUGAAGCCUUGCUCGUGUGCGCUUGCGAUGGUUGUUGAAGCGAGGCAGGCGAUGAAGAUGUGUGAAGAUUUUGUGGAGAGGAAGGUGACGAAGAAGAUAGGAGAUUGAAGUUUCUUGAAGGUUUUGCAUAGUUGCAAAAAUGGAGAAGAUUAGAAGAUGGUGACAAAGCCGAAAGGGAUUAAAUCAUUCUAACAAAAAUGGAAGAGCAUGGAAUCAUGAACAUAUCGGAGGAAUUGUAGUUGGAAGGUUCAAGCCCUAAUUCCGCUCCCUUCACGUCAACAAAAUGGACUCAAGGCCAAAACUUCAACCGAUAUCAAGAACAACAUGGAAACGAGGCUAACAAUUCACACUAGCAAUGGAAUGAAAACAUGACGCCAUUAGUUAUGAUAAAUCGAAGUAACUUACCAGAAUGAAGCACCGCAGAGGUUCCGGUGUCGUCGAUGUCGCUCACAGGUGAGUUUCUCUAUGUGCUUUCUGCAAUUUCCUCUUCUUCUUUCUUCCUCUUCUGAAUUCACGAGCGAUGAAAAGAGACUGAGGAGGCUUAGCUCAAGCAGAAUUGAAGCUUCGAUGUGAAGCUUCAAUGGCUUUUUUGAAAGAGAAAAAGAGCUCUGGUGAGGGUGAGGGAAAAGGUUGCAAGAGAGAGAGAGAGUGCAGGUUUAUGCCAAAAAAUGCCAAGGGCUCAAAAUGUGAGUGAUCAAGCCCUUAAAUAGAGUUGAGGUUCGGGACUUGCUAGCUUCGGAUUGAGGUUAGGAAUUAGUUGAGGGUGGCUUGGAGUUAGUUAAACUCAACUCACUGAGUUAAAUGGAAAAACUCAGUUAGUUAUAUUAGGGAAACUCAGUUAGUUAUGUGUGUAGAUGUUGGUUAGUGAGUGAGUGGGAACUUGACUGGCUGUUGCAGGUUACUGUUAGAUUAAUGUCACAUUGGAAGGGUUUUUAAUGACUUGUUGUUUAUGUUGCAGGUUAGGAACUUUGGCUUGGACUUAUGAAAGGCUUUGGUGUGUGGAAACAAAUGAGUACGUUAGCUGUGAAUCGAACUGGAUUCUGCUAUAUCAUUUUAGAUGUUAGAUCAAAGAUUGCUAAUGAUAGUUAGCUUAUGCAGGUGUUGCUUGGACCCUGUGAAGCUAUGCGAAACCGAGUCAAGCAUUCCAUCUUCCAAACACAAGGCAACGUGUCGCUUCUACCAUAACUUCACUGCACCCUUGGCCAUCGGCGGAGGCUAGCCAUAAACCUUUUGUGACUUGCUCCGGUGUCGGAGAGGAAGUUGUUAAUGCCCGCUUGGAUUAACUGAAAAACUACUUCGGGUUUGUUGGAAGUCUUGUUCAACCGAAAACCGGUGUGGCGGAGAGAUUCCAUCAAUGAGGUUUGUUAAUCUACUAAGAAAACCUAUUUAAUGACUAUUAUGUUAUGGUUUUUUUUGCUUUCUGUUAUGGUUUUUAAGUGAAAACCGUUGGUUGUAAUGGACUGGUGAUGUUAAUUUGUUGGGAGAUUGUUAUUGCAUUCCGUUAUGGUCAAUUCAGUUGGGUCGUGUACAUGUGGUCAUGGUAGUGCAGACUGGUAUGGUGCAGAGUUCUCUAAAGUUAACUCUCGGCUUUGCUUGAAUUUUCAGGAACAACCCCGAGGCUAAAAUGGAAUGAAGACAUUCAAGCUGUCUAUGGAGAGCAACAAGAUGCAGUGACGUAGCACCAUUUCCACAUUUUAUAUUCACAAAUCUGGCAAAUCCCCAAGAAUCUGCUACAGGCGUGGAAUGAGCAGCUGAACGAAUAGCCUUUAGGAAAUCUACAUGGCCACAACAUGCAACAUAGUUCAAGCAAGUUCUUUGACAAAUAGAAUCAAACAUCAAUAUAUUAGCUCCAGCUUGAAUAAGCUUUUCCAUGCAACCGUUCUUUCCAUGCAUCACAUCCAACUUUAAUGACGUCUGUUUGUGACGAUUCAAGACAUCAACUUUACCAUUCUGCUCCAACAACAUGGAAAGCACCUCGAUCCGACCAUGAAGAGGAGGCAAACUAGCUAAACCAAUAGUUCUAUCCAACACGUUCAUAAGAUCAUCAACCAUAGCUUCAACAACAUCCAAAACCAUUGGCAAACAAAAGUGAUAAUUUUUAUUGUUUGUGGUAAAUUGUGUCAUGAAUUGCCGUGAAUUUGUUAUGUUGUUGGUCUUUUGUUCAGUUGGUGAAACAAUCUGUUGAAAAUUGUUGGCUUUGGUUGAAAUUCUGUUGCAUUUUGCAGGUUUAGCCGAGGCCAUUAGAAGUUGUUUAGAUGUGUCGUCUUCAACACCAACAAUUACCUUAACGGAAUUCGUAGGACCAUCUUCAUUUCCAUCUUGUAAAUUCAAUGCCAAGAUUUCUGUCAUACUCAUUUUCGACCCUUACAGCUCUCAUUUUAGUUGCUUCUCUAACUUGGCUUCUUUGUGGAAAGAUAAGCAAGGGGUGAAUGCAAAGCACGGUCUGGAGGAAUCACAGUCCUUUGGGAGUAAUUCAGAGAGUGGCGAAGUUCCAAUAUAAGAAGGAAGUGGGAGAUUUCCUAGAAGCAAUCAAACACAAUAGAGUAUCAAGAGUAGGUUGAGCCAUGCAGUGGAAGAUUUGCAGCUAAGAAGUCAGGUAGAAAAUAUGGAACUUGAUGACCAUGCAGUUGUCAGUAUUUUCCAUUUUCAAUGCAGUUAUGGAGUGGUCAGCAGGGCAGAAGCCGUUGUAGGAUCUGCUGCUGAAGCAUCACUGCUGGUUGCCAACCUCGUUGUUUAUCAUCAUGAAAUUGCAGGUGGAUCCUGCUGUAUUUUGUUGCUGCGUUUUGUCAAACACCAAGCCUUGUUUCUGCAUGUUCUAUUAUUAGUGUUUUGUACAUGUCCAUGAGGUACCACAACUCAGACAAUCCCUUCUAUUCUCUGCACCAAGACCCGUAAUCGUCGUGCUGACGUUCUUCGCUCAGUAUCACUCCACCUACAAAAUUCUGGGAAUAAUUAUAGGCGAGCCUAAAUACACUGACCACCAACAACGGAAAUACAACACCAAAACUUCUAAGCGACAAUGAUUUCAGGUUCCUCCAGACCAGUUCUCACUUCAGCCCUUAAUUCAACUGCACGUUCAUCUCUCUACCUUCAAUUCAUAAAAGCAAUGCCAUGAGUUGGUUUAUCCACUCCAAUUGAGAAUCUCCCGAUAAAGAACUCAAGGAAAGCAUCAAGCUCAGCUUCAUACUGAAAUAGCAUUCCUGGCUUCGUUAAGGUAAAUACUUUUACCAACUAAUCUUUCAACAUGGCUGACAUUUCAAUGUCCACUCUAGCAGCAUCAACUUGGUUGACUCUUGUUAUCGAGAUUGGGAUCAUUGAUCGGAGAGGGAGGGAAACAGACGUCCAACGAGAGAACAGGUAGCGGGAAGUGAGAGUUCAUGCUUUGUUUCUGGUUAUUUGAUGUCGCGCAACUGCUGUUGAAGGAUUGUGGCAAGUGAUGCAGAGCCCUUCCUUGUGAGGUUUAGUUUCGACAAAUGGUUUUGCAGGUUAUCACGUCAUCGUUAUUGGCCUGCUAGUAUAGGGUUUAUGCAGGACUACUUCAUAGGCAAGAUGUUGUUGUUUGUAAUUUGAUGAUGGCUUAUUGGAUGUUACAGGUUUAUGCAAGGUUGUUGUUGGUAUGAUGCGGGCAUUUGAGGGGAAGCAUGGGGCUUGAAAUCAUCACAUGAGCAAUAAUGGCAUUACAGGGAGAGCUUGAACGCAAGGGAAUGGAACAGUUGGCGCAGUCGGGUUAUGAUGUACCAUGGUCUGCGGGGCCGGAACAACAAGGUUUGAUGUUAGGGUCGACAGAAUACCGCUGCAGGUUUGGCUGCUAGCGGAUUGUUGCAAGUCUGCUUGUACGGAUUUGGUCUAAGGAUGCUGGCGCGGGAAUGUCGCGACACGACUCACUGCCGCUGGAAAAUGAUAGUGAAGGCUUGGAGUGUCUCUCAAACCGGACACCGAAAUUCAUAAAGGGACUGAUUCUCCUGAUUAGAAAACAAACCCACUCGGUGCCGUCACUCAGGAGGUAACACCAAGUCACCAUUGGAUCCUCGUCUAACUGCUGAUGUGCCUUGUUGCAGUCCACCUGCACUAUCUUCCAUAUAGAGUUAGAUGUCCCACUUGCAAGACUUCCAGGCUUCACAGAAUCAAACGCUUACUUUGCUUGAUGUCCACUUUUUGUUUACAACUUAUAACAUGGUGUCUUCAAACAAUUUUGCAUCGGAAUAGGCUGCCACUGAUUUAUAAUUGUCGACUUUUGUGGUGAUGUGGCCUAAAAUAAACAUGUACAUAGUUUUGCAUUAUGUCUUUAGUGUAAUGAAUCUUGUACUAUGUGGUUUAGAUAGUGGAAUUUUUUAAUUCUUAUCAUUAAAUCUGAAUGGGAUUUGGGAUCUGUUGUAAGGAGAUUGGAUGGGUGUGAUUUUGGGAUUUGAUUGGGAUUGUAAUGAAUGGUGUAAUUUUGUGUUACCUCUAUGGAAUGAUUGGAAUUGGAAUUCUGUUGUGCAUUUUGUAACUUUUUGGUUUGAAAUAUUUGGUUUGAGUCUAAUGGUCAUGGAUGGGAUGAAAGGCUAUAAUGGAAAUUGGUUAUAGAAUAGUUUUGUAUUAGAAAUAACUAGUAUUGUAAGUGGUCAUUGAAUAGUUUACGAUCGUGUAAUGAGCGAAUAUGGUUUGAAAAGUUGUUUGAAAAAUUUAAACUGAACAUGGUAUGUGGUUUGAAAGUGACUUUGGUUUCACGAUUGAUCAUGAUAGAUCAAAGAAAAUUAAAGAUUAGGAAAAAGUGUCGAUUGACUCUGGUCAACUGGUUAACAAAAAAACAACAGUUGACCAAAAGUCACCUUAAGUAAAAGUGUGUAUUUUCUUAUGGAUAGUUGAAUAUGUGCCUCUUAAAUACUCCAUGCUAAGAAUAAACUCAGAUGCAUACCAACCAAUCAGCAUAUCACGGCCAUGUAAAGCUUUGAAUGAAUCCCAAUCGAUGAAUCAGGACCAUGGAUUUUCUAAGCACAGGAACCAUCCGUAAUGGAUCAGAUGAACCAGACGAAAUCUCAAUUUUUAGUGUAUAUCCCAUGAUGCUGAUGCCAUAGUUAUAAACCAGGGUUUUCACCCCCCUCAAAGUAGAUCACGUGAUUCCUGACCUUCUAACGCUUAGGGUUUUGAUGAAUCCCGAAUCCAAGGUCAAUUGAGCAAAGCACUUGAACACAAAUUAUCCCUGAUUAGGGUUUUAAGCCAAUCACAAAGCUCCACCAACAACUCCUCAAAUCAUGGGCCCACAACUAGGAUUUUAGAAGCCCGAUCUAUGCACAAAAACCAAACAACAAGAACUCUCAAGACCAAGAAUCAGGGUUGCAACCCACACGAUGCGCGAUACUAAAAUCUUUAAUCCAAUCCUGCUAUGGGAAACAAGAACCUUGAAUCUAUGAUGUUUGUUAGUCGAAGUUAACCAUGAAUGAAUGAUGAAUAUGAGUGAGACAUGAAUGAGGUUAGGUGGAUCUCAGGUUACGGAUUAGAUGAAAAAGCAAAAUGGGGGCAAAUUUUGGGGUACUACAGUUGCCCCUAUUUAAUUUUCUUGGACCUUAAUACAGGAAUUGCGGAAGCUUUUCAUGUAUUCAAGGUAGAAGAGGAUUAAAUACCUACGUGCCCGAAAUUCGUCGGUCCAAAUGAUUGACUUUGUUACCAGUGGGGAGGAUACGUCUUAUGCAAUGCAUGAGGUAUGCUUUUUUUUAUGAUGCAUGCUUUUGCAGGGAUGAGUCUUUAUUAUGGUCGGGAUUUCGACUCAUCGUCAAGAAUUAGGACACGAUCACCAAGAAGUUUCGAUUGGUGCAAACACUACCAUCACGGAACCCCCUGCUUGCUAAGGAACACUGACCAGCUGGAGUCCCCAGGGUGCCCCAGUCAAUUGGAUGUAACAGGCAUCCAAGCAACACUAUUGUUGAGUCACCCAUCACCUAUCAGGUUUAUCGGAUUUCAACGGUAAUGCAAAUUAUUUCUCUUUAAUGUAGCCUUUUAUUAUUCCCCAAAAUUUUAAAGCAUUAUAUGAUUUAAGACAAGUCAGUUAUUUUGCAUACAAAACAUUGAACAACACAUUGGAUGGAAUAACUGAACUUUAUUGAGGAUUAGAGACCCACCUGAGAAGGCCUUCUUGACUACGAACGGUCCCUCAUAGUUGGGAGUCCAUUUGCCUCACGGGUCCGAGUGAAUGGCAGAAUAUCUUUUGAGCACGAGGUCUCCAGCGUGGUACGACCGGGGAAGAACCUUCUUAUCAAAAGCUUGUUUGAGACGCCUUUGGUAUAACUGACCAUGACAGACGGGCGUCUAACGCUUCUCUUCAAUUAGAUUCAGUUGGUCAUAUCGAGAUUGAACCCAUUCAGCUUCAUCAAGAUCUGCUUCUAUGAUGACUCUGAGUGAAGGAAUCUCAACUUCGAUUGGUAGAUCAACCUCCAUCCCAUAAACCAGAGAGUAUGGAGUUGCCCCAGUGGAUGUGCGGACUGAGGUUUUGUAACCAUGCAAGGCGAAAGGUAACAUCUCAUGCCAGUCCUUAUAUGUCUUGACCAUCUUCUGGACGAUUCUCUUGAUAUUCUUGUUAGCUGCUUCUACGACGCCAUUCAUCUUGGGCCGGUAUGGUGAAGAGUUGUGGUGCUCGAUCUUAAAUUCUUCUCAUAACUCCCUCAUCAUAGUAUUGUUCAGAUUACUGGUGUUAUCAAUGAUGAUCUUGCUAGGUAUCCCUUAGCGGCAGAUUAUCUUUUUCUUGAUAAACCGGGUAACCACUUGUCGAGUGAGAUUGGCAUAUGAAGCAGCCUCGACCCACUUCAUGAAGUAAUCAAUAGCGACUAGGAUGAAUCGAUGUCCAUUGGAAGCUUUAAGUUCGGUCAUCCCAAUCAUAUUUAUGCCCCACAUAGAAAAGGGCCAUGGAGAAGUUAGGACAUUCAACGGAGUUGGUGGUACAAAGAUCUUAUCACCAUAUAUCUGGCACUUAUGGCAUUUUUUCACAAAGUUGUAGCAAUCAACCUCCAUUGUUGUCCAAUAAUAACCAACUCGGAGAAUCUUCUUAGCCAUAGCAGGACCUUUCGUAUGUACACCCUCACAACCUUCGUGUAUGGACCUUAUGAUUGUACUAGCUUCGUGUCUAUCCACGCAUCUGAGCAGUACAGAAUCAUAAUUCCUCUUAUACAACACAUCACCAUUUAGGAAGAACUUAGAAGAGAGUCUUCUUAGAUCCUUCUUAUCGAUAAUGGAUAUACCCUCAGGGUACUGUCGUUUCUCCAGAAAUGUCUUUAUGUCAUAGAACUAAGGCUUAUCGUCAGGAUCAACCUCAAUUGCUAGACAAUGUGCAGGUUCAUCUAAGUGGUCAAUCUGGACGGAUGGUGCCUCAUUCUUCCAUUUGACUUUAAACAUAGAUGCCAGCGUAGCUAAAGCAUCUACUAACUGAUUUUCUUCCCUAGAAAUAUGAUGAAAGGAGAUCUCAUCAAAGUAAGGGAUCAGUUUUCUGAUAUGCUCUUUGUAGGGUAUCAACUUGCUAUCUCGAGUCUCCCAAUCGCCUUUCACUUGACUGAUUACUAGAGCUGAAUCACCGAAUACCUCAAGGAUUUUAAUUCUCAAGUCGACCGCCGCCUCUAAACCGUAGAUACAUGCUUCGUAUUCUGCCAUAUUGUUGGUGCAGUCAAAACAUAAUCUGGCGGUAAAGGGGAUGUGGAAACCAGUUGGAGAAGUGAUAAUAACACCUAUACCAUGACCUCGGGCAUUGGAAGCACCAUCGAACACGAGCGUCCAUCGCGAUCCUGGUUCGAGGCUUACCUCGAAGCCUGGCAUAGUAAAACCUCUGAUAAACACGAUGUCCUCAUCUGGAAAGUCAAACUUUAAUGAUUGGUAGCCUUCAACAGGCAGGUGAGCUAGAUAGUCAGACAUAAUACUCCCUUUUAUUGCUUUCUGGGUCACAUAUUGUAUAUCAUACUCGGUGAGCAGCAUUUGCCACCGGGCAAUUCUUCCAGUAACAACAGGUUUUUCAAAUAAGUACUUUAUUGGAUCCAUCUUGGAUAUCAAUAAAUUAGUGUGGCAAAUCAUAUAUUGCCUCAGGCGUCGAGCAACCCAAGUCAAGGCACAACAAGUCUUCUCUAAAAGUGAGUAUCGGGUCUCACAUUCAGUGAAUUUCUUGUUGAGAUAGUAGAUAGCAUGUUCUUUCUUUCCUGUGUCGUCAUGUUGACCCAAAACACAACCCAUAGAUUCAUCCAACACUGUCAGGUACAUGAUGAGUGGUCUACCAGGAACCGGUGGUACCAGGAUUGGUGGUUCUUGUAAGUACUUCUUUAUUUUGUCGAAUGCCCAUUGGCAAUCGUCAUUCCACAUAAUCGAUUGAUUCUUUCUCAACAACUUGAAAAUCGGUUCGCAGGUAGCUGUCAGGUGAGAUAUGAAUCUGGAGAUGUAAUUAACUCGCCCAAGGAAACCUUGGACUUCCUUUUCUGUUCGGGGAGCUGGCAUAUCUUGGAUGGCUCAAACUUUGUCGGGAUCAACCUCAAUACCCUUCUGACUGACUAUGAAACCCAGAAGUUUAUCUGAUCGGACUCCAAAAGUACAUUUGGCUGGAUUCAGACGCAGUUUAAACUUUCAGAGUCUGACAAAUAACUUUCUCAGAUUGACCAAGUGAUCUUCCUAAGUUAUGGAUUUGGCAAUCAUGUCGUCCACGUAAACCUCAAUCUCUUCAUGAAUCAUGUCGUGAAAGAGUGUUACCAUGGCAUGUUGAUAUGUUGCCCUUGCAUUCUUCAAGCCGAAUGACAUGACUUUGUAGCAGUAAGUUCCCUCAGGCGUGAUAAAGGUUGUCUUCUCCAUAUCAUCUGGUGACAUCUUUAUCUGAUUGUACCCGGAGAACCCAUCCAUGAAAGAAAAGACAGAGAAUUGAGAUGUGUUGUCAACCAAAACAUCAACAUGAGGCAAAGGGAAGUCAUCCUUUGGAUUGGCUCUAUUGAGGUCUCGAUAGUCUACACACAUUCUGACUUUACCAUCUUUCUUAGGAACUGGAACGAUAUUAGCAACCCAUUGCAGAUACUCAGAAAUGGCUAAGAAACCAGCAUCUAGUUGCUUUUUAACCUCUUCCUUGAUCUUGAGUGCCAUAUCGGGUAUGGUCCUUUUGAGCUUCUACUUAACUGGAGGACAUUCAGGCUUGAGUGGUAGAUGAUGUUCAACAAUGCUGGUGUCUAACCCUGGCAUAUCCUGAUACGACUACGCGAAGACGUCCACAUAUUCACGUAACAGAUCUACCAACUCGGAGUGUACAUGCUUAGCGAGAGAUGCCCCUACUUUCACCUCUUUUUUGUCAGUUUCAGAACCCAAAUUAAUGACAUCCACUGGUUCUUUGUAUGGCUGAAUCUCUUUCUCCUCGUGCUCAAGGAGUCGUGCUAGUUCAGUUGGUAAUUCGCAAUCUUCCUCACUAUCAUCUUCAGCUCGGUUGAUUGGAAGUCCAGAUUCAUAGUUGAUUUUAGCCAUGUUGUAAUCGGUGAUUUUAUUUUCUCUGCAUAUGAUGAGCUUAUUUUAGUAUUCUUUUUAUUUUUGAGAAAAAGUGGAAAAAAGAAAAAGAAAUCUUUUGCCAUUUCGUUGUUUUUAGUGAAAACAAAAAAUAUCUGAAAGAAAAGGAACACGAGUUUUGCAUGCAAAAAAGUACUUUUAUUUAUUCACAUAAUACUUUUAAACAUGGGGGUCCUUACAAGUUGUCCUCUCGUCUCGGGCAAGGACGAGGGACGGAGAAAACAAAAUGCAUUACGUUUUUUCCAAGUACACCAUAGGUAUCACGGUGGCCAUCCAGUUGGGAAGCUUGAAUCCUGGAGGACAUCUGCGAACAAGGCUGGAUGCCCCUGGCUUGCUACCACUGGACUCUUCGAUGACCGCUACGGUAUGCUCAUUUUGAUAGUCGGCGCUGUUGAACUUGACCGGGUUGAAUUGCUUUUUCUUUGGACUCACCUUGCAUGUUGCUGGGUGAUAACCAAUACCAAACUUGUCGCGCUUUUCUGCCACAUUGACGACCUUACCCCAACCAGGAAGAGGGCCUUUCUCCAAUGUCUGCUUGGCACUCUUCGCUGAGGAUAUGAUGGUAGCAGAUGAUUGAUUGUUGUUGGCGGAUGCAGAACUGACAUUUUCAAACUCUAGGCAGUGGAGCAGAACCUCGACGAUCCCCUCAUCUGUUUCGACAUAUCUGAAAGACGAAAGUUCACUGACCAGCAAAUCCUCUUCACCACACAUAAUUACCAGCUUGUCAUCUAUCAAGUACUUCAGCUUCUGAUGCAAAGUAGAAGUGACUGCCCCAGCGACAUGAAUCCACGGUCGACCCAACAAACAACUGUAGGCUGGAUUGAUGUCCAUGACUUGAAAAGUAAUAUCAAACUGGUGUGGUCCAACACAAAUCGGCAAAUCAACCUCCCCAAUUACCUUCGGGAACCAUCGAAAGCUAUGACGAUCAGUGCACUGGUUCUCAUCUCGGGCCCCUUAAACUGUAACUGACUUAAUGUAGAUUUUGGCAAUACAUUAAGCGAGGAUCCAGUAUCAACAAGGACUCAGGAUAAGAGAGAGUCAGUACAUGUGACCGAAAUAUGUAGUGCUUUGUUGUGGGCCUUUCCCUCAGGAGGUAACUCUUCUUCAUUAAAUCCCAGAUACCUACUAGCGAUGAUGUUGGCAACCACGUCGUCAAAUUGAUCGACCGUGAUAUCUUGCAUCACAUGAGCGGUAUUUAGAACUUUCAACAAUGCUUUGCGAUGAGCCUCAAAACUCAAUAGCAAAGACAAAAUGGAUAUUUUAGAAGGCGUCUGAUUCAACUGUUCCACAAUCUUGAAGUCAUUCUUUCUGAUCAAUUUGAGGAAUUCCUGACUUUCCUCAAAGGUGAUACUCUUCUUGUGAUCCUCAGACUGUUCUUUUUCAACCAUCGGCCCUUUCCCUUUGGAUACUUUGGCCUCUGCAACUUUGUCAUUGUCAAUAACUCUCGUCACCACCGGAGCAGCCGUCACGGUCGGAGUGGCGAGUACAGUUGUCUUUGCCUGCGGUGUGGGCGUAGGAGUUGCCUGCUCUUUAAGUGAGACAAUUGUGGGUGCUGUAGACACCAUAGGAAUGUAUUUAGGAGCAAAUACACGGCCACUUCGAGUCAUGCCUCCCUCUCCAGCGAUAUUGAUGAUCUCUGUAUCAGGAAUGCAGAUUUCUUUCCCUCCCAUUUACGAUGUAGUCUCAUAAUUCCAAGGCACUACCUUGGUGUUCUGAUACGGAAAUGGAGUUGGGACGCGGAAAUGGAUCGGCUGAAUCCUCUUGGGAGGAGCUUCAACCUUCUUCUUCCUGUAUACAAUUGUUAUCGGUUCAAUCACUCUACCUCUUCUGCUGCUUGAGCUUUAGAGAAUUGUAUUAAACCUUGGUCCAUUAGUGCCUGCACGCACUCUUUCAACUGCUCGCAACUAUCGGGAUCAAACUCACAUACUGUACAAUCUUCAUGCACCUCUUCUAAAAACCCAAAUUGUUCAAGUUUUUGUAACACAACAAACAUCGGAGUCUUCACCUCUUCAACUUUCAGUACGACCUCAGCAUUUACCUCCUCAAUGACGGCGUUGACUGACGCGCCGCUAUGAUUCGGCAAAGGAUUGGUCUUUACAUUCGGUUUCUUUGGUAUGAUUGCCCCCACAUGAACCAGAUUGAGGACUAAUUCGGAGUACGGCACCGGGAUUUUGUCAAACUGGGGGCGGUUCCCAAAAUUGUUCCCUCGGUUCUAUGCUCGAUAUUGUUGGUUUGGAUUUCUCUGAUUGGAUGUUGAUGUUCGAUUGUCUCUCUGCGGUUGAUAUUGGAAAGGCGGCUGUUGGUAUUGAGUUGCGGCAAUGUACUUGUAUGGAUAAUACGGCAUAGGGGUUGUCGGAACUCAAUGUCGGGGGAGAGCCUUCGCCAUCACAGUGUUUGCUUCCCCCUCCUUCUUCUUCGUGAAGCCCCCAUGCGGUCUUUUGUUGACUGACUGCGACGCGGUCGUGUCCGUUAUUUUCCCCGAUUUCAACCCACUUUCAACACGUUUUCCAAUUGUGACCAUAUCGGCGAAGUUUGUUGAUGAACUGCCAAUCAUUUUCUCAAAGUACAGCCCAUGCAACGUGCCCAUAAAUAUGUCAACCAACUCAUUGUCAGGUAGUGUUGGUCGAACCCUAGACGCCAUUUCGCGCCACCGUUGAGCAUACUCUUUGAAGGUUUCAUUAGACCUUUGUGACUAGUUCUGUAGUUGGAGCCUUGUCGGAGCCAUGUCAAGGUUGUAUUUGUAUUGUUUCAAGAAUGCCUCAAAGAGCUCUCUCCAUGAUCGGAUCUUCGAGUGCUCCAAACUCAUAUAGCAAUCCAAGGAAGCCCCAAUCAGGCUGUCUUGGAAGCAAUGAAUCAGGAGGUUGUCGUUAUCAAUAUGCGAAGCCAUCUUCCUGCAGUACAUGGUGGGGUGACUGCGAGGACAGCUAAGACCAUUGUAUUUCGGGAGAUCAGGCACUUUGAACUUCUGGGGUAACACCACGUUCGGGACCAAGCAAAGGUCUCGAGCAUCUAUCCCAAAAGAAGAGAAGCCCUCAAUGGCCCUUAUUCUGUCGUCCAGGAGUUGGUAAUCUGCUGGUCUGGCCAGAUAAACAACAGGAGGAGCGACCUGACUAGCCGGUCGAGAGGCUUCAGGAGCAAUUGGCGCUGACAUGCUCGGAUUGAACCAUAUUGGCGGGUAAGAAAAACCUGUUGUCACAGUCUGAGCAGCAGUGGGGGGUUGAAAGUAUUGCAUCCCAGGUUGAGCAUUGGGAGUCUGAGGUGCCCCUGUCUGCAUAUACUGGGAUGCAGGAGUCAUCAUCAUGGGCACAGGUCCUGCCCCUGGGUAGCCAAAAGGGACGGGGAUCUGGCCAGUGCUCGUAGCUUGAGCAGUCUGGCUGGGCAGUUGGAAGUGGAGGCGCGGGCCUCGAUAGUCUUCAUCAUCAUUGGGGAGGUCGUCAAGGACCUGGCCCUGGUUGUCCUCCGGGUCAACAACAAUGACCGGAGUAGUGUGGAGAGCAGGGAGAACCCAAAGAAAACCAGAGUUUCCUGCAACGGUGGCGAGAGCCGAGUGAGGGAAGAAAGCUCCCCCACUAGUGAGGUUGACAGCAAGGUGAGGAGGCAUUCCCCACAGGUAGGCAGCAGCAAGCCUAGUGGGAUCCGCGGGUACCACCUGGCGGUUCCCAGUGUUGGGCACCAUAGUUUCUGCCGGAGGAUCAACGGUAGUGCCAGCAGUAGCAUCAGAAAUGGUCACCCCAGCAGCACGGGUGACAUUGGCAGCAGCAUAGGCAGGGUUCCUCUGAGAUUGGAAGAGCUCCAGGAUGGUCUCCAUAUUGCCCCUGAAGACAUUCAUCUCUCCUUGCACCUGGGCAAGGGAUUCACGAACAGCAACAUUGUCGGCUUCGUAUUCGGCCAUGAUCUUAGCUUUGCUUGAACGUUUGUAGUACGAGUGACGAGUCGUCGUUGUUGCUGCAGUAAAACGGCGAGUGUAAGCAUUUUGUUUUCUGACAGCUUUAUGCUAUGAAUGUAAUAUAUGCAUGUUUAACAAAUAGAAAAAAUAUUAUUUCUAGGGUGUUAGUGUGCCAGUGUGCAUACAUAGUCAUACAGUGAGCAAGGAUAAGACAACAUAAGCAUUUCAACAAAAUCUCUUUUAUUCAUUUGAAUGACAAACAGUACAAAUUAUUACAACUCGAGGUCAUUUCGAUGCACUAGCAUGAAGAUCAAAUUUGAUCAUUCCCAUAACAACCCUACAUACAGAAACAAAAUGAAAAACAGUCUUCGGGGUGUUCUGAGGAAACAUGUCAGCAUAGGCCUUCUUCAAUAACCCAGGAAGGUCCUCGAGUGAUUGGCUAGCAAAUUCGGCCAAGCGAGCAUGUCUGUCUGUCCAAUACUGGGCAUCUCUGACGAGGUUAUGUAUUAAGGAAAGACUUGGUCCAUUCAAGAUGUCUUGUACGAAUUCUUCCUUCUAGUCUAAGAGAACUUACAAGUGAUGACUCUGAAUUUCCCAUUGGGUAGCUUCCUCUUGCAGCUGCUUCCUUUUCUCCAAGUUUUGAUGGGCAUGGCGAUUCAAGGAUCGUAUCUCUUCAAACCUUUUUGUCAAUGUCACUUUGGAGUUAUGCGAGGGUUGUUUCUAGCUUCUUGGCGCGAUCUUGCUCAUCCUUCAACUCCUUUAGCGAUUUCUCCAAUAGGUCUUGUAGAGAUUUGAUUUGACCUUGGUAGUCAAUCUCUCGCUUGCAGGCACGAUACUGGGCUUCAGCUAACUCUUUCUUCUUGUUCGUAAUGGUCUCAAAAGACCCUUUUAGAGCAUCUCCCACCUUUCUCCUUUUGUUUUGCUCAAUCUGGAUGUCAGUAUCUGCUUUGUUGAACCUUUCCCUCUUUUGACUGAGGCUGGCCUUCAGGGUAUUCUUCUCUGAGGUGACUUUUAUCAGGCUGGAACGAAGACCGGCGUUCUCUUUUUUCAACUUCUUGAUGAUUUCCUUGAGGCGAUCCACUUCAGAAGUGACAGCGACAAAUGGCUUGGGGGCUUUGAUGCACAUGGAAGGUUCCCACGGGUAUGGCAGUUUGAUCAACUUGGCCCUUGACUUCACCCAAUUAGCAUAGGAGGUAGUCACAGUACACAGCUGUUUGCCCAGGUCUUUCUUUCCCACCCGCUGUAUUUUGCCCCACGCUCUACGUACUUUCUUCAUCAGCUCUAGACUCUCAACCCCUUCGGCCAACAACAUCUCUUCCAACAAACGGUCUUCAGGUUUCUCUUUGAGCAAAUAUCCCAAUUGUCGUAAUAAGAGGACAGGAUUAUAGUUUAUCACACCCUCUUUUGUGCUGACAAGAGGAACGUUUGGGAACUCCCUACAUCGGAAUAUGAACUCCAUUCUCAAGUAAUUGAGACUAAACCAGACGACGCCCUCAGCAUCUAAUGACAUCAACCUUUGUGACCAUUUCAGAUCACCCACAUUAUCAACAAACGACCCUUUCUUCAGAAGAUGGGACAUAAUCCAUUUCUGAAGCAAAGGAAUACAGCAAUUGAUGGUUCCCCCUUUCUUCAUAUUUCUCCAAUGGAAGGAGAAGAAUACAUUAGCUAGUAAGGUGGGAACCAGGUUCUGGGAGAUGAAUAUGGUGAUAGCGGUCUUGUCAACGAAACCUUCAACAUUCGGGAAUAACACCAAUCCAUAGAUGAGUAAUGCAAAGCUGGCGUAAAAGGUGUCCCAGCUUCCAUUGCUGGCAAAUAUCACAGCAUUCUCAAAUAAGAAUUUGGACGGUAGGCCCUACGUGUUACCCUUGACUCGGAGCGUAGCCUCAACUAGAUCAUUCUUCAUGCACAAGGCCUAAGUUAUAUCUGCUGAAUCUAGGAAGUCUUCAUCAAUCAUGUAGGGUGCUUGGUUCUUGACUGGCAACUGUAGUAGAUAAGCAAACUCCUCUAGUGUGGGAGCUAGAAGGAAGUCCUGGAAUGUGAAGCAGUGCAAGGUGGGGUCAUAGAACUGUGCAAAAGUAAACAUCAACCUUGAAUCUUCCUUGGUAUUUAAAAUCCCCAACAGAUUGCCAUAGGCUCGCUUGAAGGCUACUCGGUAAUCUUCGGUAAGGCACUCGCUGAGCUUCCUCAACUCGUCAACCUUGGAGUCUCUUAAUUUAUAUUGAUAGGUUUUUCUUCGGUCGGUCUUAUCCAUGGUUGUACUGACACUAGCAACUGGAACAGUAGGUCCCUGAAAAAUGCAAAUGUAACAUGUAAUGGUUAAUGCAAUGAUGUAAUGAUGUUAUGUGAUGCAAAUGAUGACAGGAUGUCACAUAGUCAGAAUUCUGGCAUUCGCUGGAUAGACUGCAUAAUCUGUUUGUUGCAGGUUCAAAAGUUCGACAUAUGCACAAGAACACGAGUAUGAAGAGUCUUAGUUUCCUGCAAGAAAGACCCAUAUCCCCUCACAAGUGUGUGCUAUCUUUAAAGGGUGGUCCUAGAAGGUUCCUAGAGUCAAUGACCCAAUUUGAGAUACCAUUGUCUUGGACGAAUGACUCGUCGGACAAUGAUGCUCCCAAAAGGAUCUACUCUAGGUGUGACGUCUCGUGUCAACCAUAAUCAUGGAAUAACUCUACGGACGUCAAACAUGACUUUAGUCACGUUACUAUCCUGUGUGUAUACUCAAGCUCGGGUAUAGAGCUUCUCUCUCGUGUAUCAACAUCCCAACCCAAACAACAGCGCAUACAGAUAUCCAGGAUGCCAGAAUGCAUUAAUAAAGUAAAUAGCAAAUAAAAUAAAGCGAGUAUGGUAUAAAGAUGAACACCUAGAAACUAGCGAGGAAACAACCUAAACUAGGCUCGACUCCUUCUAGCGACUAGGAAGUACUCCAAGUAGCGAAGUAUCCCCAGCAGAGUCGCCAGCUGAAGCUAGCAGAAAUAUACCCGAACGUAUCGCAUGCUCGAACAUACAACAGAGUCGCCAUCGAACUUUAUUUAUCCCCAAAGGGAAGGGAAAACAUCGGUAAAACCCAGGGGAAGAGAUAUACUGGGUAAGGAAGUCGGUUAUGUAAGGGGAAGGUAUUAGCACCCCAAACAUCCAUGGUACUCCAUGGGAACCGUUUUGAUUGUUCUCGCUCGAAUAAGUGUUAACUAGAGAUUACUCGCAAAAGAAUAAGGGGAAGGAAAGAAAUAGAUUAAGUGCUCGGUGAGGAUUGGGGCCCUCAUGCCUAUGUAUCCUCAUAAUGCAAUAAGGAAUUCAGAGCUCCCUAGUUCAGAGAACUAAUGGGGCAGGAGGUGGAAAGAAGUGUGAUCAAAGGUAUGGUCUGAACCAAAAGAUAAUAUUGUUUGAACUCCAACAAGGGGUGAAAAUGUGGACCCAAGAGUGAACAGGUUGUUUGAACCGACAAAUGAGGGUGUAUAGCACUUAUAGCACUGUCUGGAACAACCGAAAAGAGGGGAAUUAGGUGUUUGGGAUAAGCGCCAAACAACUCUUGGUUCACAAGGAGGUACAAGAUGGAGCACAAAGGGAUAUUGUAUUUAGCUCAAAGAUAACUGGUAUAUCACAUGAAGUGAAAGAAGGUAGAGCAUGAAGGUAUCAUGGGAAUGAAUGGAGUGAAGUGACUGAAGUCACAUAAUAGAGUAUCUGGUAAUGAGUGACUGGAUAAGUAUUGUUUGAAAUCGAAAGGUGAAAGUGUAUUGGAAUCCAUAAGAGAAGUGAGAUUUCUACCAUAGAGGAAAACCGCGUUAACCAAUAUGUGGACUAGCGGACCGCCACUGUAGGGUUUUAGCUAAAAAGAAGGAAUUAAAUGUUUGGGAUUAGCGCCAAACAACUCUACGCAUGAAAUGUGGACUGUAUCAAGUGUCCUAAAAGAAUGUGUAUGGAAUACCAAAGAAGGUGUAUUUCGAUGUCAAAGAGACAGUAUGUCACUGGAUGAACGAUUUAUGAUCGAAGGUAGAUAGUGAAUUAUGAAAGAUAUGAAUGGUGCCCUAAGGCGAAGGAUGAAUAAUUAGAAGUAUGCUCACCAAGGAUUCGCAUCCUCGUACCUACGUAUUCUCAUUGUGCAAUGAGAAAGUCAGAGCAUUCGUAGUUCGGAACUACGAGAAUGGAAAGAGAGAUUGGUAGUAUGGAGUGCAAGGAGUAGUGUACCACUUGCUGGUGAAUUGGCAAUUCGAGAUCAAAUCAGGAUAGUAACUUGGAUCCAAGAGAAGGAUAAACUCUUAAUCGAAGAGCAAGGAUGAAGUUAGCAUUUGAGUUGAGAGCCAAACAAGGAUGAGGUUAAUGUUUGGGAUAAGCGCCAAACAAAGGUGAAGUUAGUGUUUGGGAUAAGUGCCAAACAAAGGUGAAGUUAGCGUGUGGGAUAAGCGCCAAACAAGGAUGAAGUUAGUGUUUGGGAUAAGCGCCAAACAAAGAUGAAGUUAGUGUUUGGGAUAAGCGCCAAACAAACCUCGAUUGAAGAGACGGGUUGUCCUUAGGACGUCCUAAAAGGAAGGACAAGGAGUCCAAGGAGAAGUAAGAUUGAUCUUGAAAAGAUGGUAUAGAUUGCAUGAAUGGAGAGUGAUCCAUGGGAUAGAGAAGAUAAAUUGAUAAAUAAGAUAGAGCUCACCAAGAAACCGGGUUCUCCUGCCUACGGAUCCUCAUUGUGAAAUGAGGAAAUCAGAGCUUUCGUAGUUCAGCCCACUAGGGAUGAAAAGAAAUUGAAUGGAUGCAAGAGGAAAUGGAUGAUUGAGAUUGAAUUGAAUAGAAUGAUGAAUUAAGUAUGAGAAUGAAGCGAUAAGAGACUUGACAGUCAAUUGAUCACACUAAAGUCUAUGAAUAAGGGCGAACGCUUUGAAUAUUUAGGGCAUACGCCCCAUACGCAAAGUCGCUCUAGACAAGGGUAGGAGAGACUCCCUCUCAUCAUUUCUUAUCACUUAAGACUUGAAAGGCAUGAUACUUAUCUUGACUGACAAGUUGCUGGUGAAGAACCUUUGUUGUUGAUCCUUGUGUUGAUAUUGAACUUGUGUGAAGACUUGGUAGUUUAAUUGAUUCAUCUUGCACUAAAGUAUAUGAAUAAGGGCGAACACUUUGAAUAUUUGGGGCAUACGCCCCAUACGCAAAGUCGCUCUAGACAAGGGUAGGAGAGACUCCCUCUCAUCAUUCCUUAUUACUUAAGGCUCAUUUCGUACAAUUUGAAUCGUUUUUACCAAGUGUUGACCUUUGAAUUGUCUUGUAUAAUUCGCUGCUUGGUAUGACUGGGGAUGCCUUGAUUGAAGAUCUUGUCUCGAGGCCUUGAGCUCCACAGCGUGAAAGAAAAGUCCUACUAAGUGACCAAGGUGGUCACUCAAUUAGAUUGUGGGAUUAUAUAAGUUCAAAGGAUUUAACUAAUCAAAAUUGCUUUUGAUCAAUUUAAUCGGGGGUUUUGUUUUAGUUUUGAAGGGAACUAAUUUUUGGAUCUAAUUGAAGUUAGUCAUUGUUAGAACUAACCUAAGGGAUCAUGUAUUGAAAUUGAUUAAAAUUCUAUGUUAGAAGUCCUAAGGGAGCAUGUCAAAAUAUUGAUUAAAAUCAUUACUAAAAUUCUAUGUUAAGUCCUACAAUGAUUGCAUUCUAACCCUAAGGAUCAAAAUCAUUAUGAUUAACCUAAUUCCUAAUCCAACUAAAUCACAUUAAUAUCUAAUUAAACCUAUUUAAACAAACGAUUCUAUGUUAACGCCCAAUUGACAAUAAAGCCAAGAAAAUCCUAUUUCCUACCGAGAUAAAAAAUGAUGUAAAUUCUAAUCAGAAAAACAAAGUUAAUCAACAAAAAUUAACUAUGAUUAGUGAAUUAACUAAGACCAAGAAAAUCCUAUUUCCUACCGAGAUAAAAAAUGAUGUAAAUUCUAAUCAGAAAAACAAAGUUAAUCAACAAAAAUUAACUAUGAUUAGUGAAUUAACUAAGAAAUUUAAUGGUGGACAUGAGUAUUGGGCCAGGGGUGAAUUUUGAAUAGGGUUGAAACAAGCAAAGGCUAGUUUGUUCGGGCCAAAGGCCCAAGCCUCACUAAGAAUUCGUCCGGGUUUCAAGAUCCCUACGAAAUCUCCAAGAAUUGGCCAGUCGAAAUUCUCCACCGAAAUUCCAUGAACGGAGUGAGAUGCACCUCACCGGAAGCUGACAGCGUCCUCCCCACGACUCUAAGCCAGUGCUUCUUCAAAUCAAAACCCCACUCCGAUCUAACGCUCAACAUGAACCCUGCCGAACCACACACCCAAAUUUAAAACUCAAUGGCAACAAAAGCAAAACUACAUCUUCCUCAUUCGAUCUCAAAUCGGCACUGAGACAACAAACACGGCGCAAGAAAUUCGGAAUCGCUUCGAUCUUGCACGAACAACCCAAAAUUUGACGAAGAUGAACGAAUUCAGUUUUCUCCCUUCAAUUCGAAAACGAAAUUGACGUCGAUUGCGUUUCGAUCCUCUUCUUUGCUUAUCACACUUCAAUUCGCGACAUUGUUGUUGUUUUAAGAUGAAGGAUGUUGGCGCUGCUCCUUUGUCGCGUGCGACAGCGUAUUGAGAUUGAUACGAAGCCUUGCUCGUGUGCGCUUGCGAUGGUUGUUGAAGCGAGGCAGGCGAUGAAGACGUGUGAAGAUUUUGUGGAGAGGAAGGUGACGAAGAAGAUAGGAGAUUGAAGUUUCUUGAAGGUUUUUCAUAGUUACAAAAAUGAAGAAGAUUAGAAGAUGGUGACAAAGCCGAAAGGGAUUAAAGAAUUCUAACAAAAUGGAAGAGCACAGAAUCAUGAACAGGUCGGAGGAAUUGUAGUUGGAAGAUUCAAGCCAUAAUUCCGCUCCCUUCACAUCAAUAGAAUGGACUCAAGGCCAAAACUUCAACCGAUAUCAAGAACAACAUGGAAACGAGGCUAGCAAUUCGCACAAGCAAUGGAAUGAAAACAUGACGCCAUGAGUUAUGAUAAAUCGAAGUAACUUACUAGAAUGAAGCGCCGCGGAGGUUCCGGUGUCGUCGAUGUCGCUCAUAGGUGAGUUUCUCUAUGUGCUUUCUGCAAUUUCCUCUUCUUCUUUCUUCUUCUUCUGAAUUUGCGAACGAUGAAAAGAGACUGGGGAGGCUUAGCUCAAGCAGAAUUGAAGCUUCGAUGUGAAGCUUCAAUGGCUUCUUUAAAAGAGAAAAAGAGCUCUGGUGAUGGCGAGGGAAAAGGUUGCAAGAGAGAGAGAGAGAGAGUGCAGGUUUAUGCCAAAAAAUGCCAAGGGCUCAAAAUGUGAGUGAUCAAGCCCUUAAAUAGAGUUGAGGUUCGGGACUUGCUAGCUUCGUAUAUAGGAAUUAGUUGAGGGUGGCUUGGAGUUAGUUAAACUCAAAUCACUGAGUUAAAUGGAAAAACUAAGUUAGUUAUAUUAGAGAAACUCGGUUAGUUAUGUGUGUAGAUGUUGGUUAGUGAGCGAGUGGGAACUUGACUGGCUACUGCAGGUUACUGUUAGAUUAAUGUCACAUUGGAAGGGUUUUUAUUGACUCGUUGUUUAUGUUGCAGGUUAGGGACUUUGGCUUGGACUUAUGAAAGGCUUUGGUGUGUAGAAACAAAUGAGU
rnacentral:lncRNA from 1 species